AGAACUAUCCGGCCCUUUCCUUCAUGAAUGUGUGUUGAGGUUGCUGUAUUAUUUAGUCAGUAUUUGUAAUUUUCUUCCCUGCAGUGCUCUCUGCCUCCUGAAUUUGCUACUGAGUCCAUAUUUUUCUUUGAGCUGUUCCUUCCUAUUGCUGUUACAGUUACAAAUCUGGGCAAGCAAUAAGAUACACCGGGAGGAAAGGUCAUCAAGGGGAAAAUGGGAUGUCCAAUCCCUCAUCACAUCUUCUUCAGAUUUGUAUGGUCCAGAAAAGUCCGCUAGUGUUGAAAAAUUACCUAGGCAUGUACAAUUUACUUUUAAGAAUCCUGUUAGGUGCGCAUUGUUUGGAUCACAUUACGUCUUCAGAGACCUGGUUCGGCUUCAGUUAAUUUCGGGAAGGACUUCAGUCUUUUGUCUCUUGAUGAAGAUGAAAACCCCUUUGCACAAGUAGACAGACGUGCUUCAUUUGGAGGAGCAGUUGAAAAUGAACCAUGUAUUCAUGCCAAAAGAAUUCUUGUAGUCGGAAGCCAGUAAAAAGGGAGGGGCUUACCUCAUCACAGAGCUCUGAGCAGCUAAGUAUUAGAAACUGGUUGGAUAGAGCUCCACAAAUGAGUAGAUUCAAGGUAUUAGUUGCUUUCACUCUUUGUUCAUUCAUAAUUCCAGCUUUCUGCUUCACUGAUAAAACUCUUUUUUCUCUUCAGGUCCCAAUUGAGGCCGAGAGAUUGAUGGACUACGAUCUCGUCUUGGAACAGUAUCUACCUCCAGCAUCACCUUCGCUUGCCGGAUUCCGUCUAGACUCUUUCAGUGCAAUAAAACCUAGGGUUACCCAUUCACCUUCCUCAGAUUCAUUUACAUGAGAGAAAGAGUUUUGGGUUUGACUUUGAUUUUGAUUUGUAUUUGUUGUCAUUUCAUUGAAAUUUCUUUUUGUUGUAUAAAAAUCAGAAGGUAAAAGUAUUAAAUUCACUGAUGCGGUAAUAUCUGUGCUGGUUACAGGAUUUUAUGUUUAACUUGAAGUUAGUAAGCAAUGACUUAACAAUAGCACUUUGAAUUUAACGUGGAUCAUAUUGUAUUUGAAAUUAAAAAAUAAAGAGAGAGAAAUUAAUUGUUAAUUGAGUUGGACAAUUUUCCGUGGUUAAUUGCUCCCAGAAAAGAGAAGAAUGGGAUUGUGCUUCCUCACACGAAGAAAGACUCGAACGUCUUCGUGCUAAUUAAUCAAUGAAAGAUUUUGUCAAAUAUCUGGCCCUUUCUUUCUUGAAUGUCUGUGUACAAGUUGCUGUGUCAUUUAGUCAAUAUUUGCAAUUUUCUUCCCUGUAGUGCUCUCUGCUUCCUGAAUUUAUAUUAGUGAUCUGGUUUCUGAGUGCAUAUUUUUUCUUUCUCGUUGCUGCAGGUUUGUCGUUGUCAAACAGAAUCAAGUUAUAUUAUUAUUGUGAUCCUUAUGAGCUUGGAAAAUGGGCAAGCCUUUCUGGAGUUUGAUCGUUAUUUAUAUGUUAGAGAAAGAGUUCUGGGUUUGUUAAAACUCAUUAUUAUAAUUUGAAAUAUGUGUUAUUUCAGCUAAUGAUUAACACUAAAAAAAUUAUCACCCAUAUAAUUUUUUAAUUUGUGUAGGGUAAUAAUAAAAUUGAAAAUAAUUAAAAAAAUAGCACAAUAAUGAGUUUUAACAAUAAAACAAAUUAAAUGAAAAUUGAAAAUUUAGAAAAGUGUAUCUAAGAAAAUGGAUAUUUUCAGAAAUAAAAUGAAUAUAACUAAAAAUGGGGUUUUAUGAGGAGAUCAAAGGGGUGCCAAUAGUCCAACUCGUAAUUAAGAAUCUCCCAUUACAUUGUCAACCAAAAAGACACUUGCAUAAGAAAAAAAAUUUCUGUUUGAUUUUAUUUGUAGAUCCAACAUUUCUCAUAUCCUGGUCGCCUUUCCGUAUCAAAUUAAAAUAGUAUUAGCAAAAUCGUAGUGCAAAUUCAAUUAACCAACUAAUAGUCUAAGAAGCAAAGAGAGGAUUACAAGUUCACAACACCAUUACAAAGGAUUCAAAAUUCCCACACGAAAACAUCAAUGUACAGAUUAUAAACAAUCCGAAUUGGACACAAGAAAAACCCUUCAAUGGAUUGCUUGCCUUCCCAAUGCUAAAUACUGUGCAAACUGCGCAUUGGCCAAGAAAAUGUUUUCAAUUUAGUGUAUUUUCAAAAUGCUUAUUUUCUCAGAAUAUAAAAAAUGAAAAAAUAAAAAAAGAAUUCUUACAUGUUUCAUCAGCAUGAUUAAAAUCAAAGAAGAAAGCGAGACAUAAUGUCUCUGACAUAAUAAAAUUACAAAAAUUUCAAGAAAAAAAAAGGGUUAAAACAUGUAAUCUUCAGAAGCAUAUAAUAAAAGAAGACUUCCACAAGUUACUACAAUUACAUGCAGUAGAGAUUAACUGAUGCUUUGACUUAUUAGCAGGUUGCAAUGAAUUAUUAACUGAUGCUUUGACUUAUUAGUUCUGCAGCUAAGUUAAAUAAAAUAAGGUAUUUUCAAAAGCAAAAUGGAAUACAUAGACAAAACAUCAUCUUAAACAAAUCACAAUCUAGAAUUAGAGUGUUGAUUUGAGAUUCUAGAUUGUGAUUUGAUCGGCUCAUUUGUUAAGAAGUGUUGAUUUGAUCGGCUCUGCAAAUUCUCUUGGGACUCGGUUCCAAUUCCUCUUCAUCAAAACUGUAAUAUAAUUCCCCUUCAUCAGAACUCGAAUCAAAUUCACUUGCAGCAGUUCCACUCGCGCUUGGCAAAUCAUCUAAUUUCCAAACUUCGGUAGCAAAAUUGAGAGUAAAAGUGUUGGCUUUGAUCUCGCUGGGAUUUGCAUAUACUGGACAUACUCCGCAACGUUUUAUCUUCUGACCCUUUUGGACCUUUAGGUUUCGGCAACACUCAUUGAAGAACUUAAGUGAGACAGUUGUAUGAUGGUAACCAUCAGGAAAGCCAACAUUCAAGCAAGGUUUAAAACCAAGUAUGACAUGAUCUGAAUCAAUGAGGUCUUCAAUUGAGUGCGAAUCGAAACUCAGAUGAACAUGUUUGGUUUCAGAGAGAGUCUUUAUUUCUAAGUCGGAUCGACAGCCGACGUAAACAUUACGAAAACGAUCAGAAUAAAGUUGCUUAAAAUCAAGAACAGCACAAAAAGCAAACCCGAUUAAGUUUCUGCAAAAAGAGUGCGGUGGCAGUUGAAUACGUAUUGAAGAUCCUGAACUUUGAUUGCUGAACCAGUCAGGAAUUUUGCUCCCAGGUAAAACAAUUUGGGAUCGCCUGAGUUCAGAAAGUUUCUGUGAAACGACAUUUAAAAAAAGAAAAUUGUCAAAUGAAAACCAUGAUUUCAGAUAUAACAAAGAGGGACAGAGUAAACAAGAGAGGGAAUUUGAUACCUCGUCGAUUGUCUUUCCCCGUCUCAGUGAUGCUGCAAUUGCCAUACGUAGUGAAUCUGCCAAAAUCUUGUUGUUUGCUUUUCCAUCAAGUUUCAAGCAGUUAGUAAACCGAAAAUAAAUUGGUUGUGACAGUCGAUAUUCCGGAUGCCAUUCACAAAGGUCAGGAGAGGGUUUGGAUAGCUUUUCGAGUACGGAUGCAUCUAGUUCUUGUAGACAUGACGGAAUCUCUGGCAAAGAUUGAAGCCGGUUGCAGUUCGUUGCAUUUAGUGAAUGUAGACACAAUGGAAGUUCUGGUAAUGACCGAAGCAUGUUACAACCCGUCAAGUCAAGAGAUUCUAGACACAAUGGAAGUUCUGGUAAUGACUGAAGCAUCUUACAACCCUCCAAGUGAAGAGACCUCAGCUGCGACAGUUGCUUGAUACUUGCAGGUAAGCUCUCAAAGCUAUUUCCACUUAGAUUUAAUGUUGUCAGUGAGGAUAGACAGGCAAUCUCUUGUGGAAUUUCCAUUACAGCACAGUUCCUCAUAUCUAGAUGUCCCAAAUAAGCUAAACCUAAUAAAAACGAUCGAGGCAAUGAUACCAAACCUUUGCAGCGAGAGAAGUAAAGAACUCCAAGUCUGUUUGAAUAUGCAACAGAGGAUGAUGGUAGUUGACUAAUAGCUGAUCCAACUGCUGAGAUGAUAAACAAACAUUUUAAAUUGCCAAUGUUAUCCGGCAACUUAUCAAGCUUAGAGCAAUCUUCUACGAACAAUUCUUCAAGCCCCGGUAGAUUUUCAAAUGACGAUGGCAGCUCUGUAAUUGCCGUCUUGUUUAAAUUGAUGCGUUCUAAAUGUUCCAUUUUCUCCAAGAUUUCUGGGAAGCGCUCAAGGUUCACGCAGCCAUUAAGAAAAAGAUCAACCAAAGAUCUCAAUUUACAAAACCUAGUUGAAAUCCUCUUCAGCCGUUUGCAAUACUUCAAAUUCAACUUUUUAAGAUCAGUUAGGCACUCUAUUGAUGACGGAACUUCUUCUAUUGCAGACUUGCUCAAGUUUAGCGAUGUUACUUUCCCAGAAAUCAGUGGAAACUCUAUGAGAUUAACACAAUAGGAGAAAUUAAUAGUUACUGGACAAACAAAAUGAAGAUUGCUUGGAAAAGACCUAAGACUUUUGCAGCCCUCAAAAGACAACGCACUGAGAUACUUGAAAUUCUGGAUAGAUGAGGGAACACAAGCCAAGUUUGUAUAAUCCAAAAGAUAUGUUUCAACAUUUGGGGUUUCAAAUGGGCCUGGCAUCUUAAUGAAAUGUUGAGAAUGGCUGAGGUUAAUAGAUUUUAACUUGAAAGCUUCCUGCAAUAACAGAUAUAUAAAGACUAUAUUAAUUAAAAAGCAACAUUGAAUUCAACAAUUAAUUGCACGUAUAUUUAAAGAAAGAAAAAAUUAAUGUUUUAGUUUUAGUACAAAACUUACCUUUUCUCCUUCCCAAAGUUGCUCAACUUUACUACAACUCAAAUUCAGUGCAACAAGGUUCUUUGGCUUGAAAUUUGAUGGCAGUGUCCUUAAUGGAUAUGUGUCCCAAUGAAGAUAUCUCAAUUUUUUAGGAAGAUAAUCUAGGCCAUUUGGAAGCUGCACUUUAGAGUAUGAAAGAUGCUCUUCAAUGCUCAUACUUGGAAGCUUUUCAAUCCCAUAAAAUUUGAGCAAUCUCAUAUUAGACAUAUUUGUGAAGGCUCCGGGGUCUAAAUUGAUGCGUUUUAUUUUGGACAAAUCCAGAAAUAUGCCUUCAAUUGCAUCGGUCCCCUUAUUAAAAAAAAAAAAAAGAAUGAGUAAGCCUAAAACUCAAAAGAAACAUUCGUAAACUUUAUUAAUUAAGAGCUCCUUAAACAAAAAUAAAUUACGCAAUCUUUGAUUUUAUUUUUUUAAUAUAUUAAAUAUCUAUAUGCGAGAAAAGAAAAUUUUGGGGACCAUUGCAAAAUUAAACUAACUGAAAAAAAAUUCAAAAUUUCUCUAAUUUACAAACCUGUUAUCUUAAUAUCUAGAAGUUGAGAAGACAAGGCCUAUUUGAUUGGUAUAAGAUUUCGAUUUUUUUUUUUUUUAGUCCAUAGAAUCCAAAAUGUUAGUUCAAAAUUAGGGAAAAAGUCAUUUUUUUUCCACUAGCUGUAAUUGUAUCCAAGUCAAAUUGAGAUACGACCCUUUUCAAAAGGAUUUAACCAUCUUACAGCCUCCUUAAGGCACAUUUAAGCUAAAAGGAGUGAUUGGAGGCAGAACUAGGUGGGCCAAUCAGUCCAUUUUAUUAGUGACCGUUGCUUAAAAAAAAUUAUACUCUAAACCACACUUACUUUUUUGAAAAAAAAAUGUAAUUAUAUUGAAAUAAAAUCAGGUGGGCCAAUCCUCAUGGCACUCACUUUGUUCUAACACUCUUCACUAAAUUUGAAGAAAAAUAAAAUUAUACUCUUCACACUCGUAUUCAACAUUCCAAAAUUGAUAAAAUCGGGAGUUUUCUUUAAAAAUUUAAAAUUUGAAGACUUGUUCUCUUGACACCCUCAGUCAUUAAUUUUACCUAAUUAUGGUUUUUAUGAUUUUGGUUGUUUUGUUCAUAAAAAUGCUUUUACUAAAGGAUGUUCUGGUAAUAAUAAAAUUUAUAAAAAAAACAUGGGUGUGCUGAUAUAGUUGGAAAAAUAUGAGUGCAUAACUCCAAACAAAUAAAAGAUAUAUAUAUAUAUAUAUAAAUGGAGGAUUCUUACCUUAUUAUGCUUUAGUACGCGGCGGAUUUCCUUAGGAUCCCACAACCUGCUGCGUUUGCCUGGCUCUUUCUCAGAUUCUUGGCGAACAAUCUGUCGCCCCAUUUCUUGCAAUAUAUCAUGCAUCUGCAAGGAAUCACCUGAUAUUGAUAUGAGUGACUUAUCAAUAAGGACAUCCAGUCCAUCAGACUCAGAAUCAUCAAGAAUCCUUGCCAGAAAAUCUUUAUCCCCUCCCUCGAAGAAACACGCAAUAUCUAGAAAUAUGCUCUGCACCCUGGGCGUUAAUUCAUAAAAACUAAUCUUUAAUAUUUCAUAAAUAUUAUGAAUAUCAGAUUCACAAAUCCGAUUUAAGUCGUCCAAUACAUUUUCCCAAUGGCUUUUCCUCUUGAGAUACAGGGAGGAACCCAACACCUUAAGAACUAAUGGAUUGCCUUUGGCAUACUUUACAAACCUCCGUGAGUGCCGAUUGAGAUCUUCAGGACAAUGAUUUUCUUUAAAAGCGAAGUUACAAAAAUGCUCGAAAGCCUCAUCCAAUCUCAAUCCAUUGACCCUAUAUAUUUUCUCCACUCCAAAUUUUUCGAGGACUCGUUUAUCCCUGGUGGUUACAACAAUUCUACUUCCUGGACCAUAUUGAUCAAGCCCUCCAAUCAAACCCUCUAAUUGUUCAUCUUUAUUCACAUCAUCGAGUACAAUCAACACCUUCAUGCGUCGGACCCUCCCUUUAGUAAAUUGUGGAAUAUUGGGACCAGCUACUUCAAGUUUUUCACUUAAUAUUGUCGAAAGCAUUUCCUUUUGUAGGUCUUCUAGGCCACCCUCUGUUUCUGAUUUUCUCCUAACAUUUUUUGCAAAGUAUUUACCAUCAAACUCACCAGAGAAUUGAUCGAAAAUAGCUUCAGCAAGGGUAGUUUUGCCUAUACCACCCGUGCCCCAAAUUCCAACAAUUUGGACAGUAUCCCACAAAUCCAUACACAAAAAUGGUUUAAUCUGCUCAAUUCGUGAAUUUAAUCCAACUAGGCCGUUGGAUGAGUCCGUUGAGACUGUUAUUUUUUCCAACUUCUUCAAAACAUCUUCGACAAUUUUGUUUACAAGUUGCGCAUCAAGCCUAAUAUGAAGGUGCAAAGAUGCAAAAACAUUGAGUCAAAUCGGGCCAAGACAGAAACAGAGAAAAGAUGAAUUAGGAAAGAGAGUUACCUGAAUUUCGUGGAUUCAUGGCCGGCUAGAUGGGAUGUUUCUGUCAGUGCAUCCCUCCACUUCUGAACCAUUUCUGGUUUAUCUUUGAACUGUUUUUUGAGCUCAUCAAAACGGUCUCCAAAUGUUCCGUUUUGAUGCCGCACAUCAGAUGGACUUACUCCAUAGAAGACUGGAAUAAUAAUUUGGCCGUUUGUGUUCUUGCAUUCAAGAAUCUUGACAAGUUCAUUCAGGCACCAUUUUGAAGAAGCGUAGUCCUUUGAGAAAAUGACCACCGAAAUUUUUGAACCUUGGAUUGCGUACAAAAGGGCGGGUGAAAUCUCAUCUCCUCGCCUAAGCCCUUCAUCAUCAAUAAAUGUUUUGAUUUUCUUUCCUUCAUACAAUUUAUCAUAGAGAUAGCAAGUAAAGCUCUUACGAGUGUCCUCCCCUCUAAAGUUGAGGAAGACUUCAUAAUUGCCACAAGAAGAAGAGGAAGCCAUGAAGGAAAUUUUAGAAAAUUGGUGACAGAAACAGAGAAUUAAUCUUGAGAGUUGAGAGAGGAGAUGUAAGAAUGAACAUGUGUGAAGAUUCUUGCGAGUACAUAGUAAAUAAUUGAAUGGCUGGAGCUUUCUUAGUUUCCUGGAAAUUUCCUGGAGCUUUCGUAUACAUGAUUUGUCAAGUCAUGAAACAUAAUCAUGAUAAUGGGGCAGACCAAAAAGAAAAGCAACAAUUCAAAUAUUUGAUUCAACCAGUAUAAAAAGGAAGGAAAAGCAAAGAAAGGAAAUGUUGAAAGUAGAGUUAGGGAAUUAUAAAAAGCUGAAGGAAAUUGGAAUUUUGUACAAUUUCUCCAGCGAGGAACUUUCACAGUCGUUACCUCAUUGUUACAGUUUAGAUUAAGAUUUGAGGGUGCAAGCAUUUACCUAGAUUUUACCUCCGCACUAAAUUCUUAAGUUUGAAAAAUUAUGAGACCUUUAUAUUGGAAGAUAUUAUAAUCGAAUCAAAACUUAAAAUUUUAAUAUUGUUAAUCUUUAAUCUUUAAAAAAAAUUACCUUGCCGUUACAAUUUGGAUUAAGAUUUGAAUAAGCAUUUACCUAAAUUUUAUCUCCGCCUGUAAAUUCUUAUGUUUUAAAAAUUAUGAGACCUUUAUAUUGGGAGAUAUUAUAAUCGAAUCAAAAUUUUGAAUUUCAAUAUUAUUAUUCUUUUAAAAAAAUUUGAGAUAACAGAGUGAUUGAUAAUAGAGAACUUGUCUAGGCAAACACAUGCAUACACAAAAAUGUGAUGGAUUCAAAAAGAAAUUAAAGUGAUAAUGUACGUGGAUCCUUAAAACAAAAAGCGAAAUCGCUUGGUGGCCCAGUAAAAUUAAGACUGAAUAUUUUUUACACGAGAAGUCAAGCUCAUAAAUGGCAAAAGCCAUUUCAUUUCACUUUUACGCGUCAUUGACUUUUGUAACACGGUGUAUGCAUCGUCAAGUGGGGCAAAAGGGUUUCGAUUACAGUGGGAAAACAUGAACAAGAAUGCAUAAUGAAUAAUUCUUUCGAUAAAGCGAAAAUUAAACACAGAAUAAUCCUAAAAUUUAAACUCUAAUAUCUUAUAAUGUAUUGAUUAAAAAUAAUCCUAAGAGUUCCCAAUUGAAACUUUCAUAAGUAUUUUUAUUGUUUUGGAUAAACAAAUUGCACUAGGAAAACAAUUUGGCAAAUUCAGAGGAUAAUGAAAAAUAGCUAUGCUUCAAUAGGCCAAAGAUUAGAGAACAAAGAAGAAUUAGUUAUUGAUAUACGAAAGAGAAACACUCCAAAAUUUCAAGCAAAAUAUUUUCAUAUACCAUUUCGAUUUUGGAAGGGGUGUGGUUUUGAACUUCAAUAGUUUCCUCUAAAAUCAAAAGGCAGCAAUUAAGCUAGAAAGAGCAAAGAAGACUUUUUGGUACCUUAUUGAAGGUAAACAUUAUGGAACUUCCAAUGUCAUUACCUCACUGUUUAAUUUUUAUUGAGAUUUGUGCAAGCAUUUACCUAAAUCUUACCUCUGCCUGUAAAUUCAUAAGUUUUGAAAAUUAUGAGACCUUAUAUCGGGAGAUAUUAUAAUCGAACUAAAACUUAAAAUUUCUUUUCUUUUCUUUUUUUAUCAUAAAAGGGCUCUUAAGAGAGCUACGACAACACUAAGUGGGAGUGUGCAACCCCAUGAACAUCAUUAAUCAAUAUGUUUAGCGUAUUUGGAGGAAUAGAUUGAAAGCAAUGUAAACCCAAAGGAAACAAAAAGCUGUACGAAGUAAGGAAAUCUGCUGCUACAUUGGUUUCUCGGUAGAUAUGAUCCACUUUGAUCAGCCAAUCACGCCAAAGGAGUUCUUCGAUGGCCUGAAUGAGAAUAAAAUGCUCAUUGACGGGAGGGUUUUAGUUAGAGAUUAACUUCAUAACACACAUGCUGUCUACUUCCACGUAAAACUUAAAAUUUCAAUAUUAUUAUUCUUUAAAAAAAAAAUUGAGAUAUCAGAGUAAUAUCACAUAGAAAAACUUGCCCACGGACGGUAAGCCAAAUGUCUAGUCAACCACAUGCAUAAAGCUAAGUAGAACAAGAGAACAGAGAAACGCGUGGGUCCCUAAAGAAAAGGCAAGCACAUAAAUGAAAAAGCCAUUACAUUUCUAUUAACACGGUGUGGCAGCAUAUGCACAAUCAAGUGAGGCAAAAGGGAUUCGCUUAUCGUGGCAGAACAUGGACGAGGACGCGUGACGAAUAAUUCCUUCGAUAAAACGAAAAACAAACGCAGAGAAAAGAAUUUCUUAUAUGACAAGAAAUCAAAGAAAUGUGAAGGAACAUGAUGAAGAAAUUGCAGACUGAUCAAUUAUCCCCAUGGACUCCUAUAAAUUCAACCAAAAUAACAAUUCGAAUCUUACCAAAUUCUUGAGUUAAAUUUAUUCAAUGCUUUUAUUUUUUUAGAGAAAUUUUUUCCAUUGCUACUUUCCCUUUUUUGGGGAAAUUAGAACCGCGGCAUGUAUAGAAAACAUUGAGGUGUAAAGCAACAUUAAUUUCAUGGGAUAUGCGUUAUACGCAUAAUAUAUUUUCAGUCCAAAUUCAACUAUACAAAGAGGCUUGAGAACUUAAAAUUAAGCACAAACUAAACAGACGAAGUAAAUACAUGAUUAUGCAACAUAACAUUAAUUCUCUUAAUUUAUAACUGUUUUUGCCACAUGAAUCUUGCACAGUUAAUCCUAAUUGAAGACUAAAAAAGAGCAAUUGGAAGAAGGUUUUGGAAUAGAAUGGUAUACAAUCGAUAUGAUCCUUUUCCAGUAGUCAACGCUAAUUAACUGCAGUUUCUAGACUCCUAAUUAUACUAGCCAUAGAAAACUGGUGAUCAAAUUAGAUUUUGAAAGGAAAUAAUGUUCAUUUUCCCUUCGCUGCCUUUUUUUUUCUUUUCUUUUUAUAGCAAAGAAUUAUAUCAUGAAAAGAAUCAAUUUAAUCACCUUUUCCAGCAGCACAAUUUUUCUUUUAUAAAAUUUGACCACAGAGACAAAGAAGAAUUAUUCAUACCUUCAUCAGUGAGGAAAUACUUUUCGGUAUGGCUAGGGUGAGAAAAGGCUUUCCACAAACACUUGUACUUUGUAUUCCUGUAAAUUUUCUUUAAAGUCAAUAAAAACCAUAAGUUCUUUACAAUAACCACCUCUUUGAUAAAAAAGUGCCGUAUUCCUUUAGAAUUUAAAACCGGCAAAAUCGGAAUCAGUGUCUUUGAAGAGACAUAAUGGUCGUAAUUCUUUAAAUGAGUUGGCUAUGGAAAUCCUUAUCCAAGAUUCUUUUACGCCAUAUUCUUUCGUAAACCAAAAUUCAUUUUGGAAUACUCUGUUGAGAAUGUCAAAUAAAACGGCAUUGAAGGAAGUUUUCAAAGGUAGAAUCCGCACUUGUCAAAGGGAUGAUCUGCACUUGUCAAAGACACGAUCCGCGUCAAACGAAUCGACACAUUUCCUUUCGUAUUCGCAUAUGUAAUCUUUGAAAAAAUGUAGCUUCUGCAUCUAUAAAUAACGCUCAGUGUAUAAUGUUUUAUUCAAGAAAAAAAACAAGUUUCUUCAUACUCGUCGUCCGAACAUACAGAGACCGUCUCUCAUAACUUCAGCCGAAUACUUGUGAUGAUGAUCAUUUGUGAUUUCAUCAGGCAAAGGGUUGAUGGUGAAAAUUUUUGUAUGUGUGAAGAAUUGAGCUGUGGAUAUAGGGGACUUAAGUGUAAUCGAAAGAGAGUUAUUAGGUCAUAGUGCAGAUUGCAUUCAGUUUAUGGGUCGCUAUGCAGAUAAUUUGUUGACGUGGCGAAAUCUGUUAUGGUCGUUAGUAUUGUUUCUGGAAAUUUUCUAGAAACCUCAGCAUAAAAGGGGCUUUUGCAUAGCCUCUGGUGUGCGUGUGAUUUCUCUUUCGUUUCCUCAUCAAAUUCUGUAAUUCUUGCUUUGAUAAAAAGCUUGUAAUCUCUUCUGUAAUGUGUGAUCAGUGCGUAAUCAUUUUGAGCAAUAAACGCUUGUGGGUUUUUCCUUCAAACAGUGUCGUUUUGGUCAGUUUGUUAGUUUGAUCUGUUGGUGGAAUUUUCUUUGGUUAUUUGUUCUCAAAAUUCAACCGUAUAUAAAGUUUGAACUCUAAUGGCUUAUAAUGUAUUGAUUAAGAAUAAUCCUAAGAGUUCCCGAUUGAAAUUUUUAAUGACUAUUUUUAUUGUUUUGGAUAUACAAAUUGCAUUAAGAAAAAAUAUUGUCAAAUUCAGAGGAUAACGGGAAAUAAUUAUGCUUCAAAAGGCCAGAGAUUUGAGAACAAAGAAGCAUUCAUUACUGAUAUACAAAAGAGAAACACUCCAAAAUUGCAAGCAAACUAGUUUCAUAUACUGUUUGGAUUCUGGAAGGGGUGAAGUUUUGAACUUCAGUUGUUCCUCUAAAAUCAAAAGCAGCAAUUAAGCGUUCUCAAUUAGAAAUAGCAAAGAAGACUUAUUCGUACCUUACUGAAGCUAACAUUAUGGCACGGUUGUUCAUAUGUAAUGGCUGCUCUGUUAUGCUAUAUGCUCUGUUAUGCUAGCUUCUCUGUUUUUGCUUACAGUUUUGAACAUAAAUUCUUGCUCAAAUAACCCAUAAUUAAAUAACACUAAUAUGGCUCCUGAAAUCCCAUAAUAGCUAAUUACGCAACUUUCUCCUCCUCCUCAAUUAUGUCUUCCCCUGCUCGGACACUAACUUCAAAAUUCAAUGCCCCGAAAAACAACACAAGAAAUCUUUGAGUUAAAUCGUGACCAGUUUAUAUAUCGUAGCAAUUGAAAAAGAAAAAGAAGAAAAGAGUUAAUUAUUAUUCAGACCUUCACUUAUUAGGAAGUUUGUUCUGCUAUUGGGUGAGAUCAAGCUCUCAGCAUAUACUUCCACAUGAUACUUUCUAACAUUUUCUUGAAAGCCAUCAAUCAUAAAAUCUUCAUACUUUUUUCCAUCCUUUGGAUCAAUAAGUACAAAUUUCUCAUCUAAAACAGACAAAAUAAAAUCACUGUCCUUCAUGGAACAUAAUGGCUGCAAUGCCUGAACUGAAUUGGCUAAUGAAACAUAGUCUUCUUUUCUUUCUCGACAUGGAACAUAGUCUUCUUUUCUUUCUGGACAUAUGUCUCUGUACUUUUCUCUCUCUACUGAUCCACACUUUUUCAUACUUCUAACUAUCAUUUUGUUUUUUUUUUUGGUUAAGUUGUGAUUUAUUCAAUUAUUUUGUAUUUUUAAUGACAAUUAUUUAAUAUUUAGUUAGUUUUGAUAUUGAUUAGUGAUUGAAAGUGUAUUUUAGAAGACUUCCGGUCUCUUGGAAAAAGGAAAAAUGGAGACGAAGAAGAAGUGUUCUUGAUUUUUUUGUAGGCAUUAAAGUUAAACGGUUUGAAAUGAUAUUUUGUUUUAAUUUCACUCAUUAAUCUCAUUCAGGAUAAAAUUAUAAAUGCAAAUAAAUGGGGUUUCAUGAGUUUUUUUUAAUAGUGUUAAAAGGUCUACUCACUAAAUAAACAUGUUUUACCCAAACCAAUCCGAUUAAUAAAGUUAUUGGGUUGGGUUGAUCAGGUUAAAAAUCAAAAUUAAAAAUUAAAUAAAUAAAAAAGGCGUUAAAACUAUCUGUUACUUGAAAAUAAAAAGAAUUUCAAAUAGUUAGUUCUAAUGUCCCAUAUCCAAAACAUGCAUAUUAAAUAAAUAUUAUAAGUUAGAGAUAAAAUAUCCAAGAAAUAAUGAAUGAAUGAAAUACCAUAUUUUUGUUGAGAAUUAAGAGUGUGAUUUUAAUUUUGAUAUUGGAGUCUAAAGCAAUAGAUAGUACAAUGAAAUCAUGAAUGCCACAUUUAAAUAAUGUCUUUUAUAAAAUAAUAAAAAGAAGUUAAAAAUUAGGUUAGCCAUUUAGGCGUUUAGGGUUUAGCAGUUAAGGAUGAACAUAUUAUUAUUAUUGUUGUUGUUGUUGUUAUUAUAACAAUUAUUAUUUACAUAUUAAUUAAUCCAACCCAACCCAAUUAUUAACAAACUAGGAAAUAAAACCGCACUUCGUGCGGCUUUAAAAGAAAAUUAAUAUUAUUUUUUUAUUACUUUACAAUUGAUGAAACUAAUAAAAAAUAUGAAUUAUUUUUAAAAUGACGUAAUCUUAUAAAACUAAUGUUAUUUAUGAAAGUUAAUUAUUUUUUUGUUAACAUUAAAAAUAUAUAUUAAUGUGUAUAGUUAAGUGUACACAACUUUUUCAUCAAUAAAAAUUAUGUUCACAUUAAUCAACUCUCCAUUUUUCUUAGUAUUAACAGACUCUCACAUCUUACAAAGUCUGACCCUUAUUAUUCAACUAUCUUUAUCAUAGUUUAACUCAUGAAGAAAAUAGUACUCCAUGAAGCAUACAAUACUAAAAAUUUAAAUAAGUCAAAAAAUAAAAACACAAAAACAUUUCUAAAGAGAAUGUUGGUUAAAUAAUAAAAAAAACUCAAACAUAACAAAUCUUAAAUGCUUAAUAUUUAUAGAGCUUGAAGAAGCCAAAAGAUACUAAAUAAAAGGUUGCAUAAUUAAAUAUAGGAUUAUAACAUUAAAAUUAGGUCAUAAGGCAUUGGUGAGGGAAGAGGAAGGAACAUUCCUUCUUAUAUUAAUUAGUUGAUGUAUUUUAAACCACUAAAGUUUAUUUGUUGGCUUAAUAAAAUAAAUGAAUGUUUCAAAACUUAUAAUUAAUUUAUUAUUAAUGGUUAUAUAUUGUUGAAUUUAAAUAGAAAGAGAAAGAGACAUGUAAUCUUUUGUAAUCUAUUAAUUAUUUUAUAUUUUUAAUAUUUUGUAAUGUAAUUAUUUUUUAAUCUCAACCAAUAUGUUAGAUAAUAGAGAAUAUAAAAAGAUGAGAAAUAAUAAUGCCACAAAUCUUAACUACUUAAUAUUUAUAGAGUUUGAAGAAGUCAAAAGGUACUAAACAAAAGGUUGCAUAAUUAAAUAUGAGAUUAUAGCAUUAAAAUUAGACCCCACUGGCAUUAUUGAGAGAAGAUGAAGGAACAUUCCUUCCUAUAUUAAUUAAUUGAUAUAUUUAAGCUACUAAAAUUUAAUUGUUGGCAUAAUAAAAUAAAUAAAUGUUUCAAGAUUUAUAAUUAAUUAUUAUUAAUGGUUACAUAUUAUUGAAUUUAAAUAGAAAGAGGAAGAGACAUGUAAUCUUUUAUAAUCUAAUAAUUAUUUUUAUUUUUAAUAUUUUAUAAUGUAAUUAUUUUUUUAAUAUCAACUAAUUUAUUAGAUAAUAGAGAAUACAAGAAGAUGAGAAAUAGUGAUGUCACAUCACCUCCUCUAGUCCCAACUUUAUAUAUAUAUAUAUAUAUAUAUAUAAUAUUUUGUAAUGUAAUUAUUUUUUAAUCUCAGCCAAUAUAUUAGAUAAUAGAGAAUAAAAAAAGAUGAGAAAUAAUGAUACCACAAAUCUUAAAUAUUUAAUAUUUAUGGAGUUUGAAGAAGCCAAAAGGCACUAAACAAAAGAUUGAAUAAUUAAAUAUGAGAUUAUGACAUUAAAAUUAGACUCUAAUGGCAUUGUUGAGGGAAGAUGAAGGAACUUUCCUUCCUAUAUUAAUUAAUUAAUGUAUUUUAAGCCACUAAAAUUUAAUUGUUGGCAUAAUAAAAUAAAUGAAUGUUUCAAGACUUAUAAUUAAUUAUUAUUAAUGGUUACAUAUUGUUGAAUUUAAAUAGAAAGAGGAAAAGACAUGUAAUCAUUUAUAAUAUAAUAAUUAUUUUCUAUUUUCUAUUUUAAUAUUUUGUAAUGUAAUUAUUUUUUAAUUUCAACCAAUUUAUUAGAUAAUAGAGAAUAUGAAAUGAUGAGAAAUGGUGAUGCCACAUCACCUCUUGUAGUCUCAACUUUAUAUAUAUAUAUAUAUAUAUAUAUUAAUUCAUGUCUUUUAUACCACUAAAGUUUAAUUGCUAGCAUAAUAAAAUAAAUAAAUGUUUCAGAAGACUUAUAAUUAAUAUUAUUAAUGAUUACAUAUUGUUGAAUUUAAAUAGAAAGAGAAAAAAAUUACAAAGAAUAUCCACCAAUAUUUUAGAUAUUUUAGAUAAUAGAAAAUAUAAAAAGAUGAGGAAUGAUAUAUAUUAAUAAAGUUACUAUUUAUUAAAUGAGUUAAAUACAAUCAAAUUAAUUAUGAGAAGAUGAAAAGCCAAAUCUAAAAAAAAAAUCUCUAUUUAUUAGAUAAUAGAGAAUAUAUAAAGAAGUAAAAUGGUGAUGCCACAUCACCUACUCAAGUCCUAGCUUUAUAUAUACACUAGAAAAUAGAACCGCGUUUCACGCGGCUUUGAAAAAAAAUUUUAAUGUUAUCUUUUUUUUUUAUUUUGCACAUGAUGAAACUGAUAAAAAAUAUGAAUUGACUUUUUUUUAAGAUGAAGCAGCCUUAUUAAAAAAAAACUAUUAGCCAGCAAUACAAAUAAAGAAGUAAUGUAAGAUAAAAAAUAAAAUGAGAGAAUAUAUUAUAGAAUGAUUUUAUUCAUUCUAAUUGUGUGGUACAAAACAAAAAGAUGAGCUCUCAUUUUAUAGUUACAUAAUCACUCCAUGAAAUUAAUGAAAAAUUAUGGAUCAUAAUUCCUUGUGAGAUAGUGGGAGUUAUAGGGAAGCUAAAGGUUGCUAAUGGAAGAUAGUGGGGAGACUAAGAGAUAUAUGUUAUGAACAUCUACAUUUAUUUUAAUAAAUUCAUAACACUCCCCCUUUGAUGUUCAUUAUAAAAAAUAUGCCUCAUUAAAAUCUAUUAGCCAACAAUACAAAUAAAAAAGCCACACAAUAUAAAGAAUAAAAUGAGAGAAUAUAUUAUAGAGUGAUUUCAUUCAUUCCAAUUAUGUGUGUACAAAACAAAAAGAUGAGCUCUCCUUUUAUAGUUACAUAAUCACUCCAUGAAAUUAAUGAAAAAUUAUGGAUCAUAAUUCCUUGUGAGAUAGUAGAAGUUAUAGGAAAGCUAAAGGUUACUAAUGGGAGAUAGUGGAGAGAGUAAAAGAUAUAUGUUAUGAACAUCUACAUUUAUUUUAAUAAAUUCAUAACACUCCCCUUUGGAUGUUCAUUACAAAAAAUAUGUCUCAUUAAAACCUUUAUAUAAUUGUUAUUGUGUAAUAACAAUCAAAUUAAUUAUGAGAAGAUGAAAAGUCAAAUCUAAAAGAAAAUUUCUCUAUUUAUUAGAUAGAUAAUAGAGAAUAUACAAAGAUGAGAAAUAGUGAUGCCACAUCACUCUCUCAAGUCUCAACUUUAUAUAGAUAUAUAGAUUUGAAAUGAUUGACUCAAUUAAUCCACAAUAAUUCAUUCAACUCGUCUAAAUUAGAUUAUGUUGAAUUUGAUUUGCUACACCUACAUUGAGCAACAAACCUCAACGACAUUCUACGAGCUCUUUGAUUGUUUAUAAAAUUGAUUUAGAGUACAUAAAGUGUAUCGACAAUGAAAGUGCAAAACAAAUUAUUGUACAUAUUAAAAUGUGCAAAACAAUGAAUUAUAUGUACAAACGAGUGCAAACACAUUUUUCAAUAAGAAGUUAAAAGAUAUUUAUGCAUGAAAAAGCCUACGUUUGUAGUUAUUCUAAAUUUUAAAAACAAAAUUUACAUUUAGAUCCCUAAAAUUUACGUAUAAGUAUAAAAGUUUCAAAUAUUGUCUAUUAUUUUUUUAACAUGCCUAUUCCUUAUGGAUAAUUCUGUCUCAUCACUAAUGUUGUUUCUUGCUUAGAAAAAAUAAAUGUCAUCUCCUUUUACAAUUUUUAUAGCGUCUCGAAAUAGACAAUAGGGGAUUUUGAAUUUUUUAAGUCUCAAGAUAGUCUCUAAUCGUGUGAGAAAGAUUUUCUUUCAAUAAUUUGGAGCUAAACAUAACAUAUUUUUUAGACUAAAAUCUAACUCUGCUGGUUAGUAGUUGGUGGUAUCCUUUUCAAGACUUGAGUCUUUAGAUUCGAGUUUUAUAUAGUGUACAUGUGUAUUUAAUUAAUAAUUUUUUUCAAAAAAAAAAAUUACAUCAAAUACUAAUAUUCAUGACAUAAUUUAGUUCAUAAUUUUUUUAAAUACAUCGAAAAAUAUAAUUUUUUAACAACUUAUAGGCACGACAAAUUUCAAGAUAUAAAUAUCAGUCAAAAUAAAUGAAAGAAAUAAUGGUGUCAAUUCUAAUUUCUUAACUAAAUUAAUUAUUGCAUGAGCCCCGAAUACGACAUGAGAGUUUGAUGGGCUAACUUGGCACAAGAACGCGAAUAGUUAACUCAUUUAAGAAAUAAUUCAACAAAAAAUAUAAUUGAUAAGAAUUCAGUAUUGAAAUGAAUUUUUUACGAAACAUUGAAUUAAUGAUUAUUAAGCAAGAACAAUAAAAAAAUAAAAUAAAAAUAAAUAUUAACCAUUGAUAAGCUUCAACAAGAACUUAACACAACCCUCAAUCCUAAUUCAAAUCAUAAAUGUCAUUCAUAUAUUCAUUAUAAAUCAAUAACAAAGGUUAUAAAUGUUUAGAAAUUCUAGAGGGAAGGAAGCUAUCUCCGGGGAAUCAACAACUAAAUUUGAUGUAAUUGUGGCACACGAUGGAAUAUGGAAACUACACCAUAAUUUCAAAUGCCGCCAUAGACAUUGACUUAUCUACAAUAACAAUGAUCUAAUUAAAAUUAAAAUAAAGUUUAUGGGCAUUUAUUAUUUUGCCAUUUCUCAUUUGCAAACAGGGAUAUAAUUAUAAUUUUACUUAGUCAAAGCAAUCAGUAAUUUUCUUCAUUAUCGGAGUGAAGUAAAAACAUUUAGAUUUUAAUGAGUGUACGGAAAAUUUAUCUUUAAAAAUACUUUCUUAAUGUGUGUGUAUAUAUAUAUUGAAAUAUUAUGCUAUCAAAAGUUAAUUUUAGAAAUUCCAAAUCCAAUAGCUAACACAAUUCUUUAAAGAAAAAAAAAAAAAGGUUGAUAAUCAGCAAUUAGUAUUACUUUCUAAACUUACUUCAACUGGUCGUUAAUGAGGGGCCUUGGGCAAGAGUGAUGAAUGUUUAGUCGGUGCAUUUGAUUGAUAGAUAUAUAAAGGGCCGAAACUUGAGAUUAUAUUACUUUUACAAAUUUUAAUCCAAUCACAUAUUUACUGAAACACAAAAUGAGUUAGGAUACUUUAUUUAGAACCCACAUUUUAAUAAGGCUUCAUUUGAUGUAGUUUUUCAAACAGUGAUUAUUUGAGUAAAGUUUCCUCAAUAGAGUUUUUAUCAAAUAAAUUUUAUUUAUUUGGUUGUCGAUAAGAACUUUUAUUAAAAAUUAUAAAAUUAUUUAAAUAAACAUAUUUUUUUAAAAUUACAUUAUAAAAAGAAUUAAAUAAAGUUAUAAAAGUAAAAUAUAUUUUAGAUAUUUUAAUAUUUAAGAAAAAAAUUUUGAAUCUCUACUUUCAGAAGCUCAAAUUUUUAGUUUUUAGUUGUAGAGACAAAAUAUCUUAUUUAAUCUUUAAAAGUUCUGCUAAAAACAAUCAAAUAACUAUAAAAUUUUUAAUAAGAGUAUAUAAAAUUAAAUAAGCAUUUAUUAAUAAUCACUUUAGUGUACUUAUCUAAUGACCAUAAGUGUUUAUUUAAUCUCAUAAGUUCUUAUUUAAUCUCAUGAGCUCUUUUCAAUUUUUUUUGUUGUUUGCUUUUUUUAGUAGAGUUUUUGAAAAUUAAAUAAACUAUUUUGUCUCUAUUAGGAAAAACUCAAAUUUUAGGUUUUUGUGAGUAAAUGUUUAAAUUUUUUUAAAAAUAUUAAAAUAUUAAAGUAAAAGUUGUAGAGACAAAAUAUCUUAUUUAAUGUUUAAAAGUUCUGCUAAAAAUAAUCAAAUAACUACAAAAAUUUUAAUAAGAGCAUAUAAAAUUAAAUAAGCAUUUAUUAAUAGUCACUUUAGUAUACUUAUCUAAUGACCAUAAGUGUUUAUUUAAUCUAAUGAGCUCUUUUUAAUUUUGUUUGUUUGUUUUUUUAGUAGAGUUUUUGAAAAUUAAAUAAACUAUUUUGUCUCUAUUAGGAAAAACUUAAAAUUUAGGUUUUUGUGAGUAAAUGUUUAAAUUUUUUUUAAAAUAUUAAAAUAUCUUUUCUUUAUUUCAUAAUCUUAUUUCAUUCUUCACAACAUAACUUUAAAUAACUCACCUAUUAAAAUAAUUUCACAAUUUAUAAUAAAAAUUUUAAUUGACAAUCAAAUAACAAAUUUUUUUUUAUAAAAACUCUAAUAAUAAAAAUUCUACUUAAAUAAAUUAUAUUUGAAAAGGUAUACCAAACGAACCUAACAUAAAAACAAAAAUUUUUACAUCCACACAAUUAAGCUUAAAACAAUUUCAAAUGAAUUUUAGACUACUCAAAGUACAAUACGUACCAAGUUUGGUAACUUAUUGGGGUCCGCUUGUAAUACAGCUCAUGAGCUCUUUUUAAAAAAAUUUUGAAUCUCUACUUUCAGAAGCUCAAAUUUUUAGUUUUUAGUUAUAGAGACAAAAUAUCGUAUUUAAUGUUUAAAAGUUCUGCUAAAAACAAUCAAAUAAUUACAAAAAUUUUAACAAGAGCAUAUAAAAUUAAAUAAGCAUUUAUUAAUAAUCACUUUAGUGUACUUUAUCUAAUGACCAUAAGUGUUUAUUUAAUCUCAUGAGCUCUUUUUAAUUUUUUUGUUGUUUUUUUAGUAGAGUUUUUAAAAAUUAAAUAAAUUAUUUUGUCUCUACUAGGAAAAACUUAAAAUUUAGGUUUUUGUGAGUAAAUGUUUAAAUUUUUUUACAAAUAUUAAAAUAUUUUUUUCUUUAUUUCAUAAUCUUAUUUCAUUCUUCACAACAUAACUUUAAAUAACUCACCUAUUAAAAUAAUUUCACAAUUUAUAAUAAAAAUUCUAAUUGACAAUCAAAUAACAAUUUUUUUUUAAUAAAAAUUCUACUUAAAUAAAUUAUAUUUGAAAAAGUAUACUAAACAAACUUUUUUUAGACUAAUCAAAGUACAUCUUCUCAUAAAAUAAUUUCACAAUUUCUAAAAAAAACUCUAAUUGACAAUUAAGUAACAACUUUUUUUUUUUUGUAAAAACUUUAUUUAUAAAAAAUCUAAUAAUAAAAAUUCUAUUUAAAUAAAUUAUAUUUGAAAAUGUAUACUAAACCAACCUAACAUAAAAACAAAAAUUUUUACAUCCAGACAAUUAAGCUUAAAACAAUUUCAAAUGAAUUUUAGACUAAUCAAAGUACAAUACGUACCAAGUUUGGUAACUUAAUUGACAUCUUCUCAUAUAACCUUCGAUCAAGUCGAUUCUGACCUGACGACUAAUUGGUACAUCACCGUUGUUCUCUAUACUCGCAUGCAUCCGAUCACAAAUCUCACUCCAAUUGUCGUCUUUCUUCGGCGUUUUAGCGCAUCCUUCUUGAAUUUCCCGCAUUUCGUUCCCUCCUGUUACAAGUCUCCGGUCAGGUCAGUUCACUUGACGAUUAAUUCGGCAAAUCUCGAAUCUCUUCUCUAUCCCUCUCGUUUUCUCGUGUCUCCUUUCAGUUUAAGUGAUUGAAUCAAUUUUAUCGCAGUCUUAAGAGAAAUUAAGUAAUGCUCUUGGAUUUAAAAUUUUUUUGCUUUCGACUUUAGAUCUCGAAAGUCAAACUCUGCUACGAAUCCAUAGAUUCUCAAUGUUUAUAAUCUUAUUUGUGUUUGACCAGGUAACUGGAUCGUGAAAUUCGUCGUUUUGUAUCAAUUCAGGCUUUCGCGAGCUCAUGGAAUCACCUGGUGAGUUGUGGUGAAACGUUAUCGUUUCAAUUUUCGCUUAAUUCUUUAUUGCAUAUUUUUUCUCUAACAUUUCAGUUUAAUUUAGAAAAGAAAGAGGACCCAAAAAGAGAGAGAGAGAGAGAGACUCUACCAUACUCAAUUCCUUGCUCAUUCUGAUUUGGCCUGAAUGUUGGCAUUGACUAUUAUUUGUUUUCAUUUCGAUUUAAUUCUCAUUUAGACAGUCUUUACUAACGGUCAAUAAUAGUUUAAGGAAAAUGAUAAUAGGGAUUCUGCAAUAAUCUUUCUGCAUUGUUCAAGUUAGUAGACGAUGAAUAGGAUGUUUAUGUUUACCUCAUUUUGAACCCUGAGGGCUUCGUUGAGUAGUUGAUUCAACAUAUCCAGCAACGGUUGAUGUGAGAACAGGAUGCCACUUAGAUAGGCUUAAACUGAUUUUGGAGGUUUGUAUUGGUUCUAUUGUACGUCUUGCUUACAAAUUUUUUAUUUUUUAUUUUUAAUUUUGUAUAAUAUGCUCUUUGUUGGUAAAUCUCAUUUGACUUAGAAGAGAUAGUUUUAUCCCAACAGUGGGAUAAAUCAUUGAGAUGCAUGGCAGUGUGAAUAUAGUAGACAAAAUCAUUGAGACACAUGGUGGUGUGAACAUAGUAAACUUCAUGGAAGCAAUGAAGCUUGAAAUUGAACGUCUGCAGCUGAAUCUUUCUGCAGCUGAAAGGGAUAGAGCUUUAUUGUCAAUCGGAACUGAUCGUGCCUCUAUAAAUCCAAAUGUAUUGCUUGAUGAAUCUUACAUGGGAAGACUGUGUCGAGUAGCAACCACUCUUGCAUUACUUGGCCAAACUUCCCUAGAAGACAAAAUUGUUGGUGCAAUUGGCCUUGAGAAUAGUGAUGAUAGUGUUUUAGACUUCUGGAAUAUUACUAGAAUCGGAGAGAGUUGUUCUGGUGGCUGGUGGCGGGUGCAAGGUUCGUGCAGAAACUAAGGUGCCUGCUCUUGCUUCCUCAACUGCAACAUCUGUUGGAGCUUCACAAUCCCCUUUGUUGUGUUCUCAAUGUGAAAGAAAAGUUUGCAAAGUUUGUUGUGCAGGAAGAGGAGCUCUACUGUUUUCAAAUUAUAAAUCAAGGGAUGUGACCAACUACAAUGGCUUCUCAAGUCAGAGUGGAUCAAGCCAUGGAAGCCAAGUUGAUGUACCUACCAGUCGUUCACUAACACUGGAUGGCGUUGUCUGUAAACACUGCUGCCAUGAGAUUGUGCUUGAUGCAUUGAUGUUGGACCAUGUUAGGGUCUUGAUUAGCUUGCGAAGAAGUUCCCGUGCAGACAACACAGCAUACAAUGCUUUGAAUGAGGUUGUUGGAUCCUGCUUAAAGGAUAGUCUUUCUGAAAGGAUUCAGUCUUCCGAUAACGUGCAAGCUGCUGAAGUCCUUCACCAAUUAUGUGGUGGACAGGAAUCAGUUGCUGAAUUUCCAUUUGCUAGCUUUUUGCACUAGGUAUGUUCUUGGUUUGUAUUCAGUUCUCAUCAUGUUAUGUUUUCCUUUUAAAUUUCUUUUCUUGAUUAAAAUUUUUAGAAAUAUGUUUUAGUAUUUGUUCUUAUGAUAUAUGCCCAGAACAUUCAUCCCACUUAUCCAUGAGAAUCCUUGUCUGGUUUGAUUUUCAAUUGAGACAUUUUUGGGAACCCUGAGCAGGUUCCAUAUGCUAAUAAUCUUUGAGGUAAGGUGUUGUAGGAUGCCUUGAGAAGCUAAAAACCAAUUACAAGGAAAAGCUCUUGCAUUGUUUUGUGCAAUCUGUGUGCUAGCAAGUCAUGUCUCUAAUAAUUUCAUAGUUCGCUUGAUUGGAAUUUUUUAUCUUGAUAUGGAUUGUUUAUUCUAGAUUCCUUGGUGCCACUGUAGGUUGAAACAGCAAAAGAUUCAGCACCGAUUUUGUCACUGCUUGCUCCAUUAAAUUCUGGAUCAAGGCACUCAUAUUGGAGAGCUCCACCUAGUACUACUUCUGUUGAAUUUGUUAUUGUUCUCGGUUCUGUUUCUGAUGUCAGUGGGGUUAUCUUGCUUGUUAGUCCUUGCGGCUAUCUGUGGCUGACACUCCGAUGGUAAGUGCCAUAUUUAUUCCCUUAUUUCCUUGUUGUUCAAUAAAUUUGGUGAUAAGCCAAGUGGCCUUAAUAAUGAAGCCCAGUACCAGGGGUGGUGGGUAAUCGAUAUUCAACUUGUGAAUAUUCCUAAGCAAGCACGGAAUCAACAUAGACGUCGGCAAAAAUUCUCCAUGCUAUUAUAACGAAAGUCAUAUUUUGAAAUGAUUAAAAGAGUCCCUUUGUAGUGCCAUUGCCAAAGAAAUUGCAGCUGGGGGUUUAGUUUCAUGUAGGUUAGUUUCCGAUAAUAAACUUUCCAUUUCAUUAAUUGCUGAUGAAAAAACCAAGUAAGAACAGUUUCGUUGCUCGUCAUUUAUGUAUAUUUUGGUAAACUGUAAUUUUAAAUUCUCAACGAUCUUCCCUUGGUAGGUAAGAAGAUGGUCCACUCACUUUAUAUUUAUGAUUGUAGAUCAGGUUUCUAUUGGUUUGCCUUUAUCAUUGGGAACCCAAGUUUGAUAUUAACAGAGAUCACGUCAAUAAUAUCCUAUUUGGGUAGAUGUGGGUGAGGAUUUAAAAUCAAAUUUGAAAUUGGGGGAAAGAAGAGAAAAGGAACCACAAUAAUUAAACAAAAUAUUAGGAACUAUUCUGAUGAGUUUUAAUCUCGAGAGGAACAAUUUUCAAAUGCAAAUUUAACUGCUAGAGAAAUUGUAGCUUUUUGUCAUUAGUUAAGAGGAAAGAGAAUAAGAACUAUCCAGCCCUUUCCUUCAUGAAUGUGUGUUGAGGUUGCUGUAUUAUUUAGUCAGUAUUUGUAAUUUUCUUCCCUGCAGUGCUCUCUGCCUCCUGAAUUUGCUACUGAGUCCAUAUUUUUCUUUGAGCUGUUGCUUCCUAUUGCUGUUACAAGUACAAAUCUGGGCAAGCAAUAAGAUACACCGGGAGGAAAGGUCAUCAAUGGGAAAAUGGGAUGUCCAAUCCCUCAUCACAUCUUCUUCAGACUUGUAUGGUCCAGAAAAGACAGCUAGUGUUGAAAAAUUACCUAGGCAUGUAAAAUUUACUUUUAAGAAUCCUGUUAGGUGCCGCAUUGUUUGGAUCACAUUACGUCUUCAGAGACCUGGUUCGGCUUCAGUUAAUUUCGGGAAGGACUUCAGUCUUUUGUCUCUUGAUGAAGAUGAAAACCCCUUUGCGCAAGUAGACAGACGUGCUUCAUUUGGAGGAGCAGUUGAAAAUGAACCAUGUAUUCAUGCCAAAAGAAUUCUUGUAGUCGGAAGCCCAGUAAAAAGGGAGGGGCUUACCUCAUCACAGAGCUCUGAGCAGCUAAGUAUUAGAAACUGGUUGGAUAGAGCUCCACAAAUGAGUAGAUUCAAGGUAUUAGUUGCUUUCACUCUUUGUUCAUUCAUAAUUCCAGCUUUCUGCUUGAUGCCCUGCCUCUGAUAAACCUCUUUUUUUCUCUUCAGGUCCCAAUUGAGGCCAAGAGAUUGAUGGACUACGAUCUCGUCUUGGAACAAUAUCUACCUCCAGCGUCACCUUUGCUUGCCGGAUUCCAUCUAGACGCUUUCAGUGCAAUAAAACCUAGGGUUACCCAUUCACCUUCCUCAGAUUCAGAUAUCUGGGACAAAUCAGUAACAUUUUUAGAAGACAGGUACAUCUCUCAAGCUGUGUUGUAUUUACAAGUAUCCGCACUCCAGGAACCACAUAACAUGGUAACUAUUGCGGAAUAUCGACUGCCGGAGGCUAGAGCCGGAACGCCAAUGUACUUUGAUUUCCCAUGACCGAUACAGUCCCGACGAGUUUCAUUCAAGCUUCUUGGAGAUGUUACAGCAUUUGCAGAUGAACCUUCAGAACAAGAUGAUUCAGGAUUGAGAGCUCCACUUGUGGCCACAGGUUUGUCUUUGUCAAACAGAAUCAAGUUAUAUUAUUAUUGUGAUCCUUAUGAGCUCGGAAAAUGGGCAAGCCUUUCUGGAGUUUGAUCGUUAUUUAUAUGUCAGAGAAAGGGUUUUGGGUUUGAUUUUGAUUUUGAUUUGUAAUUUUUGUCAGUUUAUUGAAAUUUUUUGUUGUAUAAAAGCAGAAUGUAAAGGUAUAAAAAUUCAUUGAUGCUGCAAUGUCUGUGCUUUUGAGAAAGAAGAAUUAAUUGUCUUUUCUAUGCCAUUGGAGUUUCCCACUGCUUGUAUACUUGGGCUGUCGAAUGCUCUGUGAACCUUAAGGGCUAUAAAGUAAUUUUCAAGACUGAAGGAUUUAUUAAUCGAGUUCAAAAGAUUGUAAGUUGGUGACUGGUGAGCGUUGGCAUUUAAAAAUCAAUUGUUAUUCUCUCAAUAAUCUCUCUCUUCUCCUCGUGAAGUGUUUUCUUUUUCGAGUGAAGGUGGUUUUCCACUUGCAUACGUCGGGGGUCUUAUGAUAUGUAAUGUGUGAAAUUUCUUUCUCAUUUUACCAUAAAGAAAAAUGUUGUAAUAAUCUAAAGCUCGAGUCUUAAAUUAUCUUAAAUUUAUAUUUAGAGUGGAGCUAUUCGCAACCCUAUAUUAAAAUUACAAUUAAAAACAAUUGAAAAUUAAACACUUAUAGAUUCUUUUUACAGCAAAUUACUUAAUUCAUAAUCAAUCCUUUAAAAAAAAAAUACAUAUGUUAUUUCUUAUCUAACUAAAAUAAAUUGUACAAAUUUAGAAUAAUCUAUUGUUCUCUUUUGAUUUCUUAUUAUUUAAAUAUUUUUAUACAUAAAGUUACUUUGAAAUUAUAAUUUGAAAUAUGUGUUAUUUCAGCCAAUGAUUAACACUAAAAAAUUUAUCACCCAUAUAACUUUUUAAUUUGUGUGUAGGGUAAUAAUAAAAUCGAAAAUAAUUAAAAAAAUAGUACAAUAAUGAUUUUUAACAAUAAAACAAAUCAAAUGAAAAUUGAAAAUUUAGAAAAGUGUAUCUAAAAAAAGGAACGUUUUCAAAAAUAAAAUGAAUAUAACUAAAAAGAGAUUUUAUGAGGAGAUCACUGGGGUGCCAAUAGUCCAACUUGUAAUUAAGAAUCUCCCAUUAUAUUGUCAACCAAAAAGACACUUGAAUAAGAAGAAGAAUUUAUCAGUUUGAUUUUAUUUGUAGAUCCAACAUUUCUCAUAUCCUGAACGCCUUUUCGUAUCAAAUUAAAACAGUAGUAGCAAAAUCGUAGUAUUAAAAUCGUAGUGCACAUUCAAUUAACCAACUAAUAGUCUUUGGUAUAAGAUUUUAUAUUAGGUAGCCAAGUAGGUUGUCCAUCCCACUCAGACAUGCACGAAAGCUAAAUUCAUCAAAUGAAUUACUUAAGAAGUAUUUGAUAAUUUUGAAAUUAUCAAAAGGUGUUAUACUAUUAAAUAUUUUUAUACUUAAAAUUGUUUUGAAAUUAUAAGUUCAAAUUAAAAUAAUAGUAGCAAAAUCGUAGUGCACAUUCAAUUAACCAACUAAUAGUCUAAGAAGCAAAGAGAGGAUUACAAGUUCACAACACCAUUACAAAGGAUUCAAAAUUCCCACACGAAUACAUCAAUGUACAGAUUAUAAACAAUCCGAAUUGGACACAAGAAAAACCCUUCAAUAGAUUGCUUGCCUUCCCAAUGCUAUAUACUGUGCAAACUGCGCAUUGGCCAAGAAAAUGUUUUCAAUUUAGUGUAUUUUCAAAAUGCUUAUUUUCUCAUAGUAUAAAAAAUAAAAAAAAUAAGAAAGAAUUCUCACAUGUUUCAUCAGCAUGAUUAAAAUCAAAGAAGAAAGCGAGACAUAAUGUCUCUGACAUAAUAAAAUUACAAAAAUUUCAAGGAAAAAAAAAGGUUAAAACAUGUAAUCUUCAGAAGCAUAUAAUAAAAGAACACUUCCACAAAUUACUACAAUUUCAUGCAGUAGAGAUUGAAGAGUUGAAUUCCACUAAUUUUAAUAAUGAAAACAACAACAGAGGAUUAACUGAUGCUUUGACUUAUUAGUUCUGCAGAGCAUCUCCAAAAGCCUAUAUAAAUUUUACUCUUCAAAUACUUAUUUGCUUACCUAUGUGGCAAAUAAAAGGGUGAAAAAAUAUGAUAUUCUCCAAAAGACUCUUCAAAUAGAAAAAAGUUAAUAUUAUUUUAAUCAUAUAAUUAAUUUUUUAAAGAAAAAGUCAAUAGCAAUUAAAGCACUUCUCUCUCUUUCUUCAAUGAAAAGUAAUAAAAUAUAAAUUGAAGAGGGAGAAAUUAACUCUCCAAAUUUGAAGAGAGAGAAUUAAUUCUUAUUUAAAGAAUCUUAAUUGAAGUGUCUUUUGGAGCUUUAAAUAUUGAUGUGGCUCUUCAAAUAAGUAAUAAAAUCUUAUUUGAAGAGCCUUUAAAUAAGGUGCUUUCAAAAGCAAAAUGGAAUACAUAGAUAAAAACAUCAUCUUAAACAAAUCACAAUCUAGAAUUAGAGCAUUUUCGACAUACCUAAGGAAAACGAAUACGUGAAAACGGGUGAUUCAUUUGUUAAGGAGUGUUGAUUUGGUCGUCUCUGCAAAUUCUUUAGGGACUCGGUUCCAAUUCCUCAUCAUCAAAACUGUAAUAUAAUUCCCCUUCAUCAGAACUCGAAUCGAUGCAAUAUAAUUCCCCUUCAUCAGAACUCGAAUCAAAUUCACUUGCAGCAGUUCCACUCGCGCUUGGCAAAUCAUCCAAUUUCCAAACUUCGGUAGCAAAAUUGAGAGUAAAAGUGUUGGCUUUGAUCUCGCUGGGAUUUGCAUAUACUGGACAUACUCCGCAACGUUUUAUCUUCUGACCCUUUUGGACCUUUAUUAUGUUUCGGUAACGCUCAUUGAAGAACUUAAGUGAGACAGUUGUAUGAUGGUAACCAUCAGGAAAGCCAACAUUCAAGCAAGGUUUAAAACCAAGUAUGACAUGAUCUGAAUCAUGGGGGUCUUUAAUAGAGUCCCAAUAGAAACUCAGAUCAACAUGUUUGGUUUCAGAGAGAGUCUUUAUUUCUAAGUCGGAUCGACAGUAAACGUAAAAAUAACGAGAACGAUCAGAAUAAAGUUGCUUAAAAUCAAGAACAGCACAAAAAGCAAACCCGAUUAAGUUUCUGCAAAAAGAGUGCGGUGGCAGUUGAAUACGUAUCGAAGAUCCUGAACUUUGAUUGCUGAACCAGUCAGGAAUUUCGCUCCCAGGUAAAACAAUUUGGGAUUCCCUGAGUUCAGAAAGUUUCUGUGAAACGACAUUUAAAAAAAGAAAAUUGUAAAAUGAAAACCAUGAUUUCAGAUAUAACAAAGAGGGACAGAGUAAACAAGAGAGGGAAUUUGAUACCUCGUUGUAUGCAUUUUCAUAGCCCAGUCUCAGUGAUGCUGCAAUUGCCAUACGUAGUGAAUCUGCCAAAAUCUUGUUGUUUGCUUUUCCAUCAAGUUUCAAGCAGUUAGUAAACCCAAAAUAAAUUGGUUGUGGCGUCACAUAUUCCGGAUGCCAUUGACGAAGGUCAGGAGAGGGUUUGGAUAGCUUUUCGAGUACGGAUGCAUCUAGUUCUUGUACACAUGACGGAAUCUCUGGCAAAGAUUGAAGCCGGUUGCAGUUCAUUGCAAUUAGUGACUGUAGACACAAUGGAAGUUCAGGUAAUGACCGAAGCAUGUUACAAUCCUCCAAGUGAAGAGUUUCUAAACCCAAUGGAAGUGCUGGUAAUGACUGAAGCAUGUUACAACGCCACAAGUGAAGAGUUUCUAGACCCAAUGGAAGUUCUGGUAAUGACUGAAGUAUCUUACAAUCCCUCAAUUCAAGAAAUUUUAGGCCCAAUGGAAGUUCUGGUAAUGACUGAAGCAUAUUACAAUCCUCCAAGUAAAGAUAACUUAGCCACGACAGUUGCUUGAUACUUGCAGGUAAACUCUCAAAGUUAUUUCCAUUUAAAUUGCCAAUGUUAUCCGGCAACUUAUCAAGUACAGAGCAACCACUUACGGACAAAAGUACAAGCCCCGUUUGCAAUGCCUCAAAUCCAACUUUUCAAGAUCAGUUAGGCACUCUACUGAUGAUGGAACUUCUUCUAUUGCAGUCUGGCCCAAGUUUAGCGAUGUUACUUUCCCAGAAAUCUGUGGAAACUCUAUGAGAUUAACACAAUAGGAGAAAUCAAUAGUUACUGGACAAACAAAAUGAAGAUUGCUAGGAAAAGACCUAAGACUUUUGCAGCCCAUAAAAUCCAACCUACUGAGAUACUUGAAAUUCUGGAUAUAUGAGGGAACACAAGCCAAGUUUGUAUAAUCCAAAAGAUAUGUUUCAACAUUUGGGGUUUCUAAUGGGCCUGGCAUCUUAAUGAAAUGUCGAGAAUGGCUGAGGUUAAUAGAUUUUAACUUGAAAGCUUCCUGCAAUAACAGAUAUAUAAAGACUAUAUUAAUUAAAAAGCAACAUUGAAUUCAACAAUUAAUUGCACGUAUAUUUAAAGAAAGAAAAAAUUAAUGUUUUAGUUUUAGUACAGAACUUACCUUUUCUCCUUCCCAAAGUUGCUCAACUUUACUAAAACGCAAAUUCAGUUCAACAAGGUUCUUUGGCUUGAAAUUUGAUGGCAGUGUCCUUAAGGGAUAUGUGUCCCAAUGAAGAUAUCUCAAUUUUUUAGGAAGAUAAUCUAGGCCAUUUGGAAGCUGCACUUUAGAGUAUGAAAGUUGCUCUUCAAUGCUCAUACUUAGAAACUUUUCAAUCUCAGGUACAUAAAAUUUGAGCAAUCUUAGAUUAGACAUUUUUGUGAAGGCUCCAGGGUCUAAAUUGAUGCCUUUUAUUUUGGACAAAUCCAGAAAUAUGCCUUCAAUUGCAUCGGUCCCCUUAUUAAAAAAAAAAACAAAGAAUGAGUAACCCUAAAACAGAAAAGAAACAUUCGCAAACUUUAUUAACUAAGAACUCCUUAAACAAAAACAAAUUCUGCAAUCUUUGAUUUUAUUUUUUAAAAAUAUUAAAUAUCUAUAUAUGAGAAAAGAAAAUUUUGGGGACCAUUGCAAAAUUAAACUAACCAAAAAAAAAAUUCAAAAUUUCUCUAAUUUACAAACCUGUUAUCUUAAUAUCUAGAAGUUGAGAAGACAAGGCGUAUUUGAUUGGUAUAAGAUUUCGAUUUUUUUUUUAGUCCAUAGAAUCCAAAAUGUUUGUUCAAAAUCAGGGAAAAAAACGAAAGUUAUUUUUUUUUCCACUAGCUGUAAUUGUAUCCAAGUCAAAUUGAGAUACGACCCUUUUCGAAAGGAUUUAAUCAUCUUAUAGCCUCCUUAAGAUACAUUUAAGCUAAAAGGAGUGAUUGGAGGCAGAACUUAGUGGGCCAAUCAGUUCAUUUUAUUAGCGACUGUUGCUUAAAAAAAAUUAUACUCUAAAACACACUUACUUUUUUGAAAAAAAAUAUAAUUAUAUUUAAGUAGAACCAGGUGGGCCAAUCCUCAUGGCACUCACUUUGUUCUGACACUCUUCACUAAAUUUGAAGAAAAAUAAAAUUAUACUCUUCACACUCUUAUUCAACAUUCCAAAAUUGAUAAAAUCUGGAGUUUUCUUUAAAAUUUUAAAAUUUGAAGACUUGUUCUCUUGACACCCUCAGUCAUUAAUUUUACCUAAUUAUGGUUUUGGUUGUUUUGUUCAUAAAAAUGCUUUUACUAAAGGAUGUUCUGGUAAUGAAAAAAUUUAUAAAAAAACAAACAUGGGUGUGCUGAUAUAGUUGGAAAAAUAUGAGUGCAUAACUCCAAACAAAUAAAAGAUACAUAAAAAAAAAAAAGGAGGAUUCUUACCAUAUUAUGCUUUAGUACGCGGCGGAUUUCCUUAGGAUCCCACAACCUACUGCGUCUGCCUGGCUCUUCCUCAGAUUCUUGGCGAACAAUCUCUCGGCCCAUUUCUUGCAAUAAAUCAUGCAUUUGCAAGCAGUUAUCUGACACUGUUAUAAGUGACUUGUCCACGAGGACAUCCAGUCUGUGAGACCCAGAAUCAUCAAGUAUCCUUAACACAAAAUCUUUAUCCUCUCCCUCAAGGAAACACGCAAUAUCUAGAAACAUACUCUUCACCCUGGGCGUUAAUUCUUUAAAACUAAUCUUUAAUGUAUCAUAAAUACCAUGAAUAUCAGAUUCACAAAUCCGAUUUAAGUCGUCCAAUACAUUUUCCCAAUGGCUUUUCCCCUUGAGAUACAGGGAGGAACCCAACACUUUAAGAACUAAUGGAUUGCCAUCGGCAUACCAUACAACCCUCCAUGAGUGCCGGUAGAGAUCUUCAGGACAAUGAUUUUCUUUAACAGCGAAGUUACAAAAAUGCUCGAAAGCCUCAUCAAAUUUCAAUCCAUUGACCCUAUAUAUUUUCUCCACUCCAAAUUUUUCGAGGACUCGUUUAUCCCUGGUGGUUACAACAAUUCUACUUCCUGGACCAUAUUGAUCAAGCCCUCCAAUCAAACCCUCUAAUUGUUCAUCUUUAUUCACAUCAUCGAGUACAAUCAACACCUUCAUGCGUCGGACCCUCCCUUUAGUAAAUUGUGGAAUAUUGGGACCAGCUACUUCAAGUUUUUCACUUAAUAUUGUCGAAAGCAUUUCCUUUUGUAGGUCUUCUAGGCCACCCUCUGUUUCUGAUUUUCUCCUAACAUUUUUUGCAAAGUAUUUACCAUCAAACUCACCAGAGAAUUGAUCGAAAAUAGCUUCAGCAAGGGUAGUUUUGCCUAUACCACCCGUGCCCCAAAUUCCAACAAUAUGGACAGUAUCCCACAAAUCCAUACACAGAAAUGGUUUAAUCUGCUCAAUUCGUGAAUUUAAUCCAACUAGGCCAUUGGAUGAGUCCGUUGAGACUGUUAUUUUUUCCAACUUCUUCAAAACAUCAUCGACAAUUUUGUUUACAAGUUCCGCAUCGUGCCUAAUAUAAAGGUGCAAAGAUGCAAAAACAUUGAGUCAAAUCGGGCCAAGACAGAAACAGAGAAAAGAUGAAUUAGGAAAGAGAGUUACCUGAAUUUCGUGGAUUCAUGGCCGGCUAGAUGGGAUGUUUCUGUCAGUGCAUCCCUCCACUUCUGAACCAUUUCUGGUUUAUCUUCGAACUGUUUUUUGAGCUCAUCAAAACGGUCUCCAAAUGUUCCGUUUUGAUGCCGCACAUCAGAUGGACUUACUCCAUAGAAGACUGGAAUAAUAAUUUGGCCGUUUGUGUUCUUGCAUUCAAGAAUCUUGACAAGUUCAUUCAGGCACCAUUUUGAAGAAGCGUAGUCCUUUGAGAAAAUGACCACCGAAAUUUUUGAACCUUGGAUUGCGUUCAAAAGGGCGGGUGAAAUCUCAUCUCCUCGCCUAAGCUCUUCAUCAUCAAUAAAUGUUUUGAUUUUUUUUCCUUCAUACAAUUUAUCAUAAAGAUAGCAAGUAAAGCUCUUACGAGUGUCCUCCCCUCUAAAGUUGAGGAAGACUUCAUAAUUGCAAGAAGAAGAAGAGGAAGCCAUGAAGGAAAUUCUAGAAAUUUGAAAGUAGAUUUAGGGAAUUAUAAAAAGCUGAAGGAAAUUGGAAUUUUGUACAGUUUCUCCAGCGAGGAACUUUCACCUCCGCACUAGAUUCUUAAGUUUUGAAAAUUAUGAGACCUUUAUAUUGGAAGAUAUUAUAAUCGAAUCAAAACUUAAAAUUUUAAUAUUGUUAAUCUUUAAUCUUUAAAAAAAAAUUACCUCGCCGUUACAGUUUGGAUUAAGAUUUGAGCAAGCAUUUACCUAAAUUUUAUCUCCGCCUGUAAAUUCUUAUGUUUUAAAAAUUAUGAGACCUUUAUAUUGGGAGAUAUUAUAAUCGAAUCAAAAUUUUGAAUUUCAAUAUUAUUAUUCUUUUAAAAAAAAAAUUGAGAUAACAGAGUGAUUGAUAAUAUAGGAGAACUUGUCUAGGCAAGCACAUGCAUACACAGAAAUGUGAUGGAUUCAAAAAGAAAUUAAAGUGAUAAUGUACGUGGAUCCUUAAAAUAAAAAGCGAAAUCGCUUGGUGGCCCAGUAAAAUUAGAGAACAAAGAAGAAUUAGUUAUUGAUAUACAAAAGAGAAACACUCCAAAAUUUCAAGCAAAAAUAGUUUCAUAUACCAUUUCAAUUUUGUAAGGGGUGAGGUUUUGAAUUUCAAUAGUUUCCUCUAAAAUCAAAAGGCAACAAUUAAGUUAGAAAGAGCAAAGAAGACUUAUUAGUACCUUAUUAAAGGUAACAUUAUGGAACUUUCAAUUUCAUUACCUCACUCUUCAAUUUUUAUUGAGAUUUGUGCAAGAAUUUACCUAAAUAUUACCUAAAAUUGAGAUAUCAGAGUAAUAUCAAAUAGAAAAACUUGCCACGGUAAGCCAAAAGUCUAGUCAACCACAUGCAUAAAGCUAAAUAGAACAACUAACAAGAGAACAGAGAAACGCGUGGGUCCCUAAAAGAAAAGGCAAGCACAUAGAUGAAAAAGCCAUUACAUUUCGAUUUUACAUGUCAUUAAUUUCUGUAACACGGUGUGUGGCAGCAUAUGCACAAUCAAGUGAGGCAAAAGGGAUUCGAUUAUCGUGGCAGAACAUGAACGAGGACGCGUGAUGAAUAAUUCCUUCGAUAAAACGAAAAACAAACGCAGAGAAAAGAAUUUCUUAUAUGACAAGAAAUCAAAGAAAUCAAAGUAAUGUUUCAUUUUCCCUUCCCUACCUUUUUUUUGUUUUAUUUUUAUAGCAAAGAAUUAUAUCAUGAAAAGAAUCAAUUUAAUCACCUUUUCUAGCAGCACAAUUUUUCUUUUAUAAAAUUUGACCAGGGAGACAAAGAAUAAUUAUUCAUACCUUCAUCACUAAGGAAAUACUUUUCGGUAUGGCUAAGGUGAGAAAAGGCUUUCCACAAAAACUUGUACUUUGUAUUCCUGUAAAUUUUCUUUAAAGUCAAUAAAAACCAUAAGUUCUUUACAAUAACCAUCUCUUUGAUAAAAAAGUGCCGUAUUCCUUUAGAAUUUAAAACCGGCAAAACUGAAUCAGUGUCUUUGAAGAGACAUAAUGGUCGUAAUUCUUUAAAUGAGUUGGCUAUGGAAAUCGUUAUCCAAGAUUCUUUUACGCCAUAUUCUUUCGUAAACCAAAAUUCAUUUUGGAAUACUCUGUUGAGAAUGUCAAAUAAAACGGCAUUGAAGGAAGUUUUCAAAGGCAGAAUCUGCACUUGUCAGAUGGAUGAUCUGCACUUGUCAAAGACACAAUCCGCGUCGAACGAAUCGACACAUUUCCUUUCGUAUUCACAUAUGCAAUUUUUGAAAAAAUGUAGCUUUUACAUCUAUAAAUAACACUCAGUGUAUAAUGUUUUAUUCAAGAAAAGAAAACAAGUUUCUUCAUGGUAUCAGAGCCAUGAAUACGCUCAAGUUUCUUCAAGUUUCGCUGCUCUGUUUGUAACAAAAACAGAGAAAACCAAAAUCUUCCCACAACCAUUUUUUCCACCAUUUUCUUCCUUAAAAUCAUUCCUACCAUUAUAGAAAUCCAUGCCGAUCAAAAAACAAGCCACCCAUACGUAAAAAACUUGAGUUUACAAAUUUAUCAACAAUCUCAUAAAUUAGAUACAAAACAACGUGAUGUUAAAUCUCCAGAACUGCAGCAGUCUUAAAACGACAUGUCGUUUCUAUUCCAUCAGAACCGACAUAUCAUUUCUUUAAGCAGAGGCCAAACGACUUGUCGUUUUUUUUUUUAUCUAAAAAAGUUAUUUUUUCUUAUUUCAAUCUAGACGCCAAAAAAAAAACAAAAAAAUGGAGAAAACUCCAACUGAAUCUGAUCCUGUUGUCAUUCAAUCUGUUCAAUCUGAUGAGUAUUUAAUGUUGGAAUUAUCUUCACUGAGACAAACUACGAUAUUUGGUCUUAAAUAAUGGAGUUGCAUCUCGCAGAAAGAGAAAAACUCUCAUAUAUUUGUAGCAACACAAAGUCAUCUGAGGAAUCUUCAAAGGAAUAUGAGAAAUGGUAUAGUGAGAAUGAAAAGGUAAAAAAAUGGUUACUCAUAUCCAUGUCUCUGGAUAUCAUGAAGUGAUAUUUACGAAUUCCUACAGCCUACGAAAUAUGGGAUGCAUUAUCAAAAGCCUUCUAUGAUGGAAUCGAUGAAUUACAAGUUUUCACUCUAAACCAGAAGGCGUCUCUACCAAGAAAAAUUGACAGCCACUAUCUAAAUUCUACGGAGAAUUGAUCGAAAUAUUUUGAGAACUUGAUCACCGAGAUAAAGUGAUCAUGAAGGAUCCAGAAGAUGUUGUAAUAUACAAAAGGUCUGUUGAAAGAUUGAGAGUUCACAUUUUUCUUGUUGGGCUAGAUGAAGAAUUUAACCAAGUUCGUGGAGAAAUUCUAUGAAAAGAUAUUAUCCCAGACUUAGAAGAAUGUUAUUCUUUGAUCUGAAGAGAAGAUGUACGGCAAAACAAACUAAACAAGAAGGUCGACUCAGAAACGUUUGCUAUGAUAGCACGACAACAGCCUCAAAGGAAGCUUGUUGACAAGUCAUCACUCCAUUGCACUCAUUGUAGGAAGAAGGGUCAUAUGAAAGCACAAUAUUUUGAAAUCAUUUGAUAUCCUGACUGGUGGGAUACUUGAAAGAAAAACAUCAAGCAGGGAUAAAAAACUGCAGUAGCUGAAUCCACAUCCACUACAGAUCUUAGAAAAGAAUCUUCAGUGCAAAUCGCAACCUCUGUUAGUCCAGGUAAGGCCCUUAAAACUCUUAUACUUGUUAUUAAUAGUACAUGGAUAAUUGAUUCUGGGGCAACUGAUCAUAUGACUUUUGAUUCUCGACAAGUUUCUCAAUUGAUACCAUCUUCACAAAAACAUGUUUCCACUCCAAAUGGAACCACAACCUUAGUUAUUGGGGAAGGAUCUUUACGACUCACAUAUAAAUUAAAUUUAGACUCUGUGUUAAUUGUUCCAUCUUUAGAUUAUAAUCUUUUAUCUGUGUCUCAAUUAACCACUUACUUAUCAUGUGUUGUAAUUUUUUGGCCUGAUCAUUGUGUGUUUAAAGACAUCCAAACGAAGCAAACGAUUGGUUAUGGUAUUAGACGGGGCCACUUGUACUAUUUGGAGAUGACAUCAACAAACACUGGAAAGCUAAGCCCUGCACUAGUCGCAGAUAGUUCCAUAAAAAAAAGGAAAUCAGAAAUUUGGUUAUGGCAUAGACGUUUAGGGCAUGUGUCAUUUGGUUACUUAAAAAAAUUAUUUCCUAGUUUAUUUCUGAAAUUUGAUAUUUGUAACUUUAAAUGUGAUGUUUGUGAACUUUUAAAAAGUCAUCGAACUACUUUUCCAUUGUCCUUAAAUAAGAAUCAAGUUCCUUUUAUGGUAGUACAUUCUGAUGUAUGGGGGCCAUCGAAAGUUUCUACAAUUGGAGGUGCUCGUUGGUUUGUUACAUUUAUUGAUGAUUGUAGCAGAAUGACAUAGAUUUUUCUGAUGAAAUCGAAAGACGAAGUAAACUCUUUAUUUUAAAGAUUUCAUAAGAUGGUGACGACUCAAUUUCAGACACAAAUUCGAGUUCUACAUACUGAUAAUGGAGGCGAGUAUAUGAGCACAACAAUUCAACAGUUUCUGAAAUCACAAGGAACUGUCCAUCAAACCACUUGUGUGGGGACACCCCAACAAAAUGGCAUUGUUGAACGAAAAAACAGACAUUUACUAGAAGUUGUUCGAGCAUCACUAAUCCAGGCCCACAUGCCACUAUCUUAUUAGGGAGAAGCACUGGCAUCCGCAGCAUACUUGAUCAAUCGAACACCUUCAAGCUCCCUUGGAUUCCAGACUCUUUUCCAGGUUCUAAAUGAUGCAAUUAUGUCACCAAAUGUGCCGAAUUUACCCCCACAUGUGUUUGGCUGUGUUGCCUUCGUUCAUUUGCCGCAACAAGACAAAUUAUCUCCUCGAGCACUACGUUGUGUGUUUGUAGGGUAUGCCUUACAGCAAAAGGGAUACCGAUGAUAUGAUCCACCAUCAAGAAAAAUAUACAUCACCAUGGAUGUCGUCUUUCAUGAAGAUAUCAUAUACUACUUGUCAAAGCCUGAAUUUCAGGGGGAGUAUAAUGAAGAGGAAAUUCAUAAUCUUAUAUAUCUUCCACCUAAAGAAGAUCAAUCUUCCAUUGAGGUUGUAAACCUUCAAGAUACUGGAAAAGAAAAUGGUGGUGAUUCUCAGGCUGAGAUAAGUGAAGACACAUUUGGGGAGCAAAAUAACUUAGACACAACUGCAAUCGAGAAUGAGUCACAUGAAGAAAUACCUAACUAAUCGUCUGCAGAGGAUGUUCCUACCACAAGUCCUAGUCUAGUCAGAAGAAUUCUUCCUCAGCGUCAAAAUAGAGGUAUCCCUAAACCCACAUAUGAGCCCGACCUUUCUAGUAGAGUCAAAUACCCUAUGAUUUAUUUUGUGUCUAACCAUCGCUUGUCAGAAUCAAAUCAGUCAUUUGUGAAUCAAUUAUCUACUGUAUCUAUUCCUAAUAGUGUGCAGGAAGCCUUAAAAGACCCAAAGUGGAAAGCGACUAUGAAUGACGAAAUGUGAUCUCUUCAAAAAAAUCAAACAUGGGAACUAGUUGAUCUUCCACCUGGAAAGAAACCAGUGGGUUUCCGAUGGAUCUACACUAUAAAGUACAAAGCAGAUGGCUCUAUUGAACGAUACAAAGCAAGGCUCGUAGCUAAGGGUUACACCCAAACCUACGGGAUAGAUUAUGCCAAUAUGUUUGCACCGGUAGCAAAAAUUAAUACUAUUCGUAUCUUAUUAUCAUUAGCAGUCAACUUGGAUUGGCCAGUGUAACAGUUCGAUGUAAAGAAUGCUUUCCUCCAUGGAGACCUGUCUGAAAAAAUUUAUAUGGAUAUGCCACCAGGAUGUAGUGGACCAGAACGACUCAAUCAGAAAGUAUGCAAAUUGAAGAAAUCAUUGUAUGGGUUGAAGCAACCCCUAAGAGCAUGGUUCGGGAAAUUCACAAAGGCUAUGGUUCUUUUUGGGUAUAACCAAAGCAAUUCAGAUCAUACCUUGUUCAUUAAAAAAUGACAAGGUAAAAUCACUGCCCUCAUUUUCUAUGUGGAUGAUAUGGUAGUCAUAGGUAACGACGGGGAAGCAAGAGAGGCUCUUCAGAAGUACUUGUCGAGAGAGUUUGAGAUGAAGGAUUUAUGAGCCUUAAAAUACUUUCUUGGAAUUGAGGUUUCUCGAUCUAAGGGAGGAAUUUUCCUGUCUCAAAGGAAAUAUGCUUUAGAUCUAUUAAACGAAACGUGAAUGACAGCUUGUCAGCCUAUUGACACCCCAAUAGAAGAAGGACUGAAGUUUUGUAUUACCUCAGACUAAGUUCCAGUAGACAAAGGAAGAUAUCAAAGGCUGAUUGGAAGAUUGAUGUACUUGUCCCACACAAGGCCAGCUCUUGCUUAUGCAUUGAGUGUUGUAAGUCAGCUUAUUCAUAAUCCCGGAGAACAACACAUGAAAGCAGUAAUGCGGAUCCUAAGGUACCUGAAGUCAAAUCCAGGAAAAGGAAUCCUAUGUUCCAAAAAUGGAGAUUACAGCAACAUAGAAGUUUAUACUGAUGCAGAUUGGGCCCGGUCAGUUAGUGAUAGACGCUCUACCUCAGGAUACUUUACCUUAGUGGGAGGCAACCUUGUCACAUGCUGCUUCACUUGCUGCCAAUCCAGUUCAUCAUUCAAGAACAAAACAUAUAGAGAUUGAUGUUCACUUUGUGAGAGAUAUAAUUUCCAACGGCGGAGUGGAAGUAAGAUAUGUCCCUACUGAAUAUCAGCCUGCAAACAUCUUCACAAAAGCUCUUCCUGCUGAUAUGUUUCAACAGUUGCGAGACAAGCUACAUAUUCUUCCUAGAACAUUGCGCUUGAGGGGGCAUUAUGAAAAUAUUGUAGCAGAGCUACCAAACUUGAGUAAUACGAAUUCAAAGUUGUUAGAUGACAUGGCAGCACACUUGGCAUUCAUUGGUGUUUUGGAAAGUUAAAGUGAUCAACCUUAUCUCUUAGCUUAUCAUUAAUUCAAGCUGCACUUUUGUAUUUAUCAAGAUCAAGAUAAAGAUAACAAUUGUGCUAGGCUUGAUCUUAUUCUUGGCAUUAUCGUGUUUCCUGUAGAGCAUUAUAAAUGUAAUGAUUAUGAGAUGAAUAAAAUAACGAAAAUGUGUUUUGUUUCUUCUUUAAGCUCAUCUUUAUAAUUUAAGUUGGUAUCAGAGCAUGGCGAGCUCCAAUUCUGCGAAAUUAGUCAAUAUGAAUACUGUAAACCAAACACCACAAAUUUCUAAUUUUUUGACUCCUGUCAAAUUGGAUAGGCAAAAUUUUAUGAUAUGGAAGUCUCAAGUGCUACCUUCCAUUCGUGGUAACAAUCUUGAAAGCUUGAUCAAUGGAGCAAAACUUGUACCCACUAAAUUCUUGGUGCAAGUAGAAGAGGAUCAAACAGUAACGACUGUGGAAAAUCCAGAAUAUAUACAAUGGCUGAGACAAGAUCAGCUUUUACUUAGUUGGCUUUUGUCCACUAUGACUGAAUCAGUUUUAAGCAUAGUGGUGCAGUAUACAACCUCUUUUGAGGUUUGGAAUGCCUUGAAGACAUUGUUUGCAUCUCAGUCAAAGGCUAGAAUUUUGUAGCUCAAGAUGCAACUCCAAACCACGAAAAAGAAUGCUAUGACCAUGAGUGACUAUGUCAACAAAAUGAAAAAUUUAGCUAAUAGCCUGGCAAUGGCUGGAAAAUAUGUUACUGAAGAUGAUUUAAUUUCUUAUAUUCUUGCAGGUUUAGGAACUAAAUACGACCCUGUGGUUGUAAAUAUUACAGCAAGAACAAAUGAUUUAUCUCUGCCUGAAGUAUCCUCUCUUUUGCUCAAUCAUGAAAGUCGAAUGGAACAACUCUCAGCUGCUGCAAAUCUUGAGUCUAAAGGCAGUUUUAAUGCAAAUUUUGCAGGAGCUUCUUUUCACAAAAGGAAAGUUAUAAGAAAAGGCUUUAUGUCAGGAAGUUUAUGAGGCAAUGAACGUGGUAGAGGCAAAGGAAGAACCAAUUUUAGCCGUGGUGGAAAUAGGCCAACCUGUCAGAUAUGUGGCAAAUAUGGACAUUCAGGAUAUCAAUGUUUCUUCCGCUUUGAUCGGGGGUUCUCUGCAAGACAAGAGGCAACACAAGCAGGUCAAGCCUCUGCCUAUAUGGCACUCCCUGCUGAAGAAAUAGAUAAUGGAUGGUAUUUGGACAGCGGAGCAACACACCAUGUUACAAAUGAUUUAAACAAUCUGCAGAUUAAGUUAGAAUUUAAGGGAGGUGAGAAGCUGGUAGUAGGUAAUGGUAAAACUUUAGCAAUAUCUCACAUUGGCAGUGCACUUAUUUAUAUUCCAAACCAUGAACCAUUGUUGCUUAAUGACAUUUUAUAUGUGCCCAAAAUCACCAAGAACUUAAUUAGCAUUUCAAAAUUACUUUCUGAUAAUAAACUAAUGCUUGAUUUCUGUGACAAUGUUUGUACUCUUAAGGACAAAGUUCUGGGGAAGAAGCUGCUGCAGCGAAAAAUUGAAAGAGGCUUAUAUCGGCUACCAGUGCUUUCAAGACAAGCCAUUCUAUCUGAUUCAAAAAUUAUUUCCAAUAAAUCUUAUUAGUCUUCUCUUCCAUUUAGCUGUUUCAAUUCUAGCUCAACAAUAAGUUCUGUAAAUGAACAAGAAUUUAUUUCCAAUUCCAAGCCUAGCAGUUUUAUAAAUCUUUUGCACAGAAGGAUGAGACAUCAUCAUCUUGCUGUACUAAAACAAAUUCUACCUUUGUGUAACAAAACAAGUCAGUUAAAUAAAAAUCUCAUUCCUCAAUUCUGUGAUGCAUGUCAACAAGGAAAAAGUCAUAGGCAAACUAUCAAAGCAUCAAAUAGUAGAGCUUCAGAACCUUUAGAAUUAUUGCAUCUUGACUUGUGGGGGCCUGCACCUUUAAUGUCUAGAAAUGGCUACAAAUAUUAUUUGAGUAUUGUAGAUGACAACACACGUUUUACAUGGAUAUUUCCACUUAAAGUUAAAUUACAAGCGUUUGAAGCUUUUAAGUAUUUCAAAGUUCAAGCCGAAAAACAAUUAGGAAAGAAAAUCAAAAGUUUACAAACUGACGGUGGAGGAGAGUUUCAAGCAUUUACAAUUUUUUAAAAGAACAGGGUAUUAUUCACUGACUUUCUUGCCCACACACGCAUCAUCAAAAUGGUAGAGUGGAGCGAAAACACCAACAAAUUGUAGACACUGGUUUAACACUUUUGGCAUAGGCUGGCAUGCCACUCACUUUUUGGUGGGAUGCUUUUCAAACAUCUGUUUAUUUAAUUAAUAGAAUGCCUACUUCCAUCUUAGAAAACAAAUCACCAUUUCAAAUACUUUAUGAUGAAGAAUAGGAAUCAAUAUUAUACUAGGAUUAGUUUCCUUAUUAACUAAAGUUUAAGACUUUUAAAUUCCUUUCUAAUUUAGAAUUUUGUUUCCCUUUCAAUUUAGGAUUUUGUUUUACUUCAUGAAUUAGGAUAAUUAUUACUACUAUAAAUAGCUCCCUCUUGUAGCCUUUAAAGGCAGAGAAUUUUGAGUUUAAUAAUAUUUCAAUUUUCAAAUCUCUUUGUGAGUAUUUGAACAGUUAAUUCUCGGUAUUCUGCGAAAUCAACGAGUCUUAAAUCCCUAAGUUCGCGGUAUUCUUUUGAAUCAACAUGAAUUUAGUUGUUCUUUUAUUCUGGUAUUCUCUAGAAUCAACGGAAUAUUUUGAAUAUUAAACUUCCACUGCAUCACUUUACAAGAAAAUACCUGAUUAUUCUUUUCUAAAAGUUUUUGGAUGUGCUGUAUUUCCUCAUCUUCGAGAUUACAACAAACAUAAAUUAGAUUUUUGAUCAGAUAAAUGUAUAUUUUUAGGCUAUAGUACAGCUCAUAACGGGUAUAAGUGUCUCCACAAGUCAGGAAAAAUUUUUGUAAUGCGACAUGUUGUCUUUAAUGAAUAUGAUUUUCCUUUUAAAAGUGAUCCCUCCUUCAAAAUCUCAAAGAGUUAUCCAAAUCAUGAUUCUAGUACUCUCUUUCAGUCUCCUAUGUUUGCAGGUUUUGAAAGUCCUAGAGCCUAUAAGACUCUCUCGGUUAUUCAUGCAACAGACUCUCUACUAGAGUUGGUUCAUAACACAAUAGUUAUAGAUCAGGCAUCAAGUCAAGAUGAGGAAACCAAUUUUGAAUCCAACACCAAAAGCCCACCUGGAAAAGCCAACCUUGAAUCAAGCACUGAAAUCCAAGCAACUGAAAACACCACACAAUCUUUAUCUAUCCCCGCGUUUAUCAAUCAAGAAGCCGAUCACACAAUCUCUCAACCACCUAGUUCAACUCCUCAUUCUCAACAGCCAACACAUACACAAUCCACUCAUCCAAUGAUCACUCGUGCCAAGGCCGGCAUCUUUAAACCCAAACCUAGACUUUACCUAACAACCUCUCAUACCAAAAUAAGUGUACAUGCCAGUGUUAGUGAAGCUUUGGAAGAUCACAAUUGGCGUAAUGCUAUGACAGAAGAAAUGAAUGCUUUGGCUAGGAAUAACACACGGUGUUUAGUUCAACCUACUUCUGACAUGAAGAUUGUGGGAAAUAAAUGGGUUUUUCGGAUAAAACAAAAGGCUGAUGGUUAGAUAGAGCGAUAUAAGGCUCGGUUGGUUGCAAAAGGAUUUCAUCAGACCCCAGGAAUCGAUUUCAACGAGACUUUUAGUCCUGUUGUUAAAGUUGCAACAAUUCGAUUGGUGUUAAGUAUUGCUGUGAUGAAAAAUUAGGGUGUAAUACAACUGGAUGUGAACAACGCCUUUUUAAAUGGAGACUUAGUAGAAGAUGUUUACAUGAUGCAGCCUGAAGGCUUUAUCAACAAAGCACAACCAAAUCAUGUGUGUAAAUUGAGAAAAGCAUUGUAUGGGCUUAAGCAGGCUCCAAGAGCUUGGUUUGAAAAACUCAAGAGAGCAUUGAGUGACUGGGGUUUCACAAAUUCUAAAUUAGACACAUCACUAUUUAUUUUGCAGCAAGGAAGGGAUAUAAUAUUUGUCCUUAUUUAUGUGGACGAUAUUUUAAUAACAGGAAGUAAAGAAAGUUUGGUGCAAGAAGUUAUUGAACGACUUAAUUGUCAGUUUGCUUUAAAAGUGCUCGGACCAUUAAGCUAUUUCCUUGGUCUUGAAGCUCAUCGCACAGAGAAUGGCCUACAUCUUAGCCAACACAAAUAUAUUUGUGAUCUCUUGAAGCGCACAGAUAUGGAUGGCUGCAAGGAAACAUCUACUCCUAUGAGUGUAGUACCGAAACUUUCAGCUGAAGGUGGUAAGCAAUUUUCUGAUCCUACACUUUAUCGUAGCAUCGUUGGAGCCUUAUUAUACGUAACUAUUACUCGGCCUGAAAUUUCUUAUGCUGUUCAUCGUUUAAGUCAGUAUAUGCAAAAUCCUUUACAGCCGCAUUGGCUUGGGUGUAAAAGAAUCCUUAGAUAUUUACAAGGAACAGCUGAUUAUGGAAUUUAUUAUACUACCAAAGGAAGAAUGACGCUCACAGGCUAUACAGAUGCAGAUUGGGCAAACAAUAUUGAUGAUAGAAAAUCAACUGGAGGCUACUGUAUUUAUCUUGGCAAUAACUUAAUCUCAUGGAGUUCAAAGAAACAAAAUGCAGUAGCAAGGUCUUCAACUGAGUCAGAGUAUCAAGCACUUGCAAAUACCACAGCAGAAAUUUUAUGGCUUCAAUCUGUGCUUAAAGAGUUGCAGGUGCCACUAACUGAAAUUCCAAUUAUUUGGUGUGACAACACUGAAGCUGCUUCACUUGCUGCCAAUCCAGUUCAUCAUUCAAGAACAAAACAUAUAGAGAUUGAUGUUCACUUUGUGAGAGAUAUAAUUUCCAAAGGUGGAGUGGAAGUGAGAUAUGUCCCUACUGAAUAUCAGCCUGCAGACAUCUUCACAAAAGCUCUUCCUGGUGAUAGGUUUCAACAGUUGCGAGACAAGCUACAUAUUCUUCCCAGAACAUUGCGCUUGAGGGGGCAUCAUGAAAAUAUUGUAGUAGAGCUACCAAACUUGAGUAAUACGAAUUCAAAGUUGUUAGAUGACAUGGCAGUACACUUGGUAUUCAUUGGUGUUUUGGAAAGUUAAAGUGAUCAACCUUAUCUCUUAGCUUAUCAUUAAUUCAAGCUGCACUUUUGUAUUUAUCAAGAUCAAGAUAAAGAUUACAAUUGUGCUAGGCUUGAUCUUAUUCUUGGCAUUAUCGUGUUUCCUGUAGAGCACUAUAAAUGUAAUGAUUAUGAGAUGAAUAAAAUAACGAAAAGGUGUUUUGUUUCUUCUUUAAGCUCAUCUUUAUAAUUUAAGUAAAGGGACUUUUGCAUAGCCUCUGGUGUGUGUGUGAUUUCUCUUUCGUUUCCUCAUCAAAUUCUGUAAUUCUUGCUUCGAUAAAAAGCUUUUAAUCUCUUCUGUAGUGUGUGAUCAGUGCGUAAUCAUUUUGAGCAAUAACAGCUUGUGGGUUUUUCCUUCAAACAGUGUCGUUUUGGUCAGUUUGUUAGUUUCUGUGUUCGUCUGAUUCCAUUGCUCUUGUUCUCUGUUCUUGAUCUGUUCGUGGAAUUUUUCUUUGGUUAUUUGUUCUCAAAUUUCAACUGUAUAUAAAGUUUGAACUCUGAUUGCUUAUAAUGUAUUGAUUAAGAAUAAUCCUAAGAGUUCCCGAUUGAAAUUUUUAAUGACUAUUUUUAUUGUUUUGGAUAUACAAAUUGAAUUAAGAAAAAAUAUUGUCAAAUUCAGAGGAUAAGGGGAAAUAAUUAUGCUUCAAAAGGCCAGAGAUUAGAGAAUAAAGAAGCAUUCAUUACUCUAUCAAAAAAAAAAAAAAAAAAAAAGCAUUCAUUACUGAUAUACAAACUGCUUUUAUUUGGAUUUUGGAAGGGGUGAAGUUUUGAACUUCAGUUGUUCCUCUAAAAUCAAAAGCAGCAAUUAAGCGUUCUCAAUUAGAAAGAGCUAAGAAGACUUAUUGGUACCUUACUGAAGCUAACAUUAUGGCACAGUUGUUCAUAUAUAAUGGCUGCUCUGUUAUGCUAGCUUCUCUGUUUUUGCUUCUAUUUUUGCUUACAGUUUUGAACAUAAAUUCUUGCUCAAAUAACCCAUAAUUAAAUAACACUAAUAUGGCUCGUGAAAUCCCAUAAUAGCUAAUUACGCAACUUUCUCCUCCUCCUCAAUUCUGUCUUCCCCUGCUCGUACACUAAAUUCAAAAUUCAAUGCCCCGAAAAACAACACAAGAAAUCUUUGAGUUAAUUCGCGACCAGUUUAUAUAUAGUAGCAAUUGAAAAAGGAAAAAGAAUAAAAGAGUUCAUUAUUAUUCAGACCUUCACUUAUUAGGAAGUUUGUUCUGCUGUUGGGUGAGAUCAAGCUCUCAGCAUAUACUUCCACAUUAUACUUUCUAACAUUUUCUUGAAAGCCAUCAAUCAUAAAAUCUUCAUACUUUUUUCCAUCCUUUGGAUCAAUAAGUACAAAUUUCUCAUCUAAAACAGACAAAAUAAAAUCACUGUCCUUCAUGGAACAUAAUGGCUGCAAUGCCUGAACUGAAUUGGCUAAUGAAAUUUGAGUCCAGGAUUCUCUCAGCCCAUAUUCUUUCAUAAUCCAAAAUUCUUUUCUUUCUCGACAUGGAACAUAGUCUUCUUUUCUUUCUGGACAUAUGUCUCUGUACUUUUCUCUCUCUACUGAUCCACACUUUUUCAUACUUCUAACUAUCAUUUUGUUUUUUUUUUGUUAAGUUGUGAUUUAUUCAAUUAUUUUGUAUUUUUAAUGAAAAUUAUUUAAUAUUUAGUUAGUUUUGAUAUUGAUUAGUGAUUGAAAGUGUAUUUUAGAAGACUUCCGGUCUCUUGGAAAAAGGAAAAAUGGAGACGAAGAAGAAGUGUUCUUGAUUUUUUUGUAGGCAUUAAAGUUAAACGGUUUGAAAUGAUAUUUUGUUUUAAUUUCACUCAUUAAUCUCAUUCAGGAUAAAAUUAUAAAUGCAAAUAAAUGGGGUUUCAUGAGUUUUUUUUAAUAGUGUUAAAAGGUCUACUCACUAAAUAAAUAUGUUUAACCCAAACCAAUGCGAUUAGUAAGUUAUUGGGUUGGGUUGAUCAGGUUAAAAAUUAAAAUUAAAAAUUAAAUAAUUAAAAAAGGCAUAAAAACUAUCUGUUACUUGAAAAUAAAAAGAAUUUCUAAUAGUUAGUUCUAAUGUCCCAUAUCCAAAACAUCCAUAUUAAAUAAAUAUUAUAAGUUAGAAAUACAAUAUCCAAGAAAGAAUGAAUGAAAUACCAUAUUUUUGUUGAGAAUUAAGAGUGUGAUUUUAAUUUUGAUAUUGGAGUCUAAAGUGCCACGUUUAAAUAAUCUCUUUUAUAAAAUAAUAAAAAGAGAUUAAAAAUUAGGUUAGCCAUUUAGGCAUUCAGGGUUUAGCAAUUAAGGAUGAACAUAUUAUUGUUGUUGUUUUUUGUUGUUGUUGUUGUUGUUGUUGUUGUUAUUAUUAUUAUUUAUAUGUUUACUAAUCCAAUUUACGUAUAAGUACAAAAGUUUCAAAUAUUGUCUAUUAUUUUUUUAACAUGCCUAUUCCUUGUGGAUAAUUCUGUCUCAUCACUAAUGUUGUUUCUUGCUUACAAUUUGUAUAGCGUCUCAAAAUAGACAAUAGGGGGAUUUUGAAUUUUUUAAGUCUCAAUAUAGUCUCUUAUCUUGUGAGACAGAUUUUCUUUCAAUAAUUUGGAGGUAAACAUAACAUAACUUUUUGGACUAAAGCCUAGCUCUGCUAAUUAGUAAUUGGUGGUAUCCUUUUCAAGACCUGAGUCUUUAAAUUCGAGUUUUAUAUAGUGCGCAUGUGUAUUUAAUUAAUAUUUUUUUAAAAAAAUUACAUCAAAUACUAAUAUUCAUGACAUAAUUUAGUUCAUAAUGUUUUUUUAAAUACAUCGAAAAUAUAAUUUUUUAACAACUUAUAGGCAUGACAAAUUUCAAGAUAUAAAUAUCAGUCAAAAUAAGUGAAAGAAAUAAUGGUGCCAAUUCUAAUUUCUUAACUAAAUUAAUUACUGCAUGAGCCCCCAAUACGGCACGAGAGUUUGAUGGGCUAACUUGGCACAAGAACAAUAGUUAAUUGAUUUAAGAAAUAAUUCAAUGAAAAAUAUAAUUGAUAAGAAUUUAGUAUUGAAAUGAGUUUUUUUCGAAACACUGAAUUAAUGAUUAUUAAGCAAGAACAAUAAAAAAAAUAAAAUAAAAAAUAAAGAUUAACCAUUGAUAAGCUUCAACAAGAACUUAACACAACCCUCAAUCCUAAUUCAAAUUAUAAAUGUCAUUCAUAUAUUCAUUAUAAAUCAAUAACAAAGGUUAUAAAUGUUUAGAAAUUCUAGAGGGAAGGAAGCUAUCGCCGGGCAAUCAACAACUAAAUUUGAUGUAAUUGUGGCACAAGAUGGAAUAUGAAAACUACACCAUAAUUUCAAAUGCCGCCAUAGACAUUGACUUAUCUACAGUAACAAUGAUCUAAUUAAAAUUAAAAUAAAGUUUAUGGGCAUUUAUUAUAUUUGCCAUUCCUCAUUUGCAAAUAGGGAUAUAAUUAUAAUUUUACUUAGUCAAAGCAAUCAGUAAUUUUUAGGGGUGUUCAAAAUUCAAUCCGAUCCGCUCAAUCCGUCUGAUCCGUAGAAAUCCGAUCCGUAAAAAUCUGAUCUGUGGAUUGGUAGAUUGGAUUGAAUUGAAAAUUUGAUAAUCCGCAAUCGGUGGAUUGGGUAUGGAUCUACUUCUGUAAAUUCGUAAAAAUCCGUGAAUCGGCAAAAAAUAAAAAGUAUUUAUUUAUUAAAAAAUAAAACUUGUAAAUAUGGCAAUAGUACUUACUAGUAAAUAAAUAAGUUAAAAUAUAGUUACAUUAACACUAUAUUAUAUCUUAUCCGAUAAUAAUAAAAAAUAAAAAAUAAUUAAAUAAACAAAUAUAACUUUCUAAAUAGUUAAUUUUCAUGUACUGAUCUAAACGAAUGAGAUUUUUUUUUUUUCAUUUUGGUGUGUUAUGUUUUGAACUUUAAAUGUAAUUUUUAGUUUUAUUUAAACAAGUAAUUUAUUUAAAUCUUAUUUAAUUUUAAAUUUGAUCGGCAAUAAAAUUAUUUAUAUUAAUUUUUUUUUAUUUAGUUAGUUCGUAGAUUGGACAGUAUUAAAAAUUUUCAGUCCGUAAACCAAUUCGCAAAAUGGUGGAUUGGAUAUGGAUUGGGUCAAAUCCGCAUCCAAUCCGCAGAUGUAUGAAUUGAAUUUCACCAAUCCAUGAAUUGGAUUGGAUUAAAAAUUUAUAAUCCGCAAAAUCGUGGAUCAGAUAUGGAUUGAGGUCCAAUCCGUAAAAUUUGAUCCGGAAACACCCCUAGUAAUUUUCUUCAUUAUAGGAGUGAAGUAAAAACAUUUAGAUUUUAAUGUAUGUACGGAAAAAUUUAUCUUUAAAAAUACUUUCUUAAUGUGUGUAUAUAUAUUGAAAUACUCAAACCAAUUUUGGUUAUUAUAUAAUUAAACAAAUUUUAAAAUAUGAAAAAUAUAAUGUAGUUAUAGUGGAUAAACAAUAAGUGAGCGCAAUAUAAUUAAUCAAAUAUCAUGCCAUCAAAAGUUAAUUUUAGAAAUUCCAAAUCCAACAGCCAACACAAUUCUUUUAAAAAAAAGCUGACACAAUUAAUAAAAUUAGUGACAUGAAUUUCACACCAUUGAUAAUAAGCAAUUAGUAUUACUUUCUAAACUUGCUUCAACUGGUCGUUGAUGUCCGGGGUCACCAAAAGUAUAAGCAAUAAUAAGGGGCAUUGGGCAAGAGUGAUGAAUGUUUAGUCGGUGCAUUUGAUUGCUAGAUAUAUAAAGGGCCGAAACUUGAGAUUAUAUUACUUUUACAAAUUUUAAUCCAAUCACAUAUUUAAUGAAAACAAAAUGAGUUAGGAUACUUUAUUUAGAACCCACAUUUUAAUAAGGCUUCAUUUGAUGUAGUUUUUUAAACAGUGAUUAUUUAAGUAAAUUUUCCUCAAUAGAGUUUUUAUCAAACAAAUUUAUUUAUUUAGUUGUCGAUAAGAGUUUUUAUUAAAAAUUAUAAAAUUAUUUAAAUAAACAUGUUUUUUAAAAUUACAUUAUAAAAAUAAUUAAAUAAAAUUAUAAAAGUAAAAUAUAUUUUAGAUAUUUUAAUAUUUAAGAAAAAUUUUCAAUCUCUACUUUCAAAAGCUCAAAUUUUUAGCUUUUAGUUGUAGAGACAAAAUAUUUUAUUUAAUCUUUAAAAGUUAUGCUAAAAACAAUCAAAUAACUACAAAAAUUUUAAUAAGAGUAUAUAAAAUUAAAUGGUAAUUUUUAAAAACCUCCCCUGAGGUUUGGGCUUGUUGCAAGUAGAUGGCGAGAAUCCAUUUAUUUGUAACAAACCCCCUACCGUCAGUUAAUUUUUGCAUUAACCGUUAGUUGACUGUGCAAAGACAAUAUUGUCCCUAAUGACAGUUUGUAGACUGACAUAGCUAAAAAAAAUGCUGAGAUUGUCGGCACGAAAAUCACAAAUAAUUUUUUUUUGACAAUUUUGUCCUUGUUAAUUCCAAGAUUUACAAUGUCAUAAGUAAGGAUUAUGACUAUUUUACCCUCUUAAAAUUAUUGAUAAUUCCUUAAAAUUUCUACAAAAAAGAUAAAAUUAAAAACUUGAAGAAAAAUAAAGUUCUCAAGCCGGCUAACCAAACACAUAGAAUAAAAAAUCCAUCGUUUGACAACAAAAACAACUUUCCAUAAACCCAAACAAAAAUAAACAAGUCCCCAUUACUCUAAUUGGCUUUGCUUGGAGCUGUUACUAUUGUGCAUACAUUUCUAGGCAAAGCAAAAUGACCCCAUGAUAUAAACCUUAUAAAACAUGCCUCCACUAUUCUUAAUUUUGGUAUAAUAAUAAUAAUAAUCACAAAAAAUUAAUUGAAAACUUGACUAAUUAUCUUUGGUGGAGAAUUUUAAACCGAAACCGAUUCAGGAACCUUAAAUUGAUCAAAAGGAAGCUAAUAAUGACAAAAAAGUAACCGAUCAAAAAUCAUUAAGCAUAAAAAAAUAUUGAAUUUAAAUAACUAAAAAUGCCAUCGGAAAUUGAAAUUAAUUAUUUAACAUAUAGCAUGAAAACAAAUCUUCACUAUUGGUGCUAGGCGGCUGUCGUUUAGCUUGGUUCUAAGAGGUGGCAGUCAGUCAACUUCGAGACGGUGCGUUCGAAGUCAACUAAGCUGCAGCAGAGGUUGCAGGGGGCAGAUUGCAGCGAAGUCGCGGUGGAGCAGAGGUCGCGUCGCGGUGGAGAAGAGGUCGCGUUGCGCUGGCUUGGCUUCACGGUGGUGGGAUGGCUGGGCGGGCUGGCCAGCUGUGUGCGCAUUGUAUAUGAUUGUUUUUCACUUUUUUAAUAUUUUCUUGUGCAUUAGUUCAGAUUAGAUUAGUGAGUUUGUGUGUGUGUUUGCAGUUGAUUUGGUUAAGAUAUUUAGGUUAAAAUAAUUUUUUUUAAUAAAUUUUUUUUUUCAAAAUGUCAACAAUGCCCACAACUACCCAAAUGGCAACUAAGCAGAGUAAAAACGUAGGGGUUUUUUUUUAUAAAUAAAUAGAUUCUCGUCAUCUAUUUGCAACAAACUCAAAUCUCGGGGGAGGUUUUUAAAAAUUACCCUAAAAUUAAAUAAGCAUUUAUUAAUAAUCACUUUGGUAUACUUAUCUAAUGACCAUAAGUGUUUAUUUAAUCUCAUAAGUUCUUAUUUAAUCUCAUGAGCUCUUUUCAAUUUUUUUUGUUGUUUGUUUUUUAGUAGAGUUUUUGAAAAUUAAAUAAACUAUUUUGUCUCUACUAGAAAAAACUCAAAUUUUAGAUUUUUGUGAGUAAAUGUUUAAUUUUUUAAAAAAAUAUUAAAAUAUCUAAGAUAUCUUUCCUUUAUUUCAUAAUCUUAUUUCAUUUUUUCAUAACAUAACUUUCAAUAACUUACCUAUUAAAAUAAUUUCACAAUUUCUAAUAAAAACUCUAAUUGACAAUUAACAAUUUUUUUUUGUUUGUAAAAACUCUAUUUAUAAAAAAUCUAAUAAAAAUUCUAUUUAAAUAAAUUAUAUUUGAAAAGGUGUACUAAACCAACCUAAGAUAAAAACAAAAAUUUUUACAUCCAGACAAUUAAGCUUAAAACAAUUUCAAAUGAAUUUUAGACUAAUCAAAGUACAAUACGUACCAAGUUUGGUAACUUAUUGACAUCUUCUCAUAUAACCUUCGAUCAAGUCGAUUCUCACCUGACGACUAAUUGGUACAUCACCGUUGUUCUCUAUACUCGCAUGCAUCCGAUCACAAAUCUCACUCCAAUUGUCGUCUUUCUUCGGCGUUUUAGCACAUCCUUCUUGAAUUUCCCGCAUUUCGUUCCCUCCUGUUACAAGUCUCCGGUCAGGUCAGUUCUCUUGACGAUUAAUUCGGCAAAUCUCGAAUCUCUUCUCGCGUCGUUUCACUUCAAUUUUUUGUGUCUCCUUUCAGUUUUAGUGAUUGAAUCAAUUUUAUUGCAGUCUGAGAGAAAUUAAGUAAUGCUCUUGGAUUUAAAUUUUUUUUGCUUUCGACUUUAGAUCUCGAAAGUCAAACUCUGCUACGAAUCCUUAGAUUCUCAAUGUUUAUAAUCUUAUUUGUGUUUGACCAGGUAACUGGAUCGUGAAAUUCGUCGUUUUGUAUCAAUUCAAGCUUUCGCGAGCUCAUGGAAUCACCUGGUGAGUUGUGGUGAAACGUUAUCGUUUCAAUUUUCGCUUAAUUCUUUAUUGCAUAUUUUUUCUCUAACAUUUCAGUUUAAUUUAGAAAAGAAAGAGGACCCAAAAAGAGAGAGAGAGAGAGAGACUCUACCAUACUCAAUUCCUUGCUCAUUCUGAUUUGGCCUGAAUGUUGGCAUUGACUAUUAUUUGUUUUCAUUUCGAUUUAAUUCUCAUUUAGACAGUCUUUACUAACGGUCAAUAAUAGUUUAAGGAAAAUGAUAAUAGGGAUUCUGCAAUAAUCUUUUUAAGGAAAAUGAUAAUAGGGAUUCUGCAAUAAUCUUUUUAAGGGAUGUAUAACUUAUUAAUCAGAGUCCUGUUAUUAUGGUUUGACACUACUGACAUAUUGUGUUGGUAUUUAUUUGUACUUCCCUUGGUUGAAUUAUUUGCUGUCCCCAUGCCAUUCGAUAUGGUGCUACUUGGUUUUUGAUCAUCCAUGACGCUAUAUAUAUGUAAAGGAUGAAUUGAUUGUUUUGGCUUGUAUUCUCACAUUUUAUGAUUGAUCGAUGGAAAGGUCUUCAUGUAUUAAAUUCAACCUCACAAGCGUAAGAUUGACAGAUUCUGGGCAAAUUUUCAGGAAAAGAAACUAGACUUCAUGGAAGCAAUGAAGCUUGAAAUUGAACGUCUGCAGCUGAAAGGGAUAGAGCUUUAUUGUCAAUUGGAACUGAUCCUGCCUCUAUAAAUCCAAAUGUAUUGCUUGAUGAAUCUUACAUGGGAAGACUGUCGAGUAGCAACCACUCUUGCAUUACUUGGCCAAACUUCCCUAGAAGACAAAAUUGUUGGUGCAAUGGCCUUGAGAAUAGUGAUGAUAGUGUUUUAGACUUCUGGAAUAUUACUAGAAUCGGAGAGAGUUGUUCUGGUGGCGCGUGCAAGGUUCGUGCAGAAACUAAGGUGCCUGCUCUUGCUUCCUCAACUGCAGCAUCUGUUGGAGCUUCACAAUCCCCUUUGUUGUGUUCUCUGUUGUGUUCUCUGUUGUGUUCUCAAUGUGAAAGAAAAGUUUGCAAAGUUUGUUGUGCAGGAAGAGGAGCUCUACUGUUUUCAAAUUAUAAAUCAAGGGAUGUGACCAACUACAAUGGCUUCUCAAGUCAGAGUGGAUCAAGCCAUGGAAGCCAAGUUGAUGUAUCUACCAGUCGUUCACUAACACUGGAUGGCGUUAUCUGUAAACACUGCUGCCAUGAGAUUGUGCUUGAUACAAGUUCACAACACCAUUACAAAGGAUUCAAAAUUCCCACACGAAAACAUCAAUGUACAGAUUAUAAACAAUCCGAAUUGGACACAAGAAAAACCCUUCAAUGGAUUGCUUGCCUUCCCAAUGCUAUAUACUGUGCAAACUGCGCACUGUCCAAGAAAAUGUUUUCAAUUUAGUGUAUUUUCAAAAUGCUUAUUUUCUCAGAAUAUAUAAAAAAAAAAAAAGAAUUCUUACAUGUUUCAUCAGCAUGAUUAAAAUCAAAGAAGAAAGCGAGACAUAAUGUCUCUGACAUAAUAAAAUUACAAAAAUUUAAAAAAAAAAAAGUUAAAACAUGUAAUCUUCAUAAGCAUAUAAUAAAAUAACACUUCCACAAAUUACUACAAUUUCAUGCAGUAGAGAUUGAAGAGUUGAAUUCCACUUAUAGACACCGACCUCUUAUUUUGUCUAAUGUUAACAAUGAAAAUAACAACAGUAAUGAAAACAACAACAGAAUACAACAACAGAAAACAACAAUCCGCUCUGCAAAUUCUCUUGGGACUUGGUUCCAAUUCCUCUUCAUCCGAAGUUCCACUCGAAUCAAAUUCACUUGCAGCAGUUCCACUCGCGCUUGGCAAAUCAUCCAAUUUCCAAACUUCGGUAGCAAAAUUGAGAGUAAAAGUGUUGGCUUUGGUCUCGCUGGGAUUUGCAUAUACUGGACAUACUCCGUAACGUUUUACCUUGUGACCCUUUUGGUUUUGGUAACAAUUAUUGAAGAACUUAAGUGAGACAGUUGUAUGAUGGUAACCAUCAGGAAAGCCAACAUUCAAGCAAGGUUUAAAACCAAGUAUGACAUGAUCUGAAUCAAGGGAGUAUUUAUUUCUAACACUUGUGGUUGCGGGCCCACUGAAACCUAGAUCAACAUGUUUGGUUUCAGAGAGAGUCUUUAUUUCUAAGUCGAGUUGAGAGCGGCCGAAAACAUUGCAGCAAUAACAAGAACCAACUUUCUUAAAAUUAAGAACCGCACAAAAAGCAAACCCGAUUAAGUUUCUGCAAGAAGAGUGCGGUGGCAGUUGAAUACCUAUCGAAGAUCCUGAACUUUGAUUGUUGAACCAGUCAGGAAUUUCGCUCCCAGGUAAAACAAUUAGGGAUGUCCUGAGUUCAGAAAGUUUCUGUGAAAUGACAUUUAAAAAAAGAAAAUUGUAAAAUGAAAACCAUGAUUUCAGAUAUAACAAAGAGGGACAGAGUAAACAAGAGAGGGAACUUGAUGCGUUCUAAAUGUUCCAUUUUCUCCAAGAUUUCUGGGAAACGCUCAAGGUUCAAGCAGCCAUGAAGAAAAAGCUCAACCAAAGAUUUCAAUUUACAAAACCUAGUUGAAAUCCUCUUCAGCCGUUCGCAAUCCCUCAAAUCCAACUUUUCAAGAUCAGUUAGGCACUCUAUUGAUGAUGGAACUUCUUCUAUUGCAGACUGGCUUAAGUAUAGCCGUGUAAUUUUCCCAGAAAUCUGUGGAAACUCUACGAGAUUAACACAAUAGGAGAAAUUAAUAGUUACUGGACAAACAAAAUGAAGAUUGCUUGGAAAAGACCUAAGACUUUUGCAGCCCACAAAAUCCAACCUACUGAGAUACUUGAAAUUCUGGAUAGAUGAGGGAACACAAGCCAUUUCUCCUUCCCAAAUUUGCUCAACUUUACUAAAACGCAAAUUCAGUCCAACAAGGUUCUUUGGCUUGAAAUUUGAUGGCAGUGUCCUUAAUGGAUAUGUGUCCCAAUGAAGAUAUCUCAAUUUUUUAGGAAGAUAAUCUAGGCCAUUUGGAAGCUGCACUUUAGAGUACGAAAGUUGCUCUUCAAUGCUCAUACUUAGAAGCUUUUCAAUCUCAUACUUAGGUACAUAAAAUUUGAGCAAUCUCAGAUUAGACAUAUUUGUGAAGGCUCCGGGGUCUAAAUUGAUGCCUUUUAUUUUGGACAAAUCCAAAAAUAUGCCUUCAAUUGCAUCGGUCCCCUUAUUAAAAAAAAAAAAAAAACAAAGAAUGGGUAAGCCUAAAACAGAAAAGAAACAUUCGUAAACUUUAUUAACUAAGAGCUCCUAAAACAAAACAAAUUCUACGAUCUUUGAUCUUAUUUUUUUAAUAUAUUAAAUAUCUAUAUGCGAGAAAAGAAAAUUUUGGGAACCAUUGCAAAAUUAAACUAACCGAAAAAAAAAAUCAAAAUUUCUCUAAUUUACAAACCUGUUAUCUUACUAUCUAGAAGUUGAGAAGACAGGGCCUAUUUGAUUGGUAUAAGAUUUCGAUUUUUUUUUUAGUCCAUAGAAUCCAAAAUGUUAGUUCAAAAUUAGGGAAAAAAAUGAAAGUUAUUUUUUUUCCACUAGUUGUAAUUGUAUCCAAGUCAAAUUGAGAUAUGACCCUUUUCGAAAGGAUUUAAUCAUCUUAUAGCCUCCUUAAAGGAGUGAUUGGAGGCCUAACUAGGUAGGCCAAUCAGUCCAUUUUAUUAGCGACUAUUGCUUAAAAACAUUUAUACUCUAAAACACACUUACUUUUUUGAAAAAAAAAUAUAAUUAUAUUGAAGUAGAACCAGGUGGGCCAAUCCUCAUGGCACUCACUUUGUUCUGACACUCUUCACUAAAUUUGAAAAAAAAUAAAAUUAUACUCUUCACACUCUUAUUCAACAUUCCAAAAUUGAUAAAAUCUGGAGUUUUCAUUAAAAAUUUAAAAUUUGAAGACUUGUUCUCUUGACACCCUCAGUCAUUAAUUUUACCUAAUUAUGGUUUUUAUGAUUUUGGUUGUUUUGUUCAUAAAAAUGAUUUUACUAAAGGAUGUUCUGGUAAUAAUAAAAUUUAUAAAAAAAAACAUGGUUGUGCUGGUAUGAUUGGAAAAAUAUGAGUGCAUAACUCCAAACAAAUAAAAGAUAUAUAAAAAAAAAUGGAGGAUUCUUACCAUAUUAUGCUUUAGUACGCGGCGGAUUUCCUUAGGAUCCCACAACCUCUUGCGUUUGCCUGGCUCUUUCUCAGAUUCUUGGCGUCGCCCCAUUUCUUGCAAUAUAUCAUGCAUUUGCAAGCGGUUAUAUGACACUGUUAUGAGUGACUUAUCAACAAGGACAUCCAGUCCAACAGACUCAGAAUCAUCAAGAAUCCUUGCCACAAAAUCUUUAUCCUCUCCCUCAAAGAAACACGCAAUAUCUAGAAAUAUGCUCUGCACCCUGGGCGUUAAUUCAUCAAAACUAAUCUUUAAUUUCUUAUAAAUAGCAUGAAUAUCAGAUUCACAAAUCCGAUUUAAGUCGUGCAAUACUUUUCCCCAAUGGCUUUUCCCCUUGAGGGAGGAACCCAACACUUUAAGAACUAAUGGAUUGCCAUCAGCAUACUUUACAACUCUCCGUGAGUCAGGUUUGAAAUCUUCAGGACAAUGCUUUUCUUUAAAAGCGAAGUUACAAAAAUGCUCGAAAGCCUCAUGAAAAUCCAUUCCAUUAACCCUAUAUAUUUUCUUCUCCUCCACUCCAAAUUUUUCGAGGACUCCUUUAUCCCUAGUGGUUACAACAAUUCUACUUCCUGGAACAAAUUGAUCAAGCUCUCCAAUCAGACCCUCUAAUUGUCCAACUUCAUUCACAUCAUCGAGUACUAUCAACACCUUCAUACGCCGGACCCUCUCUUUAGUAAAAUGUGGAAUAUUGGCACCAGCUACUUCAAGUUUUUCGCUUAAUAUUGUUGAAAGCAUUUCCUUUUGUAGGUCUUCUAGGCCACCCUCUGUUUCUGAUUUUCUCCUAACAUUUUUUGCAAAGUAUUUACCAUCAAACUCACCAGAGAAUUGAUUGAAAAUAGCUUCAGCAAGGGUGGUUUUGCCGAUACCACCCAUGCCCCAAAUUCCAACAAUUUGGACAGUAUCCGACAAAUCCAUACACAAAAAUGGUUUAAUCUGCUCAAUUCGUGAAUUUAAUCCAACUAGGCCGUUGGAUGAGUCCGUUGAGACUGUUAUUUUUUCCAACUUCUUCAAAACAUCUUCGACAAUUUUGUUUACAAGUUCCGCAUCGUGCCUAAUAUAAAGGUGCAAAGAUGCAAAAACAUUGAGUCAAAUCGGGCCAACACAGAAACAGAGAUAAGAUGAAUUAGGAAAGAGAGUUACCUGAAUUUCGUGGAUUCGUGGCCAGCAAGACCGGAUGUUUCUCUCAGUGCAUCCCUCCACCUCUGAACCAUUUCUGGCUUCUCUUUGAACUGUUGUUCGAGCUUACCAAAGCCGACCCCAAAAAUCCCAGUUUGAUGCCGCACAUCGGACGGACUUACGCCAUAGAAAACCGGAAUAAUGAUUUGGCCGUUUGUGUGCUUGCAUUCAAGAAUCUCGACAAGUUCAUACAGGCACCAUUUUGAAGAAGCGUAGUCCGUUGAGAAAAUGACCACCGAAAUUUUUGAACCUUGGAUUGCGUUCAAAAGGGCAGGUGAAAUCUCAUCUCCGCGCCUAAGCUCUUCAUCAUCAAUAAAUGUUCUGAUUUUCUUUCUUUUAGACAAAGCAUCAUAGAGAUGGCAAGUAAAGAUCGCACGAGUGUCCUCCCCUCUAAAAUUGAGGAAGACUUCAUAAAUGCAAGGAGAAGAAGCCAUGAAGGAAAUAUUAGAAAUUUGGUGACAGAAACAGAGAAUUAAUCUUGAGAGCUGAGAGAGGAGAUGUAAGAAUGAACAUGUGUGAAUAUUCUUGCGAGUACAUAGUAAAUAAUUGAAUGGCUCGAGCUUUCUUAGUUUCCUGGAAAUUUCCUGGAGCUUUCGUAUACAUGAUUUGUCAAGUCAAGAAACAUAGUCAUGAUAAUGGGGCAGACCAGGAAGAAAAGGAAAUUGGAAUUUUGUACAAUUUCUCCAGCGAGGAACUUUCACUGUCAUUACCUCACCGUUACAGUUUGGAUUAGGGUAAUUUUUACCCCGCACCCAAAUGUUUUGACAUACAGCACAACGCACCCAAUUCUUUUGCCCAUGAGCACCGCGCACCCAUUUCCGUUUAUUUUUCAGUUAACUGUAACAGAUCAGGGUAAAAUUGGAAUAACGCAUCAAAAUUUAAAAAUAAAAAAAUAGGUAAACUCGAUGUUUGCGCCAAAAUAAUUUCACAUCACUGUGCUUAUGUUCACUGCGUUUGCGUGUGAGACCAAGAAGCAUGGCCACACCUCCAUUGAUGCCAAAAUCGAGGAGGUGGGUGAAGAAGAAUUGGCGCCAAAAUCAUUCACAUAUGAUGUGCAAGGAAAUUAUUUCAGCCUUUAAAUACUUUUUUAUUACAGCAGCAUCAGCUAUUGCUCUGUUUCGAAGAUCUGCUCAAUUUCUAAGACAAUAGUUGGUUUGAGAGUUUAAGGGAAGUGAAUCCACUGAGCGUGCUAUUGAAGAAGUGGAGGUCAGUUUCAUUUCUUGCUCAAUUGUUUUAAUUUAUUCCAUUUUGUUUGCAUGUCAAUUAUUUACACAUUUUUAGCUGGAUUUUGCUUAUCUAUAAAACUUGAAUCAUUGUUAAUCAAAUCAGCUAUAAUUUACGCCUCAAUGUGGUUUGUAAGUUUAAGUUAUGUUGGAUUAUACCUGAAUAAUGUGGUGUUUGCGUUAUUGAUUUCAAUUUCUAUUGAUGAUUUUGAGUAUACAUAUUAGUGGAUGAAAGUUUUUAAUUAGGAUGAUUGGUCACGCAUAUAUGUCAUAGCAACUGUGUUUUUUUGGGUUAUGGUUGUACUGUAGAUCAGUAGUAGUAGUGAUUUGGAUAUAAACGCUAGUGCUUUUAUUGUAAAUGAUAGUGAUGAAGAUCCAGUGUUACAGAAUUUGAUGUAAAAGUUAUUGGUUUUUGGCUAAAUAUCUUAGAUAAAUAUGAUGCUCAUGCAAUCAAAUCCAAUGCUUAUGCAAUUUACACCAUGUUUAUGAUAAGUAAUUAAAAAAAUAAAUGACUAUUCCAGGUGAAAAUGGAUGAUGAUGAUAUUACAACUGUUCUUUGUACAUUCAAGGGCAAGACAUAUAAUGUUGGUGUAAUUGAUCCAGAUAAGUUUAGUAGAGUUUCUGUAAUUAACAAGGUUUUAGUUAGAGUCUAUGGAAGAAAGAUGAGGCCUGAUGAGAAGUUUACACUAAGUGUUUGGGUACCAUGGGUCUAUAAGGAAGUAGAGAUUAUGUCUGAUCAUGACUUAAUAUUCCAGCUGAGAGAGCAUAAUAAGAUGUUGUUCUACUGCAUGCAAUUGUAUAUUGAAGAAAUCCAUGUACCUCAUGAGUUUGUACCUAGAAGGGCUUUGUUUCAGCACUCAGCAGAAGAAAGCUUACAAGGGUAUGCUGAAACAAACUUUCCAGCCACUACUGACCUGCACAAACCUUAUACACAUGCUACAUCCACCAACACAAAUCCUUAUGAAAAUGACAGUAAUGACCAUUCGAACCAUGAACCCCCUGUCAAGAACUCCAGCAGCAUAAUGAUGCAUAAUGUUGCACUUGAUAGCAUCCAAUCACAGACCAAACCAGAUACCAACCCUGACCUAUAUCAAGACUUUUUGGAUACCUAUUUCAGAUCAUCACCACAACAGAAAACACCAUCAGCUGCCCAAACUAAUGCCGAAAAUAGUGAUAGUGAUAACACAUCUUCAUUUGGUACAAAUAAGACUCCUACUGAGCAGCUUCAACAAAACUUUGCCAUCUCUUCUGAGUUGUCCCCUUUAUUGCAGCAACAUGGACAUCAUGCAUCCCAAAAUGAACCUAUACCUUUUCACCAACCUGAGUUCUCAUCUCAACCAAUAACUCAAAACCCUCAGUCACAAGUUGUACAAGCAGAAAACUUCCAGCAACCAGAAGCCACUACACCAGCACUAGUAGAUUAUAACUCAGAUGAUAGCCAUUAUAGUGUAACUGAUAGUGAGGAAGAUCCAGAUCAUCCAUUAGGUGCUCCAAACAUUAAUAAUACUCCUAGGAAACCUUCUGUUAAUGUUGACUUAGGCUCUAUGCCUUCUGAUGAUAGUGAUGAAGAUUGUAUGCUAUCUGAUUGUGAGAGUGAUGACAAUGAGUUUGGGGAAGAAUCUGAUGAAGAGAUUGAUCAAGUGCUGGUCAGAAUGGAUGCUGUUAUGAGAGAGAACAUGUACAUUCCUAGUGAUACACCUGUUCAAUUCUUUAUUGGGCAGUGUUUUAGGAACUUCAGGCAGCUGGCAUGGGCAAUAAGGACUUAUGCUGUGGAAAACAAGUUCAAGGUUUAUAAGCACAAGUUUGAAAAAUCCAGAGUAACUGUUGGAUGUAAUUAUUUCAGGUGCCCAUGGUUUUUACAUGUUGCAAAAACUAGAUUUGGACAAACCUUUAUUGUUAGGAGGCUUCACAACGUACAUACAUGUCAGAGAGACUUAAAGAAUCCUGAAUGCACUGCAGAGUUCAUUGUUGCCAAGUUUGCUGCAACUAUAAUUGAGCAUCCAGAUACAAAGGUUGGGUGGAUUCAAAGUGAACUUAGAAGGAUGUAUGGAGCUAAGAUACACAAGUAUAAAAUUUAUAGAGCAAAGAAGAAGGUUUUACAGAGACAAUGAGCUGAUUAUGAGUCUAGUUACAUGUUGAUCAGAAAUUAUGCUCAGGCCAUACUUACUAAGAUGCCACAGGCCUUGGCAUUGGUUAAGGUUUUCAGGAUGCAUGGUCAACAACCUCAAACUCACUUUGACAGCACUGUUAUAUCUUUCCAUGCCCUCAGAGAUGGCUUCAACCAAGGUUGUAGACCCUUCAUUGGUAUUGAUGGAUGCCAUUUGAAGGGUCCAUAUAAGGGUGUUCUUUUAUCAGCAGUUGCUAUUGAUGCCAACAAUGGAAUCUUCCCACUUGCAUUUUGUGUAUGUAGUGUCGAGAGUACAACCAGCUGGACAUGGUUUCUAAGCCACUUUAGGGAAUUUUUACAAGAUACAAGACAACUGACCUUUAUGUGUGAUAGGCAGAAAGGAAUUCAGAAUGCUCUUGCCUUAGAGUUUCCUAAUGCACAUGUUAGAUUCUGUGCUAGACACAUCUUAGCAAAUAUUAAGUUAAAACAUCCUCAAUCUGACUUUAAAGCAUAUUUCUGGGCAGCAGCAAGAGCAUCAAACAGAAGGGCAUUUGAUGAUGCUAUGCAAAACAUAAGAGCAGCACAUGAGGGUGUAUAUGAGACUCUUAGGAGGAUACCACCAAAUUUCUGGUCAAGGCAUGCCUUUGACAAUAAUUGCAAGUCUGAUCAUUGCACUAACAACGUAACUGAAUCUUUUAAUGCAUGGAUUGGGAUUCAAAGAAAGUUGCCAAUAAUCUCAAUGCUGGAGUGGAUUAGGAAGAAGCUGAUGAAAAGAAUGAUUGGAAGAAGAAAUAAGGCAGAGUCUUGGGACAGUGAUAUACCAAGAAGAAUUUAUGCACAAAUGAUGAAGAAUUUACAGAUUGGCAGUGCAAACCCUAUCUGUAGAGCUAGUAAAUGGCUUUAUGAAGUGGAUGAAAAUACCAAGACUUAUAUCGUUGAUCUUGAACACCAUAUGUGUGACUGCGGACAAUGGCAAGUUAGUGGGAUUCCAUGUGUACAUGCAAUGCCUUGUAUUGUGAAUAGUCAAAAAGAUCAAGCUCAGUUCAUUAGCCAAUGGUUGAAGAAAGAUACUUACCUAAGGUGUUAUUCUGGAUUGAUUAAACCAAUUCCAGAUAGAACGUCAUGGGUAGAUGCUGGUGGUGAUGAAAUACUGCCCCCUUUAGUGAGAAGACCACCUGGACGACCUAAGAUGACAAGAAGAAGAGAAGCUGAUGAGGUACCAGCACAUAAUAAACGAUACAAGAUGCAAUGCACUAUUUGCAAGGGAUUUGGACACAACAGAAGGGGUUGUCCUGUUAACCCUCAUAAUGCUCACAAGACAACAAGACAAUAUAAGGUGAGUGUGUAUGCUUGUAAGAGAAUAUUCAAUUAUUUUUUGAACCAUGUUCCUCCCAUGUGAUGACAGCUAAUGUGCCUUGUUUGUUUGUGCUUUUUUAUAGAAUAACCUGAAGAAGCACGUGACAAGGACAAAUGGGGAGCAAAGUGAAGGUAUAAGAGUAAUUUACUAAGUUAUAUUACUAUAUUACUUUACAGCUGUAUUAGAUAAUUAUAUAGUUGUGUAUCACCAAACUAUAUUAAAUUAACUUAUUUAUUUAACGUUGCUUUAUUGGUAAUUUAUAAGGCCAAGUUCACGGAAUUACCUCAACUAUUUUGGAAAGCCAAGACAAUGACAUGGUCCAAGUAACUGUCUCAGGCCAAAACAUAACAAAGAACCAGCAGACUGCAUCUAACAAACGCAAGAUUGGCAAUCAAGCAGGGCCAUCAAAAGCAAAUGAAGUCAUUGGCAAGAGCAUGAAUGGGGUCAUAUCUGUAGCUCCAUGGGUAGGUGAACAGGGAAGAAAAGUAAUGUCAGCCGCUGGAUUAACCUUCAGCAAAGAGGAUGAAGUCGGCAACUAUACUGAAAUGAAGCAUUUGGACAAAGGGAAGGCACCAGCCUUCCCUUCGUAAAGGGUAAAACCAUAGUUUUCUAUUGAUAUAAAUUAAUAUUGGUUUUGGAAAUGAUAUUUAUAAUUUGUAACUUGUUUUGUAGUGAUUCUUUGGCUAUGAUGGAGACAUUGGCAGCAAACUUAUUAACAAACAGUGGAGGCAACAUUAUCAUUUUUUGACACCUUCCACAAUGCCACAUCAACCCACCAGGCACAAGGUUAAGGUUAUCUGGAUGCUGAUUUCAUUAGGAUCAAGUGGCCAAGUAAUGACCAGGCAUGUCAUUGUUUUCUUUUUCUUUUUUAUUUUGGAGCUGAAAUUGGUGGAAGUUGUUGGACAUUAAGCUUAAGCAUUAUAGAGCUGGAAGCUGUGAUGACCUACUAUAAGUAUGAUUGGAAGGGUUUAUGGCAUUUUGAAAGUUUUUGGGAUUAAGAUACAUAUAGGACUGAUAUCAACCAAACCAACACUUUUUUUUUUUGUUUUUUGGUCACAUGUAUGUAAACACCAGAUUGGAUGUGACUAACAUUGUAAGUUGCUGCCAAUAUGCAUUUAUAGAUAAAAUAACUUAUUGCUAUUAUUGAUAUCAUAUUUGAUUAAAUGGUAUAUGUCAAGAAACGAAUGCAUUUUAUUGAUCAUAAGAUUUCAUUUUACACAUUGUUCUAGCAUUCCUUACAGUACAAUACAAGCAAUACAAGUAUAGUUAUCACUAUAAUCGUGAUUUGAUACUUCUUAUUUUUAUGAAGUAAACCUUCAAUAUUGAUGAACCUGUUGUGGAAGUCCUCAAUGUUAAAUUGUUGAAUCUCACUUGCCCUGUCUGCAGCUUCUUCUUCAAACCUUUGUAACGCUGCUUCAAUUUCUAUAGCCUCACCUGUAGAUGGUUUCCACCAUCUAAAGAAACCACAAGAUGGGUCAUUAGGGCAUGUGUAAUAUAGUUUGUUGGGGUUUGUUUUUGAUUCUGACACUUUGAUUUCUGCCCUUCUUCGACAGUAGCAUACUGUGUUAUAGAACUUGAUGAUGCCCCCAUUGAUUUUAGGUAAAUCCCUUCUUCUGUUAUAAGUUGAUGAACUUGAUGCAUUCCUUGAAGUGGACAUUUUCUUCAAAUUUCCAAUGUCGUGUCUGUUAUAUUCUUUUUGAAAUACAGCACAACGUAUCUGAACUUCAAGUUGUUGUGCUUGUUUUGUGUGUGAAUGAAGCUGCUGUUGAAGUUGUAUUGUUUCGGUGGGUAAAACCAAAUGUUGUACUACUGUAAGUUGUUGCUGAGUAAAAAAAAUGGUGGAGUUUCCAGGUGAGUCAAUGAAAAUCACUGAGGUGUGAAGAGGGUAGGAAUUUAUAUGUGUUAAACAUCACAGCUUGUGGUGAUGCAUCAGCUCAAAUUUAUCAAUUUCUUUUACUGUUCUUGUAACCAUAUAGCCGUUAUUACUGUUGCUCAGAUUUUAUAGCCGUUGGAUUUUUGAUGCGCAUGGUAAUAAACCAAUAUGCUAAGGGCAAUAUAGUCAAUAUAAUUUAACAGUUAUAGUUGGUCUUCGUGUGUAAAUACACCUUUAAAUAAUGGCCAGUGGUAAAUUCCUUAGUUCAAUGACUCACCUGGAUGCAUUUGAAUUCAACGCAAGGGUAUAUUUGUCAUUUAAUCAAAAUAUAGACUGAUCCGUUACAAUUAACUAAAAAAUAAACAGAAAUGGGUGCGCGGUGCUCAUAGGCAAAAGAAUUGGGUGCGUUGUGCUGUAUGUCAAAACAUUUGGGUGCGGGGUAAAAAUUACCCUUUGGAUUAUGAUUUGAGGGUGCAAGUAUUUACCUAGAGUUUACCUCCGCACUAAAUUCUUAAGUUUUGAAAAUUAUGAGACCUUUAUAUUGGGAGAUAUUGUAAUCGAAUCAAAACUUAAAUUUUUUAUAAUGUUAAUAUUUAAUCUUUUAAAAAACAAUAACCUCGCCGUUACAGUUUGGAUUAAGAUUUGAGUAAGUAUUUACCUAAAUUUUACCUCCGUCUGUAAAUUCUUAAGUUUUGAAAAUUAUGAGACCUUUAUAAUCGAAUCAAAAUUUUGAAUUUCAAUAUUAUUAUUCUUUAAAAAAAAUUUUGAGAUAACAGAGUGAUUGAUAAUAUAGGAGAACUUGUCUAGGCAAGCACAUGUAUACACAGAAACGUGAUGGAUUCAAAAAGAAAUUAAAGUGAUAAUGCGAAAUCGCUUGGUGGCCCAGUAAAAUUACGACUGAAUUUUUUUUUUUUUUUUUACAAAAUUCAAGCUCAUAAAUGACAAAUUUCAUUUCCCUUUCACACGUCAUUAACUUUUGUAACAUGGUGUGUGCAUCGUCAAGUGAGGCAAAAGGGUUUCAAUUACAGUUGGAAAACAUGAACAAGAAUGCAUAAUGAAUAAUUCCUUCGAUAAACCGAAAAUUAAGCACAGAAUAAUCCUAAAAUUUAAACUCUAAUAUCUUAUAAUGUAUUGAUUAAAAAUAAUCCUAAGAGCUCCCAAUUGAAACUUUCAUAAGUAUUUUAAUUGUUUUGGAUAAACAAAUUGCACUAGGAUAAAAAUUUGGCAAAUUCAGAGGAUAAUGGAAAAUAGUUAUGCUUCAAUAGGCCAAAGAUUAGAGAACAAAUAAGAAUUAUUUAUUGAUAUACAAAAGAGAAACACUCCAAAAUUUCAAGCAAAAAUAGUUUCAUAUAUCAUUUCGAUUUUGAAAGGGAUGAGAUUUUGAACUUCAAUAGUUUCCUCUAAAAUUAAAAGGUAGCAAUUAAGCUAAAAAGAGCAAUGAAGACUUAUUGGUACCUUAUUAAAGGUAAACAUUAUGGAACUUUCAAUGUCAUUAUCUCACUGUUCAAUUUUUAUUGAGAUUUGUGUAAGCAUUUACCUAAAUCUUACCUCCGCCUUUAAAUUCAUAAGUUUUGAUUAAUUAUGAGACCUUAUAUUGGGAGAUAUUAUAAUCAAACUAAAACUUAAAAUUUCAAUAUCAUUAUUCUUUAAAAAGAAAUUGAGAUAUCAGAGUAAUAUCACAUAGAAAAACUUGCCCACGGACGGUAAGCCAAAAGUCUAGUCAACCACACGCAUAAAGCUAACUAGAACAAGAGAACAGAGAAACGCGUGGGUCCCUAAAAGAAAAGGCAAGCACAUAAAUAACUUUCAAAAUGCCCAAGCAAAUACCGAUGAAAAUCACUGUUUAAGAAUAAUUUAUUAUGUGGUUGAAGCUUUCUUUUUAUCAAUCUUCUUUCUACCCAUUAAUUUUCCCACGACUUUCCCGUUUCAUUUCUUGAAUCUCCAUGGAUUAACUUUCAAUAAACCAUAAAAUAAACUAAGGAAUCAUUUUCUCGAAUACAGCUAUGAUUUUAAUAAAUGGGCGGACCAUCUAGAAUAGUAUAUAUAAUUCUGUUUAAUUAAUAAGUUGAAAAAACCAUCAAGAGAAAUUCUAAUAUUAUGAGCUUGACACGAAUUCUUCACUAAUUCCAAAACAAGGAGCUGUUUUAUAAGAACUGUGGUUGGAUUAUUAAGUUUUACAAUUUGAAUAUAAAUAAGAAAAUAAAAUCAGUCGCGUUGAUGUUUUCGAUACAUUUCGCUGCUAACUUUUUUUUUUUUUUUAUUACAUGAGACUAUUGCUCAAAUUACAACUCAUAUUACAUGAGAAUAUAACUGAUAUUUACAAAUCAGACUAUAACUGGGACCAAUAUACAUCAAUACUAAUGGAGCGCUGCCCAGAUUUUAACCCUCUCAAAUAUUCAAGGGAUGUCUACACCUCACACUUGGGUAAGGAAACAGACUGUCUUCACUUAAAUUUACUUGAGGAAUGAAGACCCCCACAAUACAUUGUGGGGGUUCACCACUCGACCAAAGGCCGAGUGGCUCAUUUCGCUGCUAACUUAAUUAAUUACUUUACUUCAACUUUAUUUCCUUAGGGGCACUUUAUGGUGGGUCCAAGAUGGGACCUACAAUAAUCAAUCCUAAAAUUUAGUAUGGUUACCAAAUAGCUAGUAGCUAGUGUUAUUUUGUGUUUGGUGGAAGAGAUUGAAUAUUUAGUUUUAACUUAACCAUUCAACUAAUUAGAAAAUAAAUAAAAUUAAAUGAAAUGUUUAGAUAUCAAUUUAAAUAUUAAUAUCGGGGAUAUAAAUUAGUUAUAAUAUAGUUCAUUACAUAAAAUUGAUUAAAUUAAUAAUUACCCGUGAACAUAGAUGUAUAUGCUUUCCAAUUUCCAAAGUGCUCAAAGCACUUUUCUCACCAAACUUUCCUCUGAAUUUCCCGUAGCUGACUCCUUUGUUUGCGUUUUGUGAAAUUUCUAGGAACUUUUUUCGAUUUAGAAUAUUGUACAUUUUUCUUUUCAGCUGAGAUUAAUUUAACUUAUAGAAAAUCUUAUCCUUUUUUAAUAUUAUUUAAAUAAAAUUUGUCUAUCUUUUAUUUUAUUAGUCUACUUUUUACCCAUUAAUUAAGACUUUUCAAUUUCUUUUUUACCUGAGGUUUUCAGUGACUAUCUUUCAAUAAACCAUAAAAAUUACUUAGUCAUUUAUCGAACAAUUAGAUGACCAUAUUUCAAAAUAUCAACUAGAAGUUGUCCUGAAAUAUUUAAUUAAUAGUUGAAGAAUUGUGAUUAGUGUGGGCAUCUACAUAAAAAUUAUAUUAAAACACCGCUAAAAGAUAAAAAUAAAAUAAAAUAGUACAAACAUACACCCAUAGGUUAAAACAAAGAAAAAACACGAACCAAUACACUAAAAUGUUUUAGCUGUAGUUAGUUUUCAGUUUCAUUACUUAAGUCCCACGUGCAUGUCACGUGACUGAGGUCAAAAAAUGAUUGUCACAUUAAAGUUCAAAAUACGGAGCAGGGUAAUUAAGGAGUGGAGCUAUUGGCACCCCUCCAUUAUUCUUACAAAACUCCACUUUAAAUCAAAAUAUAAUUAAGAAUAAUUGAAAAUUAAACACUUAUAGAUUUCUUUACAACAUGUUGAGUGAUAAAAAAGCACCAGUCGGGCAUGUCCCCAUUUCUUACCCGGUGCCGAAUCUCCACGGUCGAAUGGUAUGAGUAGACUCUUGGUGAUGUCUUCUAUGUGGAGCACGUAACAACAGACCAGGAACUAGUACCAACCAAAAACGAGUACUGAUCGAAACAAGCAUGACCAGAAACGCAUACCGACCAGAGACUUGUGGGUCCGUAAAAGAAAAGGCAAGCACACAAAUGAAAAAGCCAUUACAUUUCUAUUUUACAUGUCAUUCCUAAUUUUUGUAACACGAUGUGGCAGCAUAUGCACAAUCAAAUGAGGCAAAAGGGAUUCGACUAUCGUGGCAGAACAUGGACGAGGACGCGUGAUGAAUAAUUCCUUCGAUAAAACGAAAAACAAACGCAGAGAAAAGAAUUUCUUAUAUGACAAGAAAUUAAAGUAAUGUGACGGAACAUGAUGAAGAAAUUGCAGAUCGAUCAAUUAUCCCCAUGGACUCCUAUAAAUUCAACCAAAAUAACAAUUCCAAUAUUACCAAAUUCUUGAGUUAAAUUUAUUCAAUGCUUUUUUUUAAGAGAAAUUUUUUCCAAUGCUACUUUCCCUUUUUUGGGGAAAUUAGAACUGCGGCAUGUAUAGAAGACAUUGAGGUAUAAAGCAACAUUAAUUUCAUGGGUUAUGCGUUAUACGCAUAAUAUAUUUUCAGUCCAAAUUCAACUAUGCAAAGAGGCUUGAGAACUUAAAAUUAAGCACAAACUAAACAGACGAAGUAAAUACAUGAUUAUGCAACAUAACAUUAAUUCUCUUAAUUUAUAACCGUUUUGCCACAUGAAUCUUGCACAGUUAAUCCUAAUUGAAGACUAAAAAAGAACAAUUGGAACAAGGUUUUGAAAUAGAAUGAUAGACAAUCGAUAUGAUCCAUUUCCAGUCGUCAACGCUAAUUAACUGCAGUUUCUAGACUCCUAAUUAUACUAGCCAUAAGAAACUGUUUAGAAAACUGGUGAUCAGAUUAGAUUUUGAAAUGAAAUAAUGUUCAUUUUCCCUUCGUUACCCUUUUAUUUAUUUAUUAUUUUUAUACCAAAGAAUUCUAUCAUGAAACGAAUCAAUUUAAUCACCUUUUCCAGCAGCACAAUUUUUCUUUUAUAAAAUUUGACCACAGAGACAAAGAAGAAUUAUUCAUACCUUCAUCAGUAAGGAAAUACUUUUCGGUAUGGCUAGGGUGAGAAAAGGCUUUCCACAAACACUUGUACUUUGUAUUCCUGUAAAUUUUCUUUAAAGUCAAUAAAAAUCAUAAGUUCUUUACAAUAACCAUCUCUUUGAUAAAAAAAGUGCCGUAUUCCUUUAGAAUUUAAAACCGGCAAAAUCGAAUCAGUGUCUUUGAAGAGACAUAAUGGUCAUAAUUCUUUAAAGAGUUGGCUAUGGAAAUCCUUAUCCAAGAUUCUUUUACGCCAUAUUCUUUCGUAAACCAAAAUUCAUUUUGGAAUACUCUGUUGAGAAUGUCAAAUAAAACGGUAUUGAAGGAAGUUUUCAAAGGCAGAAUCCGCACUUGUCAAAGGGAUGAUCUGCAUUUGUCAGAGACACAAUCUGCGUCGAAUGAAUCGACACAUUUCCUUUUGUAUUCGCAUAUGUAAUUUUUGAAAAAAUGUAGCUUCUGCAUCUAUAAAUAACGCUCAGUGUAUAAUGUUUUAUUCAAAAAAAGAAAACAAGUUUCUUCAUACUCGUCGUCCGAACAUACAGAGACCGUCUCUCAUAACUUCAGCCGAAUACUUAUGAUGAUGAUCAUUUGUGAUUUCAUCAGGCAUAGGGUUGAUGGUGAAAAAUUUUGUAUGUGUGAAGAAUUGAGCUGUGGAUAUAGGGGACUUAAGUGUAAUCGAAAGAGAGUUAUUAGGCCAUAGUGUAGAUUGCAUUCAGUUUAUGAGUCGAUAUGCAAAUAAUUUGUUGACGUGGCGAAAUUUGUUAUGGUCGUUACUAUUGUUUCUGGAAAUUUUCUAGAAACCUCAGCAUAAAAGGGGCUUUUGGAUAGCCUCUGGUGUGCGUGUGAUUUCUCUUUCGUUUCCUCAUCAAAUUCUGUAAUUCUUGCUUUGAUAAAAAGCUUGUAAUCUCUUCUGUAAUUGUGAUCAGUGCGUAAUCAUUUUGAGCGAUAAAAGCUUGUAGGUUUUUCCUUCAAACAAUGUCGUUUUGGUCAGUUUGUUAGUUUGAUCUGUUGGUGGAAUUUUCUUUGGUUAUUUGUUCUCAAAUUUCAACCUUAUAUAAAGUUUGAACUCUAAUGGCUUAUAAUGUAUUGAUUAAGAAUAAUCCUAAGAGUUUCCGAUUGAAAUUUUUAAUGACUAUUUUUAUUGUUUUGGAUGCACAAAUUGCAUUAAGAAAAAAUAUUGUCAAAUUCAGAGGAUAACGGGAAAUAAUUAUGCUUCAAAAGGCCAGAGAUUAGAGAAUAAAGAAGCAUUCAUUACUGAUAUAAAAACUGCUUCUAUUUGGAUUUUGAAAGGGGUGAAGUUUUGAACUUCAGUUGUUCCUCUAAAAUCAAAAGCAAUAAUUAAGCAUUCUCAAUUAGAAAGAGCAAAGAAGACUUAUUGGUACCUUACUGAAGCUAACAUUAUGGCACGGUUGUUCAUAUGUAAUGGCUGCUCUGUUAUGCUAGCUUCUCUGUUUUUGCUUCUAUUUUUGCUUACAGUUUUGAAGAUAAAUUCUUGCUCAAAUAACACAUAAUUAAAUAACACUAAUAUGGCUCAUGAAAUCCUAUAAUAGCUAAUUACGCAACUUUCUCCUCCUCCUCAAUUCUGUCUUCCCCUGCUCGGACACUAACUUCAAAAUUCAAUGCCCCGAAAAACAACACAAGAAAUCUUUGAGUUAGUUCGUGACCAGUUUAUAUAUAGUAGCAAUUGAAAAAAGAAAAAGAAGAAAAGAGUUAAUUAUUUUUCAGACCUUCACUUAUUAGGAAGUUUGUUCUGCUAUUGGGUGAGAUCAAGCUCUCAGCAUAUACUUCCACAUGAUACUUUCUAACAUUUUCUUGAAAGCCAUCAAUCAUUAAAUCUUCAUACUUUUUUCCAUCCUUUGGAUCAAUAAGUACAAAUUUCUCAUCUAAAAAAGACAAAAUAAAAUCACUGUCCUUCAUGGAAUCAGAAUUGAGCUUACAAAAACCGAAGUGGACAGUUCCAUUCAGAUUGGUCGCCCGAGAACAAUGAUGAGAAGACUUAAAAUCAGUUUCAAAGGUUUUCCAAGUAUUGUUCCUCUAAACCACUUGUAUAUUUUACCAGAACUCUUGGUUAAGAAAAUCCUAGUCCAUGGAGUAUGAUAUAUCAAUCAUGCAACAAUGACCUACAACAUCUAUGUGGAUUGAUUUUUGCAAAAUAAAGAACAAUGCUGACUGAGGAAUAAGGUGCAUACCCGAUUAGCAAUAUCUCAGCAAGUAACCAACAAUUUUUUAUCUGAUAAGAAAAAAUUACAAUUUCUUGAAUAUACAUGAAACAUUUUGCAGAAAGAACCAUGUCAUAAUUAUUAGUCCAACUGAAGAAUUAUCAAUACUUAUCACAUGAAACGAAAGAUACCCGAGUUCACUUAAUGAAAUUCUCUUUUUUUUUUCUCUAACAUUGAGAUAAGCAAAAACUUUUAACUAAAGACAAUCAUCUAGUGAUCUCAAACAAAUGAGGUUAGUAUGAAACCAUCAUAAUUUGUUCGCUCAUUGCCUAAUUUUAUUAAUGCAAGAGCCUGGAAGCAACUCAAAAAGAAAAUAACCGACAUAGGAAGUGUCAUCUCAUAUCUCACCAAUGAAUGGGAACAGCUUGAUGUGGCUGAGCAAACUGGCAGAAUUGUCAUUUUAACACACGUUCAAGAAACUCAGCAAAUUCUCAUAUCUGUUUAAAUUCCACAGCAAAGAUAGUUACAAGAAAUCUAAUCAAAAUUUAAAAUGUCAGAAGGCAAAUCUUCCAAUUAGGAUCAAAAGAAGAUAAUUAUAAUUUGUCAUUUCAAUUCUGAAUGUACAAUUUUAUUUUUUUAUGUGUGCAUUAAUUAAGAUUCUACCUUCUCUGCAAAAUUGUGAUGGACUUGGUAAAUAAUGAAUUGUAUCGACUUGAAUUUUAUACAACUUAUUGAGAUAAUAAUACGCCAAAUUCAACACCGUCCAUCCCAAAUCACAACAAGAAACUCAAACUUUUAUCCCCUCAAGUGGGUUCUUGAAACUGAAGCUUUAGUGCCAGUACAAUUUUGAAAGAUUGUGAUCAAACUAAAACAUCAAAUAAAAUAAGACGUAACAAAAACACGUCUUCAGAAAAUUAGUAUAGGAAUAAGAUAAGCUACACAGACCUACUUCAAUGAAUUAGAAAAAUUAUGAUAAACUUGAUGCAUUUCGAAAAACAACAAACAAAUAUUCCCAGGAAAACAAAAAAAAGACAACUUUGUUUAAGCUUAGACAAAAAUAACUAAGGACAUAUGAAUGCAUCAUAAUAGUAUCUCUAUGGGUAAUUUUCAGAAAUCUCCCCUAAGGUAUGGUGUAUUCUUAGUUUGAUAGAAAAUAUCUAAGUAUUCUUAUAGACCUCCCCUACUGUUAGUAUUCCAUUUCGUAUAUGUUAGGUAGAUGAGGGUAAGAUCGUAAUUUGAAUAAGUUAAUGAUAAAAAAUCCAGAAAUUUUAAGAUUUUCACAUUGGCCUCUGGGCUUUAUUCAUCUCUUUCAUCCACCAAAACCAGAAAUACAACUCACCUCUCUCCUCCACCUAAAUCGAAGCAAGGUAGCUCAAAACUCAUUUCAAAAAAUUGAUCAAUUACUUGGGUCACAAACUAGAGACAAUGACGACGAAGUUGAUGACGCCAAUAUCGACGACGAAGCUGAUGACGCCAAUAUCGACGACGAAUGAUUCGCAACUGCCAGGUAAGAGAGUAUAGUAGGUUUCGCCAUCGAACGCCCAAUCAUCCAGUUGUUUUGGAGCCGCGUUAUUUUUAUUAGCUAAAAUUAGAAUUUUUAGUGAAAAAUUGAAAGUGGGUCUCAAAAUUUUUUGAGAGCGUAUAUGUUUCUCCUGAUUUUUCGAUCGAUUCGUGUUAGUUGCAGUUAAAUGAUUAAUCCAAUUCGUGUUGAAGAUAGAGCUAACUCGAAUAUCUCUAUAGUCCUGUAAUUGAUUGAAAAUGGGUCUUGAAAAUUGUUUUAGAUUUCAGCUGUGUGCUUCUGAUUUUUUCCAUGGAUUCAUGAUAGAUGAAAAUGGUUGAUGAAGAUUUGCUUGACAUGUAUAUAGAUGGUAUUUUGUUAAAGGGGUUUUAAUUUUUUCCUUUUUUGGUGGUUUCGAUUGUGGUAUUUACAUGCCUUAGGUUGAGAAAAACGAAAAUGGUUUGUUGCACUCUUUUGUGUUGGAUCAGUGAGUUUAGGCGAUUUGAAAUGGUUUGCGGCAUUCAAUUGAUUGUUUUAUUUAUGUGGUUUGAUAUGGGAAAAGUAUAAUAAAAUUCAAUUGUUCCAUAUGUCAAUUUGGAUGUUUUGAAAUUAUGAACUACAAAAAGUUAAAAUUAAUUUCUUAUUAUAUUUUCAAUUGAAAGUUACUAUUGUCUUCUUUUUAGUACUUAGUAUGCAUUUUUCCCCAUCUUCUAGUGGUGGUGUUGCACCCAUUUUGAAUUUGAUCGGCAUCUUCUUCUGUACAUGCAUGUUUCUUGGACUCCAAUUUUUGUUUCAUAUGAUGAAGCUAAUUUAAUUCCUCCUUUUUAAUAUCAACUUUGUUCAUCUAGGUUUGCGAUUUUGAUCUUUCUCAUUUGAAGGCAAACACAUUUAUGUCAUCAAAAUUUCCAAUAUUUUUUAUUUUAUAGUAUCCAAACUGCUUAUGGCAAUAUGAAAUUGAGAAUAUUUCUUUCAUCAUGUUAACCUAAGUGGAUGGUGGAUGAUGUUUGUGUAAGAGAUUUAAGUUAUUUGUAUUAUAGAAUAUGUCUUAUGUUUUGAUUUGCAAUUUCACCAUUAAAUUGGCUUUGUAAAUGAUUAGAAGCUAAAUGCAUAAAAUGAAAACAAUAGUAACAUUUCUGAGUGGGGUAUAAUCAGAUGCUAACAUGGCGAUCCAUGACUUGUAAUUUCUAUUGUCGUUAUAAUUGGACUAGAUCGAGGUAAACUGACUUUUCUUGUUCUGUUUUUUUUUUCAUUUCUUUGUUCUAGAUUUUUCUUUCUUUGUUUUACUUCUGGUUUCUUCUUCAGCAUAUUCAAUAACUAGCAUGAGCAAAUGGAGAGGAAAAGGGUAGAAUAUGCUUUUAAAAAAAAAGAAAAGAAAAAAAGAGAUAGCUCUAAUUCAAAAAUAAGGAGGAGAAAAGGGCAAUGAUUGAAGUUGUGGAGAAGAAAUUCUUAAUGCAUAGGAGAUGACAACAAAGUGUUGCAACUGGGAGCAGUUUUAAAGUGCUAUUCGAUUGCUUUUGUAAUCAAAUUGUCUUUUGUACCUAUUUAUACACACACAUAUUUGUAUUUGUAAUUUGAAUUUUACAUUUUCUCAAGACAACUAUGUUUAUUUUAAAAAAAAUCUAAAUGUAACUAAAAUAUUAAAGUUUUUGUACUUAUUACUCCAUUUGAUGAUUUUUUUUAUUUUUUUGCUGACGAAUAUUCCAUGUCAAUUUUUUUCCCUUCAGCUCGUUUAAGGUGUUUUAUUGUCUGAUGUGAUAUUUGGUGCUCGGGAGGAAGGGUGUUUUAAGUCUUUUUUGGUGUCAGGGGCAAUUUUGUCUUUACAUCAGUCAACAAAUAGUCAAUGGAUGGAAAUGCAAACAGCAGGGGAGGUGUCUGAUAAUACACGGAUACUUUCUAUCAAACUUAUAAUACACAAAAUCUCAGGGGAGGUUUUUGAAAAUUACCCAACUGUGCAAAAUUAUGAAAAAAAUGAGCUAAACAUAUAUAGCAUUUCAGAGGAGUGCUUACUUGACAAAUCACUAAUACAAAGCUGCGAAUGGGCAUUCGGAAUGUUUUGAGAGACUCGUAUGGAUAAAAUAUGUAGUUAUUUAAGUAAUGACAGAAGGAGAAUCGUGUGGCUUGUCAAAGCCGUUAGCUCCAUCUCAUUUGCCUCGUCCUCUCGUUUUGUUUCUGUGGGGACAUAUUUGAUAUUUUGGAUUUUGUCUAAAAUUCGUCAUGUUUUUGGAUACUAACAUCUGCGCCUCUAGACCAAUAGCCAUUUGAUUAAGUGGGAGAACCCUUACACUAGUGUAAGAAUUUGAACUUUUAUAAAAUUAUUUAUGAGAUUAUUUAUAAUUUUUUUUAAUUAUCAAAUAAUUGAGUAGAGUCAGUUUAAUCCUUACGAAAUAUUUACUAUUCAUAAAUAUCUUUUUUUUUCUCUAUCUUACAAUUGAAUAUUCUCUCUCUACUCCAACAUUAUGUAACCUAAAUAUUUAAUUUCACUCUUUUUUAAUUUAUUUUUUUGUCUUUUCUUAGUAUAUUAUAAUCUUUAUUUCAUGUUUUCUAUAUAUAAGAAUUUUUUUAUAUCUAUUAAAUUUUGUGUUUAGUGAAAAUUAAUUUCUUGAUAUUUUUAAUUUUUAUAAUUGAUAAAAAUAUAUCAAUGUUCAUUUUUAAAUGAUGGGUUUUGUUCAUUUUAGUUUGUUAUAUUAAUUUUUUGUAGGUAAAAGAAUAUAUUUGAAUGAAUUGAAGGAAAAUUGUGAAAUUGAGAAGAGAAAGAGAAGAAAAAGUUAAUUAAAUAAUUUUUUCAAAAAUUAUUUAAAUAAUAAAAUUCUUAAUUAAAAACAAAGAUGGAGAGAGAAAUUUAGUGGGUUCAAAAUACUUAUUUUAAAUCCAAAAAAGAACCAAUAAAAGAAAUCAAAAGAUGAUUCUUUUCUUUCUGACAUAUUUCUCUGUACUUUUCUCUCUCUACUGAUUCACAAUUUUUCAUACUUCUAACUAUCAUUUUAUUCAAGUAUUUUGUAUUUUUAAUGACAAUUAUUUAAUUUUUAGUUAGUUUUGAUAUUGAUUAGAGAUUUAAAGUGUAUUUUAGAAGACUUCCGGUCUCUUGAAAAAAGGAAAAAUGGAGAAGAAGAAGUGUUCUUGAUUUUUUGUAGGCGUUAAAGUUAAAUGGUUUGAAAUGAUAUUCUUUUUUAAUUUCACUCAUUAAUCUCAUUCAAGAUAAAAUUAUAAAUGCAAAUAAAUGGGGUUUCAUAAGUAUUUUUAAUAGUGUUAAAAGGUCUACUCACUAAAUAAACAUGUUUAACCCAAACCAAUGCGAUUAGUAAGUUAUUGGGUUGGGUUAAUCAGGUUAAAAAUCAAAAUUAAAAAUUAAAUAAAUAAAAAAGGUAUAAAAACUAUCUGUUACUUGAAAAUAAAAAGAAUUUCUAAUUGUUAGUUCUAAUGUCCCAUAUCCAAAACAUGCAUAUUAAAUAAAUAUUAUAAGUUAGAAAUACAAUAUCCAAGAAAGAAUGAAUGAAAUACCAUAUUUUUGUUGAGAAUUAAGAGUGUGAUUUUAAUUUUGAUAUUGGAGUCUAAAGUGCCACGUUUAAAUAUUCUCUUUUAUAAAAUAAUAAAAAGAGGUUAAAAAUUAGGUUAGCAAUUUAGCCAUUUAGGGUUUAGCAAUUAAGGAUGAACAUAUUAUUGUUGUUGUUGUUAUUAUUAUUAUUAUUUAUAUGUUUACUAAUCCAAUCCAAUCCAAUUAUUAACGAAUUUGAAAAAAUUGAUUCAAUCAAGCCAUAAUAAUUCAUUCAACUCGUCUAAAUUGGAUUAGGUUGAAUUUGGUUUGCCACCCUUGUUUUGAGCAACAAACCUCAAUGUGAUUCCAUGAGCUCUUUGAUUGUUUAUAAAAUUGUUUAUGAAAGUGCAAAAUAAAUUAUUGUAUACAUUAAAAUGUGCAAAACAAUGAAUUAUAUGUACGAACGAGUGCAAACACAUUUUUCAAUAAGAAGUUAAAAGAUAUUUAUGCAUGAAAAAGCCUACGUUUGUAGUUAUUCUAAAUUUUAAAAACAAAAUUUACAUUUAGAUCCCUAAAAUUUACGUAUAAGUACAAAAGUUUCAAAUAUUGUCUAUUAUUUUUUUAACAUGCCUAUUCCUUGUGGAUAAUUCUAUCUCAUCACUAAUGUUGUUUCUUGCUUACAAUUUGUAUAGUGUCUCAAAAUAGACAAUAGGGGGAUUUUGAAUUUUUUAAGUCUCAAUAUAGUCUCUAAUCUUGUGAGAAAGAUUUUCUUUCAAUAAUUUGGAGGUAAACAUAACAUAACUUUUUGGACUAAAGCCUAACUCUGCUGGUUAUGGUGGUAUCCUUUUCAAGACCUGCGUCUUUAGAUUCGAGUUUUAUAGUGUGCAUGCGUAUUUAAUUAAUAAUUUUUUAAAACAAUACAUCAAAUAUUAAUAUCCAUGACAUAAUUUAGUUCUUAAUUUUUUUUUUAAAUACAUCAAAAACAUAAUUUUUUUAACAACUUAUAGGCAUGACAAAUUUCAAGAUAUAAAUAUCAGUCAAAAUAAGUGAAAGAAAUAAUGGUGCCAAUUCUAAUUUCUUAACUAAAUUAAUUAGUGCAUGAGCCCCGAAUACGACACGAGAGUUUGAUGGGCUAACAUGGCACAAGAACCUGAAUAAAUAAUUGAUUUAAGAAAUAAUUCAAUGAAAAAUAUAAUUGAUAAGAAUUCAGUAUUGAAAUGAGUUUUUUAUGAAACACUGAAUUAAUGAUUAUUAAGCAAGAACAAUAAAAAAUAAAUAUUAAUCAUUGAUAAGUUUCAACAAAAGCUUAACACAAUCCUCAAUCCUAAUUCAAAUUAUAAAUGUCAUUCAUAUAUUCAUUAUAAUCAACAACAAAGGUUAUAAAUGUUUAGAAAUUCUAGAGGGAAGGAAGCUAUCGCUGGGCAAUCAACAACUAAAUUUGAUGUAAUUGUGGCACGAGAUGGAAUAUGGAAACUACACCAUAAUUUCAAAUGCCGCCAUAGACAUUGACUUAUCUACAAUAACAAUGAUCUAAUUAAAAUAAAAAUAGAGUUUAUGGGCAUUUAUUAAAAUAAAAAUAGGAGUGAAGUAAAAACAUUUAGAUUUUAAUGUAUGUACGGAAAAAUUUAUCUUUAAAAAUACUUUCUUAAUGUGUGUGUGCAUAUUGAAAUACUCAAACCAAUUUUGGUUAUAUAUAAUUCAACAAAAUUUAAAAUAUGAAAAAUAUAAUGUAGUUAUAGUGGAUAAGCAAUAAGUGAGCACAAUAUAAUUAAUCAAAUACUAUGCUAUCAAAAGUUAAUUUUAGAAAUUCCAAAUCCAAUAGCUAACACAAUUCUUUAAAGAAAUAACAAGGGGCAUUGGGCAAGAGUAAUGAAUGCUUAGUGGGUGCAUUUGAUUGAUAGAUAUAUAAAGGGCCGAAACUUGAUAUUAUAUUACUUUUACAAAAUUUAAUCCAAUCACAUAUUUAAUGAAAACAAAAUGAGUUAGGAUUGUUUAUUUAGAACCCACAUUUUAAUAAGGCUUCAUUUGAUGUAGUUUUUCAAACAUUGAUUAUUUGAGUAAUUACAAAGUACAAUACGUACCAAGUUUGGUAACUUAAUUGACAUCUUCUCAUAUAACCUUCGAUCAAGUCGAUUCUGACCUGACGACUAAUUGGUACAUCACCGUUGUUCUCUAUACUCGCAUGCAUCCGAUCACAAAUCUCACUCCAAUUGUCGUCUUUCUUCGGCGUUUUAGCGCAUCCUUCUUGAAUUUCCCGCAUUUCGUUCCCUCCUGUUACAAGUCUCCGGUCAGGUCAGUUCACUUGACGAUUAAUUCGGCAAAUCUCGAAUCUCUUCUCUAUCCCUCUCGUUUUCUCGUGUCUCCUUUCAGUUUAAGUGAUUGAAUCAAUUUUAUCGCAGUCUUAAGAGAAAUUAAGUAAUGCUCUUGGAUUUAAAAUUUUUUUGCUUUCGACUUUAGAUCUCGAAAGUCAAACUCUGCUACGAAUCCAUAGAUUCUCAAUGUUUAUAAUCUUAUUUGUGUUUGACCAGGUAACUGGAUCGUGAAAUUCGUCGUUUUGUAUCAAUUCAAGCUUUCGCGAGCUCAUGGAAUCCCCUGGUGAGUUGUGGUGAAACGUUAUCGUUUCAAUUUUCGCUUAAUUCUUUAUUGCAUAUUUUUUUCUCUCUAAUAUUUCAGUUUAAUUUAGAAAAGAAAGAGGACCCAAAAAGAGAGAGAGAGAGAGAGAGACUCUACCAUACUCAAUUCCUUGCUCAUUCUGAUUUGGCCUGAAUGUUGGCAUUGACUAUUAUUUGUUUUCAUUUCGAUUUAAUUCUCAUUUAGACAGUCUUUUUUAACUAGCAAUAAUCUUUUUAAGGAAAAUGAUAAUAGGGAUUCUGCAAUAAUCUUUUUAAGGAAAAUGAUAAUAGGGAUUCUGCAAUAAUCUUUCUGCAUUGUUCAAGUUAGUAGACAAUGAAUAGGGUGUUUAUGUUUACCUCAUUUUGAACCCUGAGGGCUUCGUUGAGUAGUUGAUCCAACAUAUCCAGCACCGGUUGAUGUGAGAACAGGAUGCCAUUUAGAUAGGCUUAAACUGAUUUUGGAGGUUUGUAUUCAUUCUAUUGUAUGUCUUGCUUACAAAUUUUUUAUUUUUUAUUUUUAAUUUUGUAUAAUAUGCUCUUUGUUGGUAAAUCUCAUUUGACUUAGAAGAGAUAGUUUUAUCCCAACAGUGGGAUAAAUCAUUGAGAUGCAUGGCAGUGUGAAUAUAGUAGACAAAAUCAUUGAGACAGAUGGUGGUGUGAACAUAGUAAACUUUGUCAAACACAGCUAAGAUAAACAAAUUGUUUCAUUAGCCUUUAUCUUAUCUGCUGUGAUGAUUCAAAUUAAUGCUGUUUGGUAGGUUGCAAAAAACGAAAUGAGCUGACUGUUCAUAUUAUUUAGUCAGAUCUAUUGCAAUAAGUUGAAGUUCACUGUCACAUGGGUUGGGAGUAGCGUGGGCUGUGAGUAGUAGAAUGGAUUUAUGGAGUUGAUACAAGUGCCCAUAAUCUAUCAUGUCAUUCUAGGAUUAAAUGGAUUGCACAUUACUGUAAAGAUGGAGGUUAAAUUUAUAUAAUUCGGAUUGAUUGUAAAAUGGGAGGCAGAGAUGAGUUAGAAAAAAAAUGACCUGUGUCCUUUUUGAGCUGUUUCUAAAUCUCCCUGGUGUGCUUCAUGCUUAACACGUGUCUGUCCAAAUAAUUUUGCUUAACCUGUGCUUGUCUACUUCUUGUGCUAUUCUGUGCCUGGUCCUGAGCUGUGUUGGUAGAUUGACAUAAUUUUGCUCUGCUAAAUGUAUAACUUAUUAAUCAGAGUCCUGUUAUUAUGGUUUGACACUACUGACAUGUUGUGUUGGUAUUUAUUUGUACUUCCCUUGGUUGAAUUAUUUGCUGUCUCCAUGCCAUUCGAUAUGGUGCUACUUGGUUUUUGAUCAUCCAUGACGCUAUAUAUAUGUAAAGGAUGAAUUGAUUGUUUUGGCUUGUAUUCUCACAUUUUAUGAUUGAUCGAUGGAAAGGUCUUCAUGUAUUAAAUUCAACCUCACAAGCGUAAGAUUGACAGAUUGUGGGAAAAUUUUCAGGAAAAGAAACUAGACUUCAUGGAAGCAAUGAAGCUUGAAAUUGAACGUCUGCAGCUGCAUCUUUCUGCAGCUGAAAGGGAUAGAGCUUUAUUGUCAAUUGAAACUGAUCCUGCCUCUAUAAAUCCAAAUGUAUUGCUUGAUGAAUCUUACAUGGGAAGACUGUCGAGUAGCAACCACUCUUGCAUUACUUGGCCAAACUUCCCUAGAAGACAAAAUUGUUGGUGCAAUUGGCCUUGAGAAUAGUGAUGAUAGUGUUUUAGACUUCUGGAAUAUUACUAGAAUCGGAGAGAGUUGUUCUGGUGGCGGGUGCAAGGUUUGUGCAGAAACUAAGGUGCCUGCUCUUGCUUCCUCAACUGCAACAUCUGUUGGAGCUUCACAAUCCCCUUUGUUGUGUUCUCAAUGUGAAAGAAAAGUUUGCAAAGUUUGUUGUGCAGGAAGAGGAGCUCUACUGUUUUCAAAUUAUAAAUCAAGGGAUGUGACCAACUACAAUGGCUUCUCAAGUCAGAGUGGAUGAAGCCAUGGAAGCCAAGUUGAUGUAUCUACCAGUCGUUCACUAACACUGGAUGGCGUUAUCUGUAAACACUGCUGCCAUGAGAUUGUGCCUGAUGCAUUGAUGUUGGACCAUGUUAGGGUCUUGAUUAGCUUGCGAAGAAGUUCCUGUGCAGACAACGCAGUCAUACAAUGCUUUGAAUGAGGUUGUUGGAUCCUGCUUAAAGGAUAGUGUUUCUGAAAGGAUUCAGUCUUCCGAUAACGUGCAAGCUGCUGAAGUCCUUCACCAAUUAUGUGGUGGACAGGAAUCACUUGCUGAAUUUCCAUUUGCUAGCUGUUUGCACUAGGUAUGUUCUUGGUUUGUAUUCAGUUCUCAUCAUGUUAUGUUUUCCUUUUAAAUUUCUUUUCUUGAUUAAAAUUUUUAGAAAUAUGUUUUAGUAUUUGUUCUUAUGAUAUAUGCCCAGAACAUUCAUCCCACUUAUCCAUGAGAAUCCUUGUCUGGUUUGAUUUUCAAUUGAGACAUUUUUGGGAACCCUGAGCAGGUUCCAUAUGCUAAUAAUCUUUGAGGUAAGGUGUUGUAGGAUGCCUUGAGAAGCUAAAAACCUAUUACAAGGAAAAGCUCUUGCAUUGUUUUGUGGAAUCUGUGUUGUGAAAAUAGGUAGAGAAAAAGUUUAUGGAAUAAUUCUCUUAUUUCAUAUGUUCAUGAGACUGUACACAGUCUUUAUAUAGGGAUACAAGAGACUAAGAAAGGAAAGAAAAAAUUAAAGCAGAAUAUUACACACUGAUUUCUAGGAAGCAAUAACUCUAUAUUUACACCAAAUAUACACCUAAAUAUAUAAGGAAAACCAAAUCAAUUUGAUUUGGUCAACCUUUCAACACUCCCCCUCAAGCUGGUCUAAAAAUGUCUUUCAUGGCCAGCUUGCAAACCAAUUUCUCAAAAUGUUUCUUAGGUAGUCCCUUGGUGAGUAUAUCAGCAAUCUGCUCAUUUGUAGGAAUGUAGGGCAUGCAGACCAAACCACUGUCCAGUUUUUCUUUUAUGAAAUGUUUGUCCACUUCAACAUGUUUAGUUCGGUUGUGGAGUACUGGAUUAUGUGCUAUUGCAAUGGCAGAUUUGUUGUCACAAUAUACUUUCAUAGGUAGAGAAUUAUUUGCCUUAAGUUCUUCAAGAACUUUUUUGAUCCAAAAAACCUCACAAAUUCCUAGAGCUACUGCUCUAUAUUCUGCCUCUGCACUACUUCUUGCUACCACAGUUUGUUUCUUGCUGCGCUAAGUGACCAAAUUUCCUCCGACAAAGGUGCAGUAACCCGAAGUGGAUCUUCUAUCGGUUACACUACCAGCCCAGUCAGCAUCAGUGUAGACUUCUACUUGUAGGUGCCCGUUUUUUCUAAACAAAAGACCUUUACCCGGAGAUCCUUUUAAGUAUCUAAGGAUUCUAUAUACAGUUUCAAAGUGUUCUGGUCCUGGAGCAUGCAUAAACUGGCUGACUAAGCUCACUGCAAAGGCUAUGUCCGGGCGUGUAUGUGAAAGGUAGAUUAAUCUACCUACAAGGCGUUGGUACCGAUCUAUGUUGGUCACAUCUUCAAUAUUAGCUGGCUGUAAUUUCAUAUUAGGAUCUAUGGGUGUCUCGGCUGCUUUACAUCCGAGUAAACCUGUCUCUUCAAGCAAAUCAAGAACAUACUUGCGUUGAGACACAACAAUCCCAUCUUUUGAUCUAGCAAACUCCAUGCCCAAAAAAUACUUCAGGUUGCCUAAGUCUUUGAUUUCAAAGUCACGUGCAAGCACUUUCUUUAAUCUGCAAAUCUCAACUAAGUCAUCACCAGUCAAAAUUAUAUCAUCUACAUAUACAAUUAACACGACUAAUUUCCCUUCAAUAGAAUGUUUGUAAAACAUUGUAUGAUCUGCCUGACUUUGGGAGUAGCCGUGUCCCUUUAUAACAUUACCAAAGCGUUCAAACCAUGCUCUAGGAGACUGUUUGAGCCCAUACAAAGACUUAUGUAGUUUACACACUUUACUGUUGCCAUGAUUUCCCUCAAAACCUAGUGGUAAAUCCAUAAAGACUUCUUCUUCUAGCUCCCCAUUCAGAAAAGCAUUUUUAACAUCUAACUGGUAUAGAUUCCAAUCAGAAUGUACAGCCAAUGAGAUAAGGACCCGGAUGGAAUUUAUCUUUGCAACGGGGGCAAAAGUUUCUUGAUAAUCAAUUCCGUAGGUUUGAGUGAAUCCUUUUGCUACAAGCCUUGCCUUAUAUCUCUCAACACUCCCAUCAGCAUUACAUUUAAGUGUAAACACCCACUUUCAACCCACAGUUUUCUUUUCUUUUGGUAAAUCCACAAUCUCCCACGUACCAUUCUUCUUUAGAGCAUUCAUUUCCUCUAAAACUGCUAACUUCCAAUCUGGGUGGUCUAGGGCUUCUUUUAUGGUUUUAGGAAUUGGUAUUUGAGAGAUUUUUGUGGUAAAGGCUCUUUGUUUAUUGGACAACUUUUCAUAGGAAACAUAUCUAGCAAUGGGGUGCUUAGUACAGGUUCGGGUUCCUUUCCUAUGUGCUAUGGGUAAGUCAAGAUCAGGAAAAAAAGUGCUGAAAUGUUUAGGAGAAGAAAUGUUACCUGAAUUUUCUGAGGAAUCAGUGCUUGGAGGCAACGAUUGAGGCUGUAUCGAGUUUAUGAGAGGGUCUUUACUGUUGUGAUGAUACUUUCGAGUAUAAACACGCAGCUCUGGUGGUGGAAUUUUAUCUUGUAGUAUUUCUCCCCCUGUCUCUGGUACAUUAACACUUGGUUCCUGUAGUUCAAGGUUUCCUAGGUUUUCAUUAUUAGAAAUAUCAGUUUUUUGAGUUUGAGUUGGAGUGCCCAGAUCAGGUAAAAACUGAUUAGGCAUAGGUGUAGAAGUAUGCCAAAAAUGAUCUUCACUAUUUUCUUUCUCCCCCUGAAGAGAAUUUUGGCCAAAAAAAGGUUGAUUUUCGAGAAAUAUAACAUCCAUACUGACAUGGAAUUUCUUUGUUUGAGGAUUGAAACAUUUGUAACCUUUUUUAUUAGGUGCAUAGCCCAAGAAAACACAUUUUUCAGAUCUAGGAUCCAAUUUAGAUCUAAGAUGGUUAGGAACAUGAACAAAUACAGUGCACCCAAAGACUCUUAACUGAAUAUUGGAGGUAAUCCUACUAGAAGGAUAUAUAAGUGUGAAGUAUUCUAAAGGUGAUUGAUACUUUAAAACACGGGUAGGCAUCCUAUUAAUCAAAUAACAUGCUGUUAAAACAGCAUCACCCCACAAAUAUUUAGGAACAUGCAUAGAGAGCAUGAUAGCCGACUAACUUCAAGUAAAUGGCGGUUUUUUCGUUCCGCAAUUCCAUUUUGUUGUGGAGUAUCACGACAAGUGGAUGUGUGAAUUAUACCCUUUUCCUUACAAAACACCUCUAGAUAAUUAUUAAAAUAUUCAGUACCAUUAUCUGUAUGGAGUAGACUUAUUUUUGUUUGAAAUUGAUUUUCAACCAUGUUAUAAAAAUCUUUGAAUAACCCCUCAACUUCAGAUUUUUCUCUCAUUAAAUAAACCCAACAAAGCCGAGUAUGAUCAUCUAUGAAUGUUACAAACCAUUUUUUUCCAGUUAAAGUGUUGAUUUUUGAGGGUCCCCAAACAUCACUAUGAAUUAAAUAAAAAGGUUUUGAGGCACGAUAAAUAAGUGCUUUAUAUGAAACUCGAUGACUUUUAGAUAAAAAACAACUUUCACACUGAAAAGUAGUACAAUCAACAUUUUUAAAUAAAUUUGGAAACAAAUAUUUCAAAUAAGGAAAGCUAGGGUGUCCUAGUCUAAGGUGCCAAAGCAUUAUUUGAUCCCUAGCAGAGUUUGAACUAAUACUACUGCUCAAACCUUGAGUUUGUUUAUUCCUUGAUAAGUAGUCAUCAAAAUAGUAAAGACCUUCUCGCAAACUAGCACUGCCAAUCAUCGUCCCCAAGUCCCUGUCCUGAAAUUCACAAUGGGAGUCAAAAAAGACAGCACAACAAUUAGAAUCUUUGGUUAAUUUACUGACAGAUAACAGAUUGCAAGAAAGUUUAGGGACAUGUAGCACAUUUUUAAGCUCAAUGGUUCCAGAGAUUUUUAUUGAUCCUUUUCCAGCUAUGGAAGAUAAGCUUCCAUCAGCAACUCUUACCUUUUUGUUACCAGGGCAAGGAUAAUAGGAAUCAAAUAAACUAGAAAUGCUAGUCAUAUGAUCAGAAGCACCCGAAUCAAUAAUCCAUGGUGCAGUAGUUGAGUGGCUAAAUAGAGCAUUAAUAAUACUACCUGUUUGGGCUAGUGAACCACUAGGAGUACUAGGUGGAGGAUUAGAAGUCAGCAGCUUUAUGAGAUGGUCAAUUUGCUCCUUGCUGAGAUUUUUUUCUAGAUUCUCCACUUCAUUGGCAGACGCACGGCUAUGCUUGCUGUUUUUCCAAUCUGCAGGCUUUCCGUGGAGUUUCCAGCAAGCCUCCCGAGUAUGGCGUGGUUUAUUACAGUAAUCACACCAUACUCGAGGUUUUUGUUGCUGUUGAGUGAUGGAGCGGGUAGCAUUAUCUGCUGUAACAAGGGCAGAUUUUUCCACAGAGACAACGGAGUUCUUUUUUCCCAACAUAACACCUCGACGACUUUCUUCUCUCCUUACUUAAGAGAAAACAUCCUCAAGAGUAGGAAGUGGCUUUCUCCCAAUAAUUCUUCCUCUUACCUCAUCAAAUUCAACAUUGAGCCCAGCCAGGAACUUGAAGAUUCGCUCAUUAUUGACAGUUUGUUUGUGGUGUUUAAAAUCUUCCAUGCUCUCCCACUCGUAGUCGUUGAAUAAGUCCAGAUCUUGCCACAAUCUCUUUAGAGUAUUGAAGUAUUUUGUUAUACUAUAAUCUCCUUGACGGAUAUCUCCAAGAGCAAGCUGCAACUCAUAGAUCUGGGACUGAUUUCCAUAGUCAGAGUACAUCUGACUCACAUUAUCCCAGAGUUCUUUUGCAGUAGAGUAGCACAUAUAAUUUGCACCAAUGUCUUCAUCCAUGGAGUUGACUAACCAUGCCAUAAUCAUGGAGUUUUCGGCAUCCCAAACACCAUAAGAGGGAUCAGAUAUUUCAGGAGCCUUAACAUCUCCGGUAAGAUAACCAAUCUUCCCUCUUCCCCUAAUAUACAUUCUAACCGACUGAGACCAUCUUUGAAAAUUUCCUUCAUUCAGCCGGAUAGUUGUAAUCUGGACAGAAUGAGAUUCAGAAUGGGAAAUUUUUGGUUCUAGUCUUUUUGAGGUGACUGUGGUUUCAGAAGAUUGGUCAGACAUGGUAGGGAAGAGAUCAGAAAGAAAGGGAGCCUAGCUCUGAUACCAUGUGAAAAUAGGUAGAGAAAAAGUUUAUGGAAUAAUUCUCUUAUUUCAUAUGUUCAUGAGACUGUACACAGUCUUUAUAUAGGGAUACAAGAGACUAAGAAAGGAAAGAAAAAAUUAAAGCAGAAUAUUACACAUUGAUUUUUAGGAAGCAAUAACUCUAUAUUUACACCAAAUAUACACCUAAAUAUAUAAGGAAAACCAAAUCAAUUUGAUUUGGUCAACCUUUCAACAUGUGUGCUAGCAAGUCAUGUCUCUAAUAAUUUCAUAGUUUGCUUGAUUGGAAUUUUUUAUCUUGAUAUGGAUUGUUUAUUCUAGAUUCCUUGGUGCUGUAGGUUGAAACAGCAAAAGAUUCAGCACCGAUUUUGUCACUGCUUGCUCCAUUAAAUUCUGGAUCAAGGCACUCAUAUUGGAGAGCUCCACCUUGUACUACUUCUGUUGAAUUUGUUAUUGUUCUCUGUUCUGUUUCUGAUGUCAGUGGGGUUAUCUUGCUUGUUAGUCCUUGCGGCUAUUCUGUGGGUGACACUCCGAUGGUAAGUGCCAUAUUUAUUCCCUUAUUUCCUUGUUGUUCAAUAAAUUUGGUGAUAAGCCAAGUGGCCUUAAUAAUGAAGCCCAGUACCAGGGGUGGUGGGUAAUCGAUAUUCAACUUGUGAAUAUUCCUAAGCAAGCACUGAAUCAACAUAGACCUCGGCAAAAGUUCUCCAUGCUAUUAUAACGAAAGUCAUAUUUUGAAAUGAUUAAAAGAGUCCCUGUGUAGUGCUAUUUCCAAAGAAAUUGCAGCUGGAGGUUUAGUUUCAUGUAGGUUAGUUUCCGAUAAUAAACUUUCCAUUUCAUUAAUUGCUGAUGAAAAAACCAAGUAAGAACAGUUUUGUUGCUCGUCAUUUAUGUAUAUUUUGGUAAACUGUAAUUUUAAAUUCUCAACGAUCUUCCCUUUGUAGGUAAGAAGAUGGUCCACUCACUUGAUAUUUAUGAUUGUAGAUCAGGUUUCUAUUGGUUUGCCUUUAUCAUUCGGAACCCAAGUUUGAUAUUAACAGAGAUCACGUCAAUAAUAUCCUAUUUGGGUAGAUGUGGGUGAGGAUUUAAAAUCAAAUUUGAAAUUGAGGGCAAAGAAGAGAAAAGAAACCGCAAUAAUUAAACAAAAUAUUAGGAACUAUUCUGAUGAGUUUUAAUCUCGAGAGGAACAAUUUUCAAAUGCAAAAUUUAACUGCUAGAGAAAUUGUAGCUUUUUGUCAUUAGUUAAGAGGAAAGAGAAUAAGAACUAUCUGGCCCUUUCCUUCAUGAAUGUGUGUUGAGGUUGCUGUAUUAUUUAGUCAGUAUUUGUAAUUUUCUUCCCUGCAGUGCUCUCUGCCUCCUGAAUUUGCUACUGAGUCCAUAUUUUUCUUUGAGCUGUUGCUUCCUAUUGCUGUUACAGGUACAAAUCUGGGCAAGCAAUAAGAUACACCGGGAGGACAGGUCAUCAAUGGGAAAAUGGGAUGUCCAAUCCCUCAUCACAUCUUCUUCAGAUUUGUAUGGUCCAGAAAAGUCUGCUAGUGUUGAAAAAUUACCUAGGCAUGUAAAAUUUACUUUUAAGAAUCCUGUUAGGUGCCGCAUUGUUUGGAUCACAUUACGUCUUCAGAGACCUGGUUCGGCUUCAGUUAAUUUCGGGAAUGACUUCAGUCUUUUGUCUCUUGAUGAAGAUGAAAACCCCUUUGCACAAGUAGACAGACGUGCUUCAUUUGGAGGAGCAGUUGAAAAUGAACCAUGUAUUCAUGCCAAAAGAAUUCUUGUAGUCGGAAGCCCAGUAAAAAGGGAGGGGCUUACCACAUCACAGAGCUCUGAGCAGCUAAGUAUUAGAAACUGGUUGGAUAGAGCUCCACAAAUGAGUAGAUUCAAGGUAUUAGUUGCUUUCACUCUUUGUUCAUUCAUAAUUCCAGCUUUCUGCUUGAUGCCUUGCCUCUGAUAAACCUCUUUUUUCUCUUCAGGUCCCAAUUGAGGCCGAGAGAUUGAUGGACUACGAUCUCGUCUUGGAACAGUAUCUACCUCCAGCGUCACCUUCGCUUGCCGGAUUCCGUCUAGAUGCUUUCAGUGCAAUAAAACCUAGGGUUACCCAUUCACCUUCCUCAGAUUCAGAUAUCUGGGACAAAUCAGUAACAUUUUUAGAAGACAGGUACAUCUCUCAAGCUGUGUUGUAUUUACAAGUAUCCGCACUCCAGGAACCACAUAACAUGGUAACUAUUGCGGAAUAUCGACUGCCGGAGGCUAGAGCCGGAACGCCAAUGUACUUUGAUUUCCCACGACCGAUACAGUCCCGACGAGUUUCAUUCAAGCUUCUUGGAGAUGUUACAGCAUUUGCAGAUGAACCUUCAGAACAAGAUGAUUCAGGAUUGAGAGCUCCACUUGUGGCCACAGGUUUGUCUUUGUCAAACAGAAUCAAGUUAUAUUAUUAUUGUGAUCCUUAUGAGCUCGGAAAAUGGGCAAGCCUUUCUGGAGUUUGAUCGUUAUUUAUAUGUCAGAGAAAGGGUUUUGGGUUUGAUUUUGAUUUUGAUUUGUAAUUUUUGUCAGUUUAUUGAAAUUUUUUGUUGUAUAAAAGCAGAAUGUAAAGGUAUAAAAAUUCAUUGAUGCUGCAAUGUCUGUGCUUUUGAGAAAGAAAGAAUUCUAUGGCUUUUCUAUGCCAUUGGAUUUUCCACUGCCUGUAAACUUGGGCUGUCGAAUGCUCUGUGAACCUUAAGGGCUAUAAAGUAAUUUUCAAGACUGAAGGAUUUAUUAAUCGAGUUCAAAAGAUUGCAAGUUGGUGAGCGUUGGCAUUUAAAAAAUCAAUUGUUAUUCUCUCAAUAAUCUCUGUCUUCUGCCGACACCCCAUGCUCAGAAACCCAUUGUUCCGACGGACGUGUAACACUUCUAGAAAUUGUUUUGAUCUCUCCUCGUGAAGUGUUUUCUUUUUCGAGUGAAGGUGGUUUUCUACUUGCAUACGUCGGGGGUCUUAUGAUAUGUAAUGUGUGAAAUUUCUUUCUCAUUUUACCAUAAAGAAAAAUGUUGUAAUAAUCUAAAGCUCGAGUCUUAAAUUAUCUUAAAUUUAUAUUUAGAGUGGAGCUAUUCGCAAUCCUACAUUAAAAUUACAAAUAAAAAUAAUUGAAAAUUAAACACUUAUAGAUUUUUUUUACAACAAAUUAUUUAAUUCAUAAUCAAUCCUUUAAAAAAAAAAAUCCAUAUGUUACUUGCUAUCUAACUAAAAUAAAUUUUACAAAUUUAGAAUAAUCUAUUGAUUUCUUUUGAUUUCUUAUUAAUUAAAUAUUUUUAUACAUAAAAUUGCUUUGAAAUUAUAAUUUGAAAUAUGUGUUAUUUCAGCCAAUGAUUAACACUAAAAAACUUAUCACCCAUAUAACUUUUUAAUUUGUGUGUAGGGUAAUAAUAAAAUCAAAAAUAAUUAAAAAAAUAGUACAAUAAUGAGUUUUAACAAUAAAACAAAUCAAAUGAAAAUUGAAAAUUUAGAAAAAAUGUAUCUAAAAAAGGGAACGUUUUUUAAAAUAAAAUGAAUAUAACUAAAAAGGGGUUUUAUGAGAAGAGCAGAGGGGUGCCAAUAGUCCAACUUGUAAUUAAGAAUCUCCCAUUAUAUUGUCAACCAAAAAGACACUUGAAUAAGAAGAAGAAUUUAUCAGUUUGAUUUUAUUUAUAGAUCCAACAUUUCUCAUAUCCUAAACGCCUUUCCGUAUCAAAUUAAAACAGUAGUCGCAAAAUCGUAGUAUUAAAAUCGUAGUGCACAUUCAAUUAACCAACUAAUAGUCUUUGGUAUAAGAUUUUAUAUUAGCUAGCCAAGUAGGUUGUCCAUCCCACUCAGACAUGAACGAAAGCUAAAUUCAUCAAAUGGUGUUAUACUAUUAAAUAUUUUUAUAUUUAAAAUUACUUUGAAAUUAUAAUUUCAAAUUAAAAUAGUAGUAGCAAAAUCGUAGUGCACAUUCAAUUAACCAACUAAUAGUCUAAGAAGCAAAGAGAGGAUUACAAGUUCACAACACCAUUACAAAGGAUUCAAAAUUCCCACACGAAAACAUCAAUGUACAGAUUAUAAACAAUCCGAAUUGGACACAAGAAAAAGCCCUUCAAUGGAUUGCUUUCCUUCCCAAUGCUAUAUACUGUGCAAACUCCGCACUGGCCAAGAAAAUGUUUUCAAUUUAGUGUAUUUUCAAAUUGCUUAUUUUCUCAUAAUAUAAAAAAUAAAAAAGAAUCCUUACAUGUUUCAUCAGCAUGAUUAAAAUCAAAGAAGAAAGCGAAGACGUAAUGUCUCUGACAUAAUAAAAUUACAAAAAUUUCAAGGAAAAAAAAAAGGUUAAAACAUGUAAUCUUCAGAAGCAUAUAAUAAAAGAACACUUCCACAAAUUACUACAAUUUCAUGCAGUAGAGAUUGAAGAGUUGAAUUCCACUAAUUUUAAUAAUGAAAACAACAACAGAGGAUUAACUGAUGCUUUGACUUAUUAGCAGGUUGCUUUGACUUAUUAGUUCUGCAGCUAAGUUAAAUAAAAUAAGCUAUUUUCAAAAGCAAAAUGGAAUACAUAGAUAAAAACAUCAUCUUAAACAAAUCACAAUCUAGAAUUAGAGCAUUUUCGACAUACCUAAGGAACACGAAUACGUGAAAACGGGUGAUUUAUUUGUUAAGGAGUGUUGAUUUGGUCGUCUCUGCAAAUUCUUUAGGGACUCGGUUCCAAUUCCUCUUCAUCAAAACUGUAAUAUAAUUCCCCUUCAUCAGAACUCGAAUCGAUGCAAUAUAAUUCCCCUUCAUCAGAACUCGAAUCAAAUUCACUUGCAGCAGUUCCACUCGCGCUUGGCAAAUCAUCCAAUUUCCAAACUUCGGUAACAAAAUUGAGAGUAAAAGUGUUGGCUUUGAUCUCGCUGGGAUUUGCAUAUACUGGACAUACUCCGCAACGUUUUAUCUUCUGACCCUUUUGGACCUUUAUUAUGUUUCGGUGACACUCAUUGAAGAACUUAAAUGUGGCAGUUGAAUGAUGGUCACCAUCAGGAAAGCCAACAUUCAAGCAAGGUUUAAAACCAAGUAUGACAUGAUCUGAAUCAUGGGGGUCUUGAAUUGAGUGCAAAUUGUAACCCAGAUGAACAUGUUUGGUUUCAGAGAGAGUCUUUAUUUCUAAGUCGGAUCGACAGUAAACGUAAAAAUAACGAAAACGAUCAGAAUAAAGUUGCUUAAAAUCAAGAACAGCACAAAAAGCAAACCCGAUUAAGUUUCUGCAAAAAGAGUGCGGUGGCAGUUGAAUACGUAUCGAAGAUCCUGAACUUUGAUUGCUGAACCAGUCAGGAAUUUCGCUCCCAGGUAAAACAAUUUGGGAUCCCCUGAGUUCAGAAAGUUUCUGCGAAACGACAUUUAAAAAAAGAAAAUUGUAAAAUGAAAACCAUGAUUUCAGAUAUAACAAAGAGGGACAGAGUAAACAAGAGAGGGAAUUUGAUACCUCGUUGUAUGCAUUUUCAUAGCCCAGUCUCAGUGAUGCUGCAAUUGCCAUACGUAGUGAAUCUGCCAAAAUCUUGUUGUUUGCUUUUCCAUCAAGUUUCAAGCAGUUAGUAAACUCAAAACAAAUUGGUUGUGGCGUCACAUAUUCCGGAUGCCAUUCACGAAGGUCAGGAGAGGGUUUGGAUAGCUUUUCGAGUACGGAUGCAUCUAGUUCUUGUACACAUGACGGAAUCUCUGGCAAAGAUUGAAGCCGGUUGCAGUUCAUUGCUUUUAGUGACUGUAGACACAAUGGAAGUUCUGGUAAUGACCGAAGCAUGUUACAAUCCUCCAAGUGAAGAGUUUCUAGACCCAAUGGAAGUGCUGGUAAUGACUGAAGCAUGUUACAACGCCUCAAGUAAAGAGAUUUUAGACACAAUGGAAGUUCUGGUAAUGACUGAAGUAUCUUACAAUCCCUCAAUUCAAGAUAUUUUAGACACAAUGGAAGUUCUGGUAAUGACUGAAGCAUAUUACAAUCCUCCAAGUUAAGAUAACUUAGCCACGACAGUUGCUUGAUACUUGCAGGUAAACUCUCAAAGUUAUUUCCACUUAAAUUGCCAAUGUUAUCCGGCAACUUGUCAAGUAUAGAGCAACCACUUACGGACAAAAAUGAAAGCCCCGGUAGAUUUUCAAAUGGCGAUGGCAGCUCUGUAAUUGCCGUCCAGACUAAAUAGAUGCAAUUUAAAUGUUCCAUUUUCUCCAAGAUUUCUGGGAAACGCUCAAGGUUCAAGCAGCCAAAAAGAAAAAGAUCAACCAAAGAUCUCAAUUUACAGAACCUAGUUGAAAUCCUCUUCAGCCGUUUGCAAUGCCCCAAAUCCAACACUUCAAGAUCAGUUAGGCACUCUAUUGAUGAUGGAACUUCUUCUAUUGCAGACUGGCCUAAGGAUAGCUCUGUGAUUUUCCCAGAAAUCCGUGGAAACUCUUUGAGAUUAACACAAUAGGAGAAAUUAAUAGUUACUGGACAAACAAAAUGAAGAUUGCUUGGAAAAGACCUAAGACUUUUGCAGCCCUCAAAAGACAACGCACUGAGAUACUUGAAAUUCUGGAUAGAUGAGGGAACACAAGCCAAGUUUGUAUAAUCCAAAAGAUUUGUUUCAACAUUUGGGGUUUCUAAUGGGCCUGGCAUCUUAAUGAAAUGUCGAGAAUGAUUGAGGUUAAUAGAUUUUAACUUGAAAGCUUCCUGCAAUAACAGAUAUAUAAAGACUAUAUUAAUUAAAAAGCAACAUUGAAUUCAACAAUUAAUUGCACGUAUGUUUAAAGAAAGAAAAAAAUUAAUGUUUUAGUUUUAGUACAAAACUUACCUUUUCUCCUUCCCAAAGUUGCUCAACUUUACUAAAACGCAAAUUCAGUUCAACAAGGUUCAUUGGCUUGAAAUUUGAUGGCAGUGUCCUUAAUGGAUAUGUGUCCCAAUGAAGAUAUCUCAAUUUUUUAGGAAGAUAAUCUAGGCCAUUUGGAAGCUGCACUUUAGAGUAUGAAAGUUGCUCUUCAAUGCUCAUACUUAGAAACCUUUCAAUCUCAGGUACAUAAAAUUUGAGCAAUCUUAGAUUAGACAUUUUUGUGAAGGCUCCUGGGUCUAAAUUGAUGCCUUUUAUUUUGGACAAAUCCAGAAAUAUGCCUUCAAUUGCAUCGGUCCCCUUAUUAAAAAAAAAAAAAACAAAGAAUGAGUAACCCUAAAACAGAAAAGAAACAUUCGUAAACUUUAUUAACUAAGAGCUUCUUAAACAAAAACAAAUUCUGCAAUCUUUGAUUUUAUUUUUUUAAUAUAUUAAAUAUCUAUAUACGAGAAAAGAAAAUUUUGGGGACCAUUGCAAAAUUAAACUAACCGAAAAAAAAUUCAAAAUUUCUCUAAUUUACAAACCUGUUAUCUUAAUAACUAGAAGUUGAGAAGACAAGGCCUAUUUGAUUGGUAUAAGAUUUCGAUUUGUUUUUUAGUCCAUAGAAUCCAAAAUGUUAGUUCAAAAUUAGGGAAAAAAAAUGAAAGUUAUUUUUUUUCCACUAGUUGUAAUUGUUUCCAAGUCAAAUUGAGAUACGACCCUUUUCGAAAGGAUUUAAUCAUCUUAUAGCCUCCUUAAGAUACAUUUAAGCUAAAAGGAGUGAUUGGAGGCAGAACUAGGUGGGCCAAUCAGUCCCUUUUAUUAGUGACUGUUGCUUAAAAAAAAUUAUACUCUAAAACACACUUACUUUUUUGAAAAAAAAUAUAAUUAUAUUGAAGUAGAACCAGGUGGGCCAAUCCUCAUGGCACUCACUUUGUUCUGACACUCUUCACUAAAUUUGAAGAAAAAUAAAAUUAUACUCUUCACACUCUUAUUCAACAUUCCAAAAUUGAUAAAAUCUAGAGUUUUCUUUAAAAAUUUAAAAUUUGAAGACUUGUUCUCUUGACAUCCUCAGUCAUUAAUUUCACCUAAUUAUGGUUUUUAUGAUUUUGGUUGUUUUGUUCAUAAAACAAUUUUACUAAAGGAUGUUCUCGUAAUAAUAAAAAUUAUAAAAAAAACAUGGGUGUGCUGGUAUGGUUGGGAAAAUACGAGUACAGAACUCCAAACAAAUAAAAGAUUUAUAUAAAAAAAAAUGGAGGAUUCUUACCAUAUUAUGCUUUAGUACGCGGCGGAUUUCCUUAGGAUCCCACAACCUACUACGUCUGCCUGGCACUUCCUCAGAUUCUUGGCGAACAGUCUCUUGGCCCAUUUCUUGCAAUAAAUCAUGCAUUUGCAAGCGGUUAUCUGACACAGUUAUGAGUGACUUGUCGACGAGGACAUCCAGUCUGUGAGACCCAGAAUCAUCAAGUAUCCUUAACACAAAAUCUUUAUCCUCUCCCUCAAGGAAACACGCAAUAUCUAGAAACAUACUCUUCACCCUGGGCGUUAAUUCUUUAAAACUAAUCUUUAAUGUAUCAUAAAUACCAUGAAUAUCAGAUUCACAAAUCCGAUUUAAGUCGUGCAAUACAUUUUCCCAAUGGCUUUUCCUCUUGAGAUACAGGGAGGAACCCAACACUUUAAGAACUAAUGGAUUGCCAUCAGCAUACUCUACAACUCUCCACGAGUCACGUUUGAAAUCUUCAGGACGAUGCUUUUCUUUAAAAGCGAAGUUACAAAAGUGCUCGAAAGCCUCAUCAAAUUUCAAUCCAUUGACCCUAUAUAUUUUCUCCACUCCAAAUUUUUCGAGGACUCGUUUAUCCCUGGUGGUUACAACAAUUCUACUUCCUGGACCAUAUUGAUCAAGCCCUCCAAUCAAACCCUCUAAUUGUUCAUCUUUAUUCACAUCAUCGAGUACAAUCAACACCUUCAUGCGUCGGACCCUCCCUUUAGUAAAUUGUGGAAUAUUGGGACCAGCUACUUCAAGUUUUUCACUUAAUAUUGUCGAAAGCAUUUCCUUUUGUAGGUCUUCUAGGCCACCCUCUGUUUCUGAUUUUCUCCUAACAUUUUUUGCAAAGUAUUUACCAUCAAACUCACCAGCGAAUUGAUCGAAAAUAGCUUCAGCAAGGGUAGUUUUGCCUAUACCGCCCAUACCCCAAAUUCCAACAAUUUGGACAGUAUCCGACAAAUCCAUACACAAAAAUGGUUUAAUCUGCUCAAUUCGUGAAUUUAAUCCAACUAGGCCGUUGGAUGAGUCCGUUGAGACUGUUAUUUUUUCCAACUUCUUCAAAACAUCUUCGACAAUUUUGUUUACAAGUUGCGCAUCAAGCCUAAUAUGAAGGUGCAAAGAUGCAAAAACAUUGAGUCAAAUCGGGCCAAGACAGAAACAGAGAAAAGAUGAAUUAGGAAAGAGAGUUACCUGAAUUUCGUGGAUUCAUGGCCGGCUAGAUGGGAUGUUUCUGUCAGUGCAUCCCUCCACUUCUGAACCAUUUCUUGUUUAUCUUUGAACUGUUUUUUGAGCUCAUCAAAACGGUCUCCAAAUGUUCCGUUUUGAUGCCGCACAUCAGAUGGACUUACUCCAUAGAAGAAUGGAAUAAUAAUUUGGCCGUUUGUGUUCUUGCAUUCAAGAAUCUUGACAAGUUCAUUCAGGCACCAUUUUGAAGAAGCGUAGUCCUUCGAGAAAAUGACCACCGAAAUUUUUGAACCUUGGAUUGCGUUCAAAAGGGCGGGUGAAAUCUCAUCUCCUCGCCUAAGCCCUUCAUCAUCAAUAAAUGUUUUGAUUUUCUUUCCUUCAUACAAUUUAUCAUAGAGAUAGCAAGUAAAGCUCUUACGAGUGUCCUCCCCUCUAAAGUUGAGGAAGACUUCAUAAUUGGCACAAGAAGAAGAGGAAGCCAUGAAGGAAAUUUUAGAAAAUUGGUGACAGAAACAGAGAAUUAAUCUUGAGAGUUGAGAGAGGAGAUGUAAGAAUGAACAUGUGCGAAGAUUCUUGCGAGUACAUAGUAAAUAAUUGAAUGGCUGGAGCUUUCUUAGUUUCCUGGAAAUUUCCUGGAGCUUUCGUAUACAUGAUUUGUCAAGUCAUGAAACAUAAUCAUGAUAAUGGGGCAGACCGAAAAGAAAAGCAACAAUUCAAAUAUUUGAUUCAACCAGUAUAAAAAGGAAGGAAAAGCAAAGAAAGGAAAUGUUGAAAGUAGAGUUAGGGAAUUAUAAAAAGCUGAAGGAAAUUGGAAUUUUGUACAAUUUCUCCAGCGAGGAACUUUCACAGUCGUUACCUCAUUGUUACAGUUUAGAUUAAGAUUUGAGGGUGCAAGCAUUUACCUAGAUUUUACCUCCGCACUAAAUUCUUAAGUUUGAAAAAUUAUGAGACCUUUAUAUUGGAAGAUAUUAUAAUCGAAUCAAAACUUAAAAUUUUAAUAUUGUUAAUCUUUAAUCUUUAAAAAAAAUUACCUUGCCGUUACAAUUUGGAUUAAGAUUUGAAUAAGCAUUUACCUAAAUUUUAUCUCCGCCUGUAAAUUCUUAUGUUUUAAAAAUUAUGAGACCUUUAUAUUGGGAGAUAUUAUAAUCGAAUCAAAAUUUUGAAUUUCAAUAUUAUUAUUCUUUUAAAAAAAAUUUGAGAUAACAGAGUGAUUGAUAAUAGAGAACUUGUCUAGGCAAACACAUGCAUACACAAAAAUGUGAUGGAUUCAAAAAGAAAUUAAAGUGAUAAUGUACGUGGAUCCUUAAAACAAAAAGCGAAAUCGCUUGGUGGCCCAGUAAAAUUAAGACUGAAUAUUUUUUACACGAGAAGUGUAGCUCAUAAAUGGCAAAAGCCAUUUCAUUUCACUUUUACGCGUCAUUGACUUUUGUAACAUGGUGCAUGCAUCGUCAAGUGAGGCAAAAGGGUUUCGAUUACAGUGGGAAAACAUGAACAAGAAUGCAUAAUGAAUAAUUCCUUUGAUAAAGCGAAAAUUAAACACAGAAUAAUCCUAAAAUUUAAACUCUAAUAUCUUAUAAUUUAAUGAUUAAAAAUAAUCCUAAGAGUUCCCAAUUGAAACUUUCAGAGAUAAUAGAAAAUAGCUAUGCUUUAAAAGGCCAAAGAUUAGAGAACAAAGAAGAAUUAGGUAUUGAUAUAAAAAUUAUUAAUUUUUUUGAUUUCAAGCAAAAAUAGUUUCAUAUACCAUUUCGAUUUUGGUAGGGGUGAGGUUUUGAACUUCAAUAGUUUCCUCUAAAAUCAAAAGGUAGUAAUUAAGUUAGAAAGAGCAAAGAAGACUUAUCGGUACCUUAUUGAAGGUAAACAUUAUGGAACUUUCAAUGUCAUUACCCCACUGUUUAAUUUUUAUUGAGAUUUGUGCAAGCAUUUACCUAAAUCUUACCUCUGCCUGUAAAUUCAUAAGUUUUGAAAAUUAUGAGACCUUAUAUCGGGAGAUAUUAUAAUCGAACUAAAACUUAAAAUUUCUUUUCUUUUUUUUUUUUUUUAUCAUAAAAGGGCUCUUAAGAGAGCUAAGGCAACACUAAAUGGGAGUGUGCAACCCCAUGAACAUCAUUAAUCAAUAUGUUUAGCGUAUUUGGAGGAAUAGAUUGAAAGCAAUGUAAACCCAAAGGAAAAGAAAAGCUGUACGAAGUAAGGAAAUCUGCUGCUACAUUGGUUUCUUGGUAGAUAUGAUCCACUUUGAUCAGCCAAUCACGCCGAAGGAGUUCUUCGAUGGCCUGAAUGAGAGUAAAAUGCUCAUUGACGGGAGGGUUUGAGUUAGAGAUUAACUUCAUAACACACAUGCUGUCCACUUCCACGUAAAACUUAAAAUUUCAAUAUUAUUAUUCUUUAAAAAAAAAUUGAGAUAUCAGAGUAAUAUCACAUAGAAAAACUUGCCCACGGACGGUAAGCCAAAAGUCUAGUCAACCACAUGCAUAAAGCUAAGUAGAACAAGAGAACAGAGAAACGCGUGGGUCCCUAAAGAAAAGGCAAGCACAUAAAUGAAAAAGCCAUUACAUAUCUAUUAACACGGUGUGGCAGCAUAUGCACAAUCAAGUGAGGCAAAAGGGAUUCGAUUAUCGUGGCAGAACAUGGACGAGGACGCGUGAUGAAUAAUUCCUUCGUUAAAACCAAAAACAAACGCAGAGAAAACAAUUUCUUAUAUGACAAGAAAUCAAAGUAAUGUGAAGGAACAUGAUGAAGAAAUUGCAGACUGAUCAAUUAUCCCCAUGGACUCCUAUAAAUUCAACCAAAAUAACAAUUCGAAUCUUACCAAAUUCUUGAGUUAAAUUUAUUCAAUGCUUUUAUUUUUUUAGAAAAUUUUUUUCCAAUGCUACUUUUCCUUUUUUGGGGAAAUUAGAACCGCGGCAUGUAUAGAAAACAUUGAGGUGUAAAGCAACAUUAAUUUCAUGGGAUAUGCGUUAUACGCAUAAUAUAUUUUCAGUCCAAAUUCAACUAUACAAAGAGGCUUGAGAACUUAAAAUUAAGCACAAACUAAACAGACGAAGUAAAUACAUGAUUAUGCAACAUAACAUUAAUUCUCUCAAUUGAUAACUGUUUUUGCUACAUGAAUCUUGCACAGUUAAUCCUAAUUGAAGACUAAAAAAGAGCAAUUGGAAGAAGGUUUUGGAAUAGAAUGGUAUACAAUCGAUAUGAUCCUUUUCCAGUAGUCAACGCUAAUUAACUGCAGUUUCUAGACUCCUAAUUAUACUAGCCAUAGCAAACUAUUUAGAAAACUGGUGAUCAAAUUAGAUUUUGAAAGGAAAUAAUGUUCAUUUUCCCUUCGCUGCCUUUUCUUUUCUUUUCUUUUUAUAGCAAAGAAUUAUAUCAUGAAAAGAAUCAAUUUAAUCACCUUUUCCAGCAGCCCAAUUUUUCUUUUAUAAAAUUUGACCACGGAGACAAAGAAGAAUUAUUCAUAACUUCAUCACUAAGGAAAUACUUUUCGGUAUGGCUAGGGUGAGAAAAUGCUUUCCACUAACACUUGUACUUUGUAUUCUUGUAAAUUUUCUUUAAAGUCAAUAAAAACCAUAAGUUCUUUGCAAUAACCAUCUCUUUGAUCAAAAAGUGCCGUAUUCCUUUAGAAUUUAAAACCGGCAAAACCGAAUCAGUGUCUUUGAAGAGACAUAAUGGUCGUAAUUCUUUAAAUGAGUUGGCUAUGGAAAUCCUUAUCCAAGAUUCUUUUAUGCCAUAUUCUUUCGUAAACCAAAAUUCAUUUUGAAAUACUCUAUUGAAAAUGUCAAAUAAAACGGCAUUGAAGGAAGUUUUCAAAGGCAUAAUCCGCACUUGUCAAAGGGAUGAUCUGCACUUGUCAGAGACACGAUCCGCGUCGAACGAAUCGACACAUUUCCUUUCGUAUUCGCAUAUGUAAUCUUUGAAAAAAUGUAGCUUCCGCAUCUAUAAAUAACGCUCAGUGUAUAAUGUUUUAUUCAAGAAAAGAAAACAAAUUUCUUCAUACUCCUUGUCCGAACAUACAGAGACAGUCUCUCAUAACUUCAGCCGAAUACUUAUGAUGAUGAUCAUUUGUGAUUUCAUCAGGCAUAGGGUUGAUGGUGAAAAAUUUUGUAUGUGUGAAGAAUUGAGCUGUGGAUAUAGGGGACUUAAGUGUAAUCGAAAGAGAGUUAUUAGGCCAUAGUGCAGAUUGCAUUCAGUUUAUGGGUCGAUAUGCAAAUAAUUUGUUGACGUGGCGAAAUCUGUUAUGGUCGUUACUAUUGUUUCUGGAAAUUUUCUAGAAACCUCAGCAUAAAAGGGGCUUUUGCAUAGCCUCUGGUGUGCGUGUGAUUUCUCUUUCGUUUCCUCAUCAAAUUCUGUAAUUCUUGCUUUGAUAAAAAGCUUGUAAUCAUUUCUGUAAUGUGUGAUCAGUGCGUAAUCAUUUUGAGCAAUAAAAGCUUGUGGGUUUUUCCUUCAAACAGUGUCGUUUUGGUCAGUUUGUUAGUUUGAUCUGUUGGUGGAAUUUUCUUUGGUUAUUUGUUCUCAAAUUUCAACCGUAUAUAAAGUUUGAACUCUAAUGGCUUAUAAUGUAUUGAUUAAGAAUAAUCCUAAGAGUUCCCGAUUGAAAUUUUUAAUGACUAUUUUUAUUGUUUUGGAUAUACAAAUUGCAUUAAGAAAAAAUAUUGUCAAAUUCAGAGGAUAACGGGAAAUAAUUAUGCUUCAAAAGACCAGAGAUUAGAGAAUAAAGAAGCAUUCAUUACUGACAUACAAAAGAGAAACACUCCAAAAUUGCAAGCAAACUAGUUUCAUAUACUAUUUGGAUUUUGGAAGGGGUGAAGUUUUGAGCUUCAGUUGUUCCUCUAAAUAGCAAAGAAGACUUAUUGGUACCUUACUGAAGCUAACAUUGUGGCACGGUUGUUCAUAUGUAAUGGCUGCUCUGUUAUGGUAGCUUCUCUGUUUUUGCUCACAGUUUUGAACAUGAAUUCUUGCUCAAAUAACCCAUAAUUAAUUAACAUUAAAAUGGCUCGUGAAAUCCCAUAAUAGCUAAUUACGCAACUUUCUCCUCCUCCUCAAUUAUGUCUUCCCCUGCUCGUACAAUAAAUUCAAAAUUCAAUGCCCCGAAAAACAACACAAGAAAUCUUUGAGUUAGUUCGUGACCAGUUUAUAUAUAGUAGCAAUUGAAAAAAGAAAAAGAAGAAAAGAGUUAAUUAUUAUUCAGACCUUCACUUAUUAGGAAGUUUGUUCUGCUAUUGGGUGAGGUCAAGCUCUCAGCAUAUACUUCCACAUGAUACUUUCUAACAUUUUCUUGAAAGCCAUCAAUCAUAAAAUCUUCAUACUUUUUUCCAUCCUUUGGAUCAAUGAGUACAAAUUUCUCAUCUAAAACAGACAAAAUAAAAUCACUGUCCUUCAUGGAACAUAAUGGCUGCAAUGCCUGAACUGAAUUGGCUAAUGAAACAUAGUCUUCUUUUCUUUCUCGACAUGGAACAUAGUCUUCUUUUCUUUCUCGACACAUGUCUCUGUACUUUUCUCUCUCUACUGAUCCACACUUUUUCAUACUUCUAACUAUCAUUUUGUUUUUUUUUUUUGAGUUGUGAUUUAUUCAAUUAUUUUGUAUUUUUAAUGACAAUUAUUUAAUAUUUAGUUAGUGUUGAUAUUGAUUAGUGAUUGAAAGUGUAUUUUAGAAGACUUCCGGUCUCUUGAAAAAAGGAAAAAUGGAGAAGAAGAAGAAGUGUUCUUGAUUUUUUUGUAGGCAUUAAAGUUAAACGGUUUGAAAUGAUAUUUUGUUUUAAUUUCACUCAUUAAUCUCAUUCAGGAUAAAAUUAUAAAUGCAAAUAAAUGGGGUUUCAUAAGUAUUUUUAAUAGUGUUAAAAGGUCUACUAACUAAAUAAACAUGUUUUACCCAAACCAAUCCGAUUAAUAAGUUAUUGGGUUGGGUUGAUCAGGUUAAAAAUCAAAAUUAAAAAUUAAAUAAAUAAAUAAGGCAUAAAAACUAUAUGUUACUUGAAAAUAAAAAGAAUUUCUAAUAGUUAGUUCUAAUGUCCCAUAUCCAAAACAUGCAUAUUAAAUAAAUAUUAUAAGUUAGAAAUAAAAUAUCCAAGAAAUAAUGAAUGAAAUACCAUAUUUUUGUUGAGAAUUAAGAGUGUGAUUUUAAUUUUGAUAUUGGAGUCUAAAGCAAUAGAUAGUACAAUGAAAUCAUGAAUGCUACGUUUAAAUAAUCUCUUUUAUAAAAUAAUAAAAAGAGGUUAAAAAUUAGGUUAGCAUUUAGGGUUUAGCAGUUAAGGAUGAACAUAUUAUUAUUGUUGUUGUUGUUGUUAUUAUUAUUAUUAUUAUUAUUAUUAUUAUUUACAUAUUAAUUAAUCCAACCCAACUCAAUUAUUAACGAAUUUGAAAAAAAAUGACCAAAUUAAUCCACAAUAAUUCAUUCAACUCGUCUAAAUUAGAUUAGAUUGAAUUUGAUUUGCUACACCUACAUUGAGCAACAAACCUCAACGCGAUUCUAUGAGCUCUUUGAUUGUUUAUAAAAUUGAUUUAGAGUACAUAAUGGAGUGUAUCGACAAUGAAAGUGCAAAACAAAUUAUUGUAUACAUUAAAAUCUGCAAAACAAUGAAUUAUAUGUACGAACGAGUGCAAACACAUUUUUCAAUAAGAAGUUAAAAGAUAUUUAUGCAUGAAAAAGCAUACGUUUGUAGUUACUCUAAAUUUUUUAAAAAAAAUUUACAUUUAGAUCCCUAAAAUUUACGUAUAAGUACAAAAGUUUCAAAUAUUGUCUAUUAUUUUUUAACAUAUGCCUAUUCCUUGUGGAUAAUUCUGUCUCAUCACUAAUGUUGUUUCUUGCUUACAAAAAACAAAUGUCAUCUCCUUUUACAAUUUUUAUAGCGUCUCAAAAUAGACAAUGGGGGGAUUUUGAAUUUUUUAAGUCUCAAGAUAGUCUCUAAUCUUGUGAGAAAGAUUUUCUUUCAAUAAUUUGGAGGUAAAGAUAACAUAAUUUUUUGGAUAGUGUGCAUGUGUAUUUAAUUAAUAAUUUUUUAAAAAAAUACAUCAAAUAUUAAUAUCCAUGACAUAAUUUAGUUCUUAAUUUUUUUUAAAUACAUCAAAAACAUAAUUUUUUUUAACAACUUAUAGGCAUGACAAAUUUCAAGAUAUAAAUAUCAGUCAAAAUAAGUGAAAGAAAUAAUGGUGCCAAUUCUAAUUUCUUAACUAAAUUAAUUAGUGCAUGAGCCCCGAAUACGACACGAGAGUUUGAUGGGCUAACUUGGCACAAGAACGUGAAUAAAUAAUUGAUUUAAGAAAUAAUUCAACGAAAAAUAUAAUUGAUAAGAAUUCAGUAUUGAAAUGAGUUUUUUUGUGAAACACUGAAUUAAUGAUUAUUAAGCAAGAACAAUAAAAAAAUAAAUAUUAAUCAUUGAUAAGUUUCAACAAAAACUUAACACAAUCCUCAAUCCUCAUUCAAAUGAUAAAUGUCAUUCAUAUAUUCAUUAUAAAUCAACAACAAAGGUUAUAAAUGUUUAGAAAUUCUAGAGGGAAGGAAGCUAUCGCCGGACAAUCAACAACUAAAUUUGAUGUAAUUGUGGCACGAGAUGGAAUAUGGAAACUACACCAUAAUUUCAAAUGCCGCCAUAGACAUUGACUUAUCAUAAUAACAAUGAUCUAAUUAAAAUAAAAACAAAGUUUAUGGGCAUUUAUUAUUUUGCCAUUCCUCAUUUGCAAAUAGGGAUAUAAUUAUAAUUUUACCUAGUCAAAGCAAUCGGUAGUUUUCUUCAUUAUAGGAGUGAAGUAAAAACAUUUAGAUUUCAAUGUAUGUACGGAAAAAUUUGUCUUUAAAAAUACUUUCUUAAUGUGUGUAUGCAUAUUGAAAUACUCAAACCAAUUUUGGUUAUAUAUAAUUAAACAAAUUUUAAAAUAUGAAAAAUAUAAUGUAGUUAUAGUGGAUAAACAAUAAGUGAGCACAAUAUAAUUAAUCAAAUAUUAUGCCAUCAAAAGUUAAUUUUAGAAAUUCCAAAUCCAAUAGCCAACACAAUUCUUUUUUUUUUAAAAAAGUUGACACAAUUAAUAAAAUUAGCGACAUGAAUUUCACGCCAUUGAUAAUCAGCAAUUAGUAUUACUUUCUAAACUUGCUUCAACUGGUCGUUGAUGUCCGGGUCACCAAAAGUAUAAGCGAUAAUAAGGGGCAUUGGGCAAGAGUGAUGAAUGUUUAGUCGGUGCAUUUGAUUGAUAGAUAUAUAAAGGGCCGAAACUUGAGAUUAUAUUACUUUUACAAAUUUUAAUCCAAUCACAUAUUUACUGAAAACAAAAUGAGUUAGGAUACUUUAUUUAGAACCCACAUUUUAAUAAGGCUUCAUUUGAUGUAGUUUUUCAAACAGUGAUUAUUUGAGUAAAGUUUCCUCAAUAGAGUUUUUAUCAAAUAAAUUUUAUUUAUUUGGUUGUCGAUAAGAACUUUUAUUAAAAAUUAUAAAAUUAUUUAAAUAAACAUAUUUUUUAAAAUUACAUUAUAAAAAGAAUUAAAUAAAGUUAUAAAAGUAAAAUAUAUUUUAGAUAUUUUAAUAUUUAAGAAAAAAAUUUUGAAUCUCUACUUUCAGAAGCUCAAAUUUUUAGUUUUUAGUUGUAGAGACAAAAUAUCUUAUUUAAUCUUUAAAAGUUCUGCUAAAAACAAUCAAAUAACUAUAAAAUUUUUAAUAAGAGUAUAUAAAAUUAAAUAAGCAUUUAUUAAUAAUCACUUUAGUGUACUUAUCUAAUGACCAUAAGUGUUUAUUUAAUCUCAUAAGUUCUUAUUUAAUCUCAUGAGCUCUUUUCAAUUUUUUUUGUUGUUUGCUUUUUUUAGUAGAGUUUUUGAAAAUUAAAUAAACUAUUUUGUCUCUAUUAGGAAAAACUCAAAUUUUAGGUUUUUGUGAGUAAAUGUUUAAAUUUUUUUUAAAAUAUUAAAAUAUUAAAGUAAAAGUUGUAGAGACAAAAUAUCUUAUUUAAUGUUUAAAAGUUCUGCUAAAAAUAAUCAAAUAACUACAAAAAUUUUAAUAAGAGCAUAUAAAAUUAAAUAAGCAUUUAUUAAUAGUCACUUUAGUAUACUUAUCUAAUGACCAUAAGUGUUUAUUUAAUCUAAUGAGCUCUUUUUAAUUUUGUUUGUUUGUUUUUUUAGUAGAGUUUUUGAAAAUUAAAUAAACUAUUUUGUCUCUAUUAGGAAAAACUUAAAAUUUAGGUUUUUGUGAGUAAAUGUUUAAAUUUUUUUUAAAAUAUUAAAAUAUCUUUUCUUUAUUUCAUAAUCUUAUUUCAUUCUUCACAACAUAACUUUAAAUAACUCACCUAUUAAAAUAAUUUCACAAUUUAUAAUAAAAAUUUUAAUUGACAAUCAAAUAACAAAUUUUUUUUUAUAAAAACUCUAAUAAUAAAAAUUCUACUUAAAUAAAUUAUAUUUGAAAAGGUAUACCAAACGAACCUAACAUAAAAACAAAAAUUUUUACAUCCACACAAUUAAGCUUAAAACAAUUUCAAAUGAAUUUUAGACUACUCAAAGUACAAUACGUACCAAGUUUGGUAACUUAUUGGGGUCCGCUUGUAAUACAGCGUCUGUAUCUCAUACAGCCAAAUUUAAUAAUUUAUUAAGAAAAAGGGCAACCAUUAGAUAGAAGUAGAUACAUCCAACGGUUAAAAUGUUUGAUUACUCAUUUUGGCGACCGGAUAUGCCAGUUAUUAUUUCAUCAAUUAACUUACCUAAAAAAUCACAGCCGUUGGAUUGAGAUGCCUCUCUUUCCCUCAAAAUAACAGCCUUCGUAUUCUCUCUGCUAUUGUUUUCUCCUACAUCCAGAAUUUUGGAUGAAUGAACUUGGUAUUCAACAAUAUUCACCACCCAUCACAGCAAAGAGCAAAGAUGUAGUCAAAGGAGUGCCAUUUAUUCAGGCUAACUCGAUCUGUCACUCUCGCUUCAAUUCGUCACUCAUUUUCUCGCGCUCAGCUUCAAUCUAUCACUCUCAGCUUCAGUUCGUCACUCACAGCUUCAAUUUUUCACUGUCGUGAAUCAUCUCUCUUGCUGUAUCUCUCUCUUAUGUCUUCCAAUAAUUUCGGUGAGCUCUCUCUCUAAUUUAAUAUAUGAUUAAAAAUCUUAUCAUCUUAUCAUGUCAUUUAAAUAUGCUUGAAGUUUCAAUUUAGUUUAUGAAUAUUACUUGAAAUUUCAGUUUCAAUAAUUUGAUUUUGCAAUUGAGAAAUUAUUACUUGAAAUAUUGAGAUGAUUUCUAGGGAUUGAUAAUUGAAUGAUAAUUGCUAAGGCUUGUCAUUUUUUGUUUUUGAACAGAUAGAGUUACAAUUAAGUCAUACUGCAAUAUUUUAUCUUGAGAUUCUAUUAUUCACAAAAAGAAAAAAAUCAUAAAUUGAAAAAAAAAAAAAAGAGGUUACGAGCAUCAAGCAACUGCAAGUAAUGGGGUUUGUUUUGAUGAGCUGCGAAUUGGGGCCUGUCAUUUUCUUGAAGUAUCUUCAAUAUAAGUGGAAGGAGAUUUCUUCUCUCCAAAAAAUUAUUGUAUAUUUCCUUUUAAAUUCUAGAUUCGCAUGUAGCUGAUUUUUUAUGUUUGAAGGAUUUUAUUAAAGAAUGUGCUGCUGCUAGUGGCAUGAAUUAAUGUAGUCUCGCUAGUAUUCGUGAUUUGGGGUAAGGAUCGAAUUGAACAAUUAUAUUUCUAUUAUUCUUAUAUUCGAAUCCAGUGAUAUUGUGGUGGUUUUAUGAUAAUAUUCAAUUGUUUUGUGCCUCAAAUCAGCCAAUGAGUUGGGUAUGUGCUGGGUAUAUGCCGUAUGGGCUUGUUGUUGAAUUUGCUUGACCUUGGAUGUGAUUCUUGCCGUGUUUAUAAGAAAUAGACACAGGUCUUUGUGUGGUAAUAGAAUUGUCUAAGGUGCCUUACAAUAAAUUUAAGAGUCUUAAGUAACUAUGCUUUGUAACCUUAAACCUUUAUUUGUACGACUUGGUGUUCUUGGUUGUGAAAGAAUGUUAAAUGUUGACCUAUUUUCAUCGGUGAAGAUAAAUGAAGUUAGGGAAGGUUUGUAAUCACUAUAACCCUGACAAUUUUUUUGGUGGGCCGUGAUAAUUUUAUUCAUGGCAUGUACUUUGUUUUUAUCAGAAGGCCCUGUUUGCUUGUAGUCUCAAAUCUAGGGUAAUAUUUUAAAUAAGUUCUGCAAUAUAUGUUUUGCUAUUUUUCUUUUUUGUUUUUAUUUUAAUUAGUUUUAGUAUUACUUGGAGGGGAAUUCUGAUCUGCUGAAGUUUAUCAAGCUGGUGCAGUGGUGCAGCAAGCAGACCUUUAUCUUAAUCUUAUGAUUGUGCUAAGUGGAAUUUUGUGUAAGUUACAACAAUAUAAUUUUUUAAAGAGCUGACAAGACGCUCUCUCUUUUUUUUGGAAUGUUGAGCAAAACUUUUCUUUCUUAUUAGGUGUUUAUAAUAAUUCAUAGCAUGGGUUUUGUCAUAUUGGUUUCAAUGCAUUGAUUUGAUCUUGGUUACAACCCAUCAGCCCUUACUCCUCAUUCCCAGCAGCUUUUAAUGCCUUUUUUUUAAGCAUUGUACUUUGUUUCAUGAUGAAAUUUGUUUAUAUGACGCAAAGUUGAGGACACGGUAAUAGUCAUUAUUUUAAUUUAUGCAACAAAGAUCAUUAUCCAUUAAAUUUUAUGUUGUUGAAAUAUUUAGAUUUUGUAAAUUUUGUUGUAAGAAAUGAGGGCUCUUGAUCCCAUCCCUUUAUUAUAUACAAUUUUUUUUCACUCUGUCAUUCAUUUAUUGUGUGUUAGAGGUAUUAGUCAUGUGCAAAAGUAAAGAUCUUUAUUUUGUUAUUUUUGUCAUCUUGUGCUUCAUUGGUAUAAAUGAGGAAAAAAAAGAAUAAAAUAAAAUAAAAUUAUAGUUUGUGCAUGAAUUCCACCAUAUAUGAAAUGUUUAAUAGAUUAAAAAGUAAGGAGUACACAGUGACUUUGAAUAGCAGGUGGGGGAACUCAUUUUGUUUUAAAAAAAAUUAAUACAUAUUGAUAGAAUAAUUAUCCUUCACUUAAUUAUUUAAAAAUUUUAUUUUGGAAGAAUACAAAUGGACAGUCACCAAUGAAAGCGUAAACGACUACCAGGGGGCUUACAGAAAAAAUUGCUCCUAUUCUAAAAGUAGAUGGUCAGGACAAAGUUCCAACAACUUCAACUUAUGGAUUUGUCUCUUACUUGUAAGGUAAUCUCUUCUUGUAGGGUGUUUAAUUGAAUUAAAAACAGAAUAUUAUUUGCAUUAUAGAGUACAGGCAUAAAUUCAUUAUCUAUGUCAGUUCAUUCAUGAUUUUACUCCAAAUGGAGUAAUAGAUCACCAUUAAUUUAUUGAUACAUCGUCCAUGUUUGUUUUCGUCUUCAAUUUUUAUAUUACAAUAUCUAAUCUAUUUAGUAUUCGUAAAAAAACAUACGAGAAAAAGUUGGAAAAACACUUUAGGGGUGAUUGUGUACACUUUCGUAUGGCACAAAUAGCGUUAGGCUUUGUUUUUUAAGUGGACGACGUGUCCAUUUUUUGUGUUACAUCUUACUCAUUAAUAUAUUUUUGAGUUUCUUAUGGAAAAAAAAUUGAAAAAACACUUUAAGUGAAAAAAAUUUGUAUUUCAAUUUAUAUGUAACAGUGAAUUGGAAAAUAAAUUCUACCAAUAAUUAAAAGAAUACUUUUCUUUUAAUUAUUAAAAAGAUAAGGUAGUUACUCAUUACCCAUAUAAAUGGACAGUUUUAAUUUGUUCCAUAUCUAUACAACAGAAGAGCUUCAGACACGGUUUGCAGCGUUCCACGAUCACUUCCAUUCUAAGCAGCAGCGUCUUCCGUCUUUUUGCACACCAACAGCAGAUUCUAGAUGGCCAGAAGCUCAUCUGCCGCACUCUCGGGAUUUCGCUGCCAUCCUCAUCUUCAUCUCCACUACCUCCUCAGUGAUUAUCCCCUGGUUUUAUGCUCAGAAAUUAUGAUUAUUAUGUAUCUUGUUUUCAGAUUUGUCAAUACUUGUUAUAUUUUGAUUAUGCAUUAUGGACAUUUUUCAUAAGAUAGCUUAAUUUUGUGGUUUGUGUUGACGAUUUCCAUGUAUGGAUGUUUGGAUAGGUAAUUUCGCCUUCCAUGCAUUCUUCAUUCCUGCAUCCUGUGGGAGAAAAUUGGAAAAAGUGGUUUUUGAUGAGAAACGGGGAGAAGGAUGAGAUAUAUAUUUUUGAAGUGUCACAUUAUUUCAAAAACAAACCCCAAAUUUAAUUUCUCUUACCGAUCAUGAGUUAAAAUAUAAAAAUUAACGUUUACUCAUCACACUGUUAUAAGUAUCAAAGCAUUACUUAUAGAAAAAUUAUCGUCACCUAUCCUACAUUUGUGAUUGAAUAGUGGCACAAUUUUAAUUGGGAUAUUUAACAUUACUCUUUGUAAUUGUUUGGUCUUAUUUGAAGUUUGUAAAUUUUUCAUAACUAUGACUUCAACAGCAUAUUUCAGGUUGCAUUUAAUCGUUGCUAUAAUUAGGUACUUUGAAAUAAUUUAUUGGCCACGAUUACAGUCAUUGUUAUUAGUCACCCCUCUUUUUUCUCUUUUGGCCAACCAGCUCUUGGAUAUUUGGGAACCGAUGACAAUAGUUGGGAAAUUAUGUAAUAUUGGUGUGUUUGCGAAAUAAAUCAAGAGAUUUGCCUUGCCGAAGUUAAAAGAGAUAUUGUGGCCUGAAUUUUUUUUUUUUUUCUCUAGGGGCCAUGGCUCUCAAGGACAAGGCAUGAAUCAUGCAUUAUAAUUGCUCGAAAGGGUUAGUAAAAUAGCAAUCUAAAAUACCCAAGUUGGAUCUGCUGUUGAAUCACAAAAAGAACAUAAUUGGGAUAUGAAGUCAUGGUUGCAAGUGUUGGACCCUUAGGUUACGUUUGGCACGUAGGAUUGGAUUGAACUAAUUACUAAAAUUGGAUUGAAUUAUAUUCGAUUGGAUUAAACUGGAUUAUAUUAUAUAGUUCUAUGGUUAGUACAAUAUCGGAUUAAACUAUGUUAAAUUAUAUUUAAAUAAUAUUAAAUAGCAUUUAAGUUGGUAUUUUAAUAUUAAUAUCAAUUAUUCAUGAAAUUUCAUAAUCAUAAUUAAAAUAAAUUUAAAAAACAAUUACCAGGAAAAUUAAAUAUAUUGUAAAUAAGUUACUGGGUAGUCAUAAUACAGUAAACAAAUGAACAUAGAUAAAAAAAUUAAAUUUUAAAUAAUUUUUAUCAAAUUUUAAAAAAAAAUUAUAUAAAAUCAAUUAUUUAAUGGUAUUAUUAAUUUUCAUGAUUAUUUUUAAUAGUAUAUAACAAUGAUUAUUAAAUUUAAUACAAUCAAAUAAUGCAAUAAAUAAUUAAACAUUUAAUUUUAUCAAUAAAUUACUAAAUAUACAAGUGGUGAAAAUUUAAUCUCCAGAGUUAGUACAAGUAAAGGUAUUAAUUUAAUUAGAUCAUAGAUAAUAAAUAAAAAUAAGUUUUAAGUAAAUCAUAUUAAAAAUUAAUUAAUUAAUUAAUACUAGGUGUAAAUAAAAAAAAUGAUAUAAAUAAAAAUCUCAUAAAUGGACAACUUUUUUCUUUAAUCUUAUCCCAACUAAACCCAUGCGUAAAUUAGGAUUAUCAAUUCCAUGAUUUUAGGAUUAAAUUUAAAUUACUACCCCCUUAAUCCAAUCCAACUAAGCUUGCCAAACAUUGGAUAAAUAUUUAAUUCCAAAAUUAGUCUAAUCCCAUACUUAAUCCUAGAAUCCAAACAUGGCAUUAGCACCUUAUAUAACAAAGUGUCACUGAAAUACAGCAAAACGUUAUAAACAAGAACUUAUUUCUGUACAAAAUGUUAUUUACUUUUUGUGAACUUCCAAAUACCUACUAUAUGAUUUGCAAACCCUACAAAAGUCUACCUUGCAUGCUCUUUCUAACGUGAAAUUUGAUUUUUAUUAAAUUUUUGAUGUGUUCACUAAUAAAUAAUUGGAAUCUAAAAAAAUUAGAAAAAAAUAGAAUUAGAAUGAGCUACAAUAAAAAUGAGGAAUAACAAAAAAAAUGAUAUUUGUUGAGAUGAAUGAAACACAAUUGAAAUACUCUAUAUCGCUCUUAAUAUGUUCACUUUGUGAACAUAAAUUAGAAUUAGUUGUUAUAACUUAGUAAUUUAUCCUCAAUCAAUUAUUAUCAUUAUUACUAUUUGUUAUAAUAAUUGUAAUUAUUAUUUUUGAUAAUUUUAAUACUAAGAAAAUUAUUGUUAGGGGUGGAAACACCAUAUAGAGAAGGAACAAUUAAAUUUAUAAAAUUUAGUGGGGAUAAAAUAGUCACUUAAGACAGCAAGCGUCUCCCAUUCUCACCUCCACGAGCAUGAAAACACUAGUAAUCAUUCUUAAAUUUUGAUGGAAUCUGUUGCUUUUAUUCUAAUAACGAACGCAAAACCUAUGGAAUUAGUUGGAAUAACGAAUGCAAAACCUCUGGAAUUACAAUUGAAAUACGUCAACCCAAAAUGGAGAAAGCACAACUAAAAUUAGAGACCUACAAAACCAAAAAUAAACUUAUAGAAAACAAACCCGGUACCUAAUCUCAAUAAUUGGAAUCUCAACCAGUUAAUGGAAAUAUUCAACUCAAAAUUAGGGAAAAAUUAGAUGAAACACGUGAACCAUUGAGAGAGAAAGUAUGACGAAAAUUAGAAACUCAUUUAACGAAAAAUAAUAUUUACUUGGAAUCUAACCCAUGAUACUGGUACCUAAGGAACUUUAUAGGAAUAUGAAACGCAAAACCAGUGGACCAAUAAGUUGAAACAUGUGAACCAAAAAAUGAAAAACUAUAACCAAAUCUUGAGACUAAUCAAACCAAGCAAAAGUAAUAUUGAUAUUUAACCCAUAUAAUUGGAAUUUUACCAAAUUAGUUGGAAUAACGAAUGUAGAACUUGUGGAAUUACAAUUGAAAUACAUCAACAAAAAAUGGAGAAAGCACAACCAAAAUUAGAGACCUACAAAACCAAAAAUAAAUUUAUAGAAAAUAAAUUUGGUACCUAACCACAAUAAUUGGAAUCUCAACCAGUUAAUGAGAAUUCUCAACGCAAAACUAUAGGAAAAAUUAGCUGAAACACAUGAACCAUUAAGAGAGAAAUUAGAACGAAAACUUGGAACUUAUCCAACGAAGAAUGCUCGUGACUUGGAAUCUAACAACAAAUAUUGGUACUUGACUAAUUUAGUAGGAAUAUCAAAUGCAAAACUCAUUGACCAAUAAGUUGAAACAUGUAAACCAAAAGAUGAAAAAGUAUAACCAAAACCUGAGAAUAAUCAAACCAAGAAAAAGUAAUAUUGAUUUUUAACCCAUAUAAUUGGAAUUUUACCAACUUAAUUGGAAUAACGAAUGCAAAACCUGUGGAUUUACAAUUGAUAUACGUCAACCCAAAAUGGAGAAAGCACAACCAAAAUUAGGGACCUACAAAACCAAAAAUAAAGUUAUAGAAAACAAACCUGGUACCUAACCUCAGUAAUUGGAAUCACAACCAGUUAAUAGGAAUAUUCAAUGCAAAAUUGGGGAAAAAAUUAGAUGAAACACGUGAACCAUUAAGAGAGAAAGAACAACGAAAACUAGGAACUUAUCCAACAAAGAAUGAUAGUUACUUGGAAUCUAACAGUAAAUAUUGGUACUCGACGAAUUUAAUAGGAAUAUCAAACGCAAAAAUAGUGGACCAAUAAGUUGAAACAUGUGAACCUAUAGAUGGAAAAGAAUUACCAAAAUUUGUAACUAAUCAAACCAAAAAAAGUAAUAUAGAUAUCUAACCCAUAUAAUUGGAAUCUCGACAAAUUAGUUGAAAUAUUAAACAAAAAACUAGUGGAAUAAUAGUUGAAACACAUGAACCAAAUGUGGAGAAAGUUUAACCAAAUUUUGAAACUUAUCCAAUGAAGAAUGCUAGUUACGUGGAAUCUAACAACAAAUAUUGGUACUCGACGAAUUUAAUAGGAAUAUCAAACGCAAAAAUAGUGGACCAAUAAGUUGAAACAUGUGAACCUAUAGAUGGAAAAAUAUUACCAAAAUUUGGAACUAAUCAAACCAAAAAAAGUAAUAUCGAUAUCUAACCCAUAUAAUUGGAAUCUUGACAAAUUAGUUGAAAUAUUAAACGAAAAACUAGUAGAAUAAUAGUUGAAACACAUGAACCAAAUGUGGAGAAAGUUUAACCGAAUUUUGAAACUUAUCCAACGAAGAAUGCUAGUUAUUUGGAAUCUAACAACAAAUAUUGGUACUCGAUGAAUUUAGUAGGAAUAUCAAACGCAAAAAUAGUGGACCAAUAAGUUGAAACAUGUGAAUCUAUAGAUGGAAAAGCAUUACCAAAAUUUGGAACUAAUCAAACCAAAAAAAGUAAUAUCGAUAUCUAACCCAUAUAAUUGGAAUCUCGACAAAUUAGUUGAAAUAUUAAACUAAAAAUUAGUGGAAUAAUAGUUGAAACACAUGAACCAAAUAUGGAGAAAGUUUAACCAAAUUUUGAAACUUAUCCAACGGAGAAUGCUAGUUACUUGGAAUCUAACAAAAAAUAUUGGUACUCGACGAAUUUAGUAGGAAUAUCAAACGCAAAAAUAGUGGACCAAUAAGUUGAAACAUGUGAACCUAUUGAUGGAAAAGCAUUGCCAAAAUUUGGAACUAAUAAAACCAAAAAAAGUAAUAUCGAUAUCUAACCCAUAUAAUUGGAAUCUUGACAAAUUAGUUGAAAUAUUAAAUGAAAAACUAGUAGAAUAAUAGUUGAAACACAUGAACCAAAUGUGGAGAAAGUUUAACCGAAUUUUGAAACUUAUCUAACGAAAAAUAAAUUUAAUUGGAAUUUAACCCAAAAUAUUAGUGUUUAACGAGUUUAGUGGGAAUAUUAAACAUAAAACUAGUGGAUCGGAAAAUGGAGAUAAGCAAACCAAUUAGUGAGAAAGUUGAAUCAAAAUUAGGUAUAUGUGAAAUUAACUUGGAAUGUCACCUAAUAUAUUGAUAUUUAACCAAAAGAAUCGAGACAUGCUCAUUUUAAUUUUUUUAAACUUUUGUUGCAAUUAAAAAUAAUUUUUUCACUUAAAUAUUGUUUGUGUUAAAUAUUUACAAAAUUUCCUUAAUUUUUCCUGUUUCAUUUUAUUUUUUCUACAUUAAAAAUAAUUUUUUAAAAAUUAUUAAAUGAACAACCGGUAAAAUACCGGUUGUUCAAGUUUCCUUUUUACUGUUGAAGGGGCUGUAUUUUAUACAGCACUGUACUAUAGGAAGACUCAACUUAUUGACAUCUUCUCAUAUAACCUUCGAUCAAGUCGAUUCUGACCUGACGACUAAUUGGUACAUCACCGUUGUUCUCUAUACUCGCAUGCAUCGGAUCACAAAUCUCACUCCAAUUGUCGUCUUUCUUCGCCGUUUUAGCGCAUACUUCUUGAAUUUCCCGCAUUUCGUUCCCUCCUGUUACAAGUCUCCGGUCAGGUCAGUGAUUGAAUUUCCCGCAUCUCUAUCCCUCCCGUUUUCUCGCGUCGUUUCACUUCAAUUUCUCGUGUCUCCUUUCAGUUUAAGUGAUUGAAUCAAUUUUAUCGCAGUCAUAAGAGAAAUUAAGUAAUGCUCUUGGAUUUAAAAUUUUUUUGCUUUCGACUUUAGAUCUCGAAAGUCAAACUCUGCUACGAAUCCAUAGAUUCUCAAUGCUCAUAAUCUUAUUUGUGUUUGACCAGGUAACUGGAUCGUGAAAUUCGUCGUUUUGUAUCAAUUCAAGCUUUCGCGAGCUCAUGGAAUCACCUGGUGAGUUGUGGUGAAACGUUAUCGUUUCAAUUUUCGCUUAAUUCUUUAUUGCAUAUUUUUUUCUCUAAUGUUUCAGUUUAAUUUAGAAAAGAAAGAGGCCCCAAAAAGAGAGAGAGAGAGAGACUCUACCAUACUCAAUUCCUUGCUCAUUCUGAUUUGGCCUGAAUGUUGGCAUUGACUAUUAUUUGUUUUCAUUUCGAUUUAAUUCUCAUUUAGACAGUCUUUACUAACGGUCAAUAAUAGUUUAAGGAAAAUGAUCAUAGGGAUUCUGCAAUAAUCUUUCUGCAUUGUUCAAGUUAGUAGACAAUGAAUAGGAUGUUUAUGUUUACCUCAUUUUGAACCCUGAGGGCUUCGUUGAGUAGUUGAUUCAACAUAUCCAGCAACGGUUGAUGUGAGAACAGAAUGCCACUUAGAUAGGCUUAAACUGAUUUUGGAGGUUUGUAUUGGUUCUAUUGUACGUCUUGCUUACAAAUUUUUAAUUUUUAAUUUUGUAUAAUAUGCUCUUUGUUGGUAAAUCUCAUUUGACUUAGAAGAGAUAGUUUUAUCCCAACAGUGGGAUAAAUCAUUGAGAUGCAUGGCAGUGUGAAUAUAGUAGACAAAAUCAUUGAGACACAUGGUGGUGUGAACAUAGUAAACUUUGUCAAACACAGCUAAGAUAAACAAAUUGUUUCAUUAGCCUUUACCUUAUCUGCUGUGAUGAUUCAAAUUAAUGCUGUUUGGUAGGUUGCAAAAAACGAAAUGAGCUGUCUGUUCGUAUUAUUUAGUCAGAUCUAUUGCAAUAAGUUGAAGUUCAUUGUCACAUGGGUUGGGAGUAGCGUGGGCUGUGAGUAGUAGAAUGGAUUUAUGGAGUUGAUACAAGUGCCCAUAAUCUAUCAUGUCAUUCUAGGAUUAAAUGGAUUGCACAUUACUGUAAAGAUGGAGGUUAAAUUUAUAUAAUUCGGAUUGAUUGUAAAAUGGGAGGCAGAGAUGAGUUAGAAAAAGAAUGACCUGUGUCCUUUUUGAGCUGUUUCUAAAUCUCCCUGGUGUGCUUCAUGCUUAACACGUGUCUUUCCAAAUAAUUUUGCUUAACCUGUGCUUGUCUACUUCUUGUGCUAUUCUGUGCCUGGUCCUGAGCUGUGUUGGUAGAUUGACAUAAUUUUGCUCUGCUAAAUGUAUAACUUAUUAAUCAGAGUCCUGUUAUUAUGGUUUGACACUACUGACAUAUUGUGUUGGUAUUUAUUUGUACUUCCCUUGGUUGAAUUAUUUGCUGUCUCCAUGCAAUUCGAUAUGGUGCUACUUGGUUUUUGAUCAUCCAUGACGCUAUAUAUAUGUAAAGGAUGAAUUGAUUGUUUUGGCUUGUAUUCUCACAUUUUAUGAUUGAUCGAUGGAAAGGUUUUCAUGCAUUAAAUUCAACCUCACAAGCGUAAGAUUGACAGAUUGUGGGCAAAUUUUCAGGAAAAGAAACUAGACUUCAUGGAAGCAAUGAAGCUUGAAAUUGAACGUCUGCAGCUGAAUCUUUCUGCAGCUGAAAGGGAUAGAACUUUAUUGUCAAUUGGAACUGAUCCUGCCUCUAUAAAUCCAAAUGUAUUGCUUGAUGAAUCUUACAUGGGAAGACUGUGUCGAGUAGCAAACACUCUUGCAUUACUUGGCCAAGCUUCCCUAGAAGAGAAAAUUGUUGGUGCAAUUGGCCUUGAGAAUAGUGGUGAUAGUGUUUUAGACUUCUGGAAUAUUACUAGAAUCGGAGAGAGUUGUUCUGGUGGUGGGUGCGAGGUUUGUGCAGAAACUAAGGUGCCUGCUCUUGCUUCCUCAACUGCAACAUCUGUUGGAUCUUCACAAUCCCCUUUGUUGUGUUCUCAAUGUGAAAGAAAAGUUUGCAAAGUUUGUUGUGCAGGAAGAGGAGCUCUACUGUUUUCAAAUUAUAAAUCAAGGGAUGUGACCAACUACAAUGGCUUCUCAAGUCAGAGUGGAUCAAGCCAUGGAAGCCAAGUUGAUGUAGCUACCAGUCGUUCACUAACACUGGAUGGCGUUAUCUGUAAACACUGUUGCCAUGAGAUGGUGCUUGAUGCAUUGAUGUUGGACUAUGUUAGGGUCUUGAUUAGGUUGCGAAGAAGUUCCUGUGCAGACAACGCAGCAUACAAUGCUUUGAAUGAGGUUGUUGGAUCCUGCUUAAAGGAUAGUCUUUCUGAGAGGAUUCAGUCUUCCGAUAAUGCGCAAGCAGCUAAAGUCCUGCACCAAUUAUGUGGUGGACAGGAAGCACUUGCUGAAUUUCCAUUUGCUAGCUUUUUGCACUCGGUAUGUUCUUGGUUUGUAUUCAGUUCUCAUCAUAUUAUGUUUUCCUUUUAAAUUUCAUUUCUUGAUUAAAAUUUUUAGAAAUGUGUUUUAGCAUUUAUUCUUAUGAUAUAUGCCCGGAACAUUCAUCCCACUUAUCCAUGAGAAUCCUUGUCUGGUUUGAUUUUCAAUUGAGACAUUUUUGGGAACCCUGCGCAGGUUCCAUAUGCUAAUAAUCUUUGAGGUAAGGUGUUGUAGGAUGCCUUGAGAAGCUAAAAACCCAUUACAAGGAAAAGGUCUUGCAUUGUUUUGUGCAAUCUGUGUGCGAGCUAGUCAUGUCUCUAAUAAUUUCAUAGUUUGCUUGAUUGGAAUUUUUUAUCUUGAUAUGGAUUGUUUAUUCUAGAUUCCUUGGUGCCACUGUAGGUUGAAACAGCAAAAGAUUCAGCACCGAUUUUGUCACUGCUUGCUCCAUUAAAUUCUGGAUCAAGGCACUCAUAUUGGAGAGCUCCACCUAGUACUACUUCUGUUGAAUUUGUUAUUGUUCUCGGUUCUGUUUCUGAUGUCAGUGGGGUUAUCUUGCUUGUUAGUCCUUGCGGCUAUUCUGUGGCUGACACUCCGAUGGUAAGUGCCAUAUUUAUUCCCUUAUUUCCUUGUUGUUCAAUAAAUUUGGUGAUAAGCCAAGUGGCCUUAAUAAUGAAGCCCAGUACCAGGGUUGGUGGGUAAUAGAUAUUCAACUUGUGAAUAUUCCUAAGCAAACACUGAAUCAACAUAUACCUCGGCUAAAGUUCUCUAUGCUAUUAUAACAAAAGUCAUAUUUUGAAAUGAUUAAAAGAGUCCCUGUGUAGUGCCAUUUCCAAAGAAAUUGCAGCUGGGGGUUUAGUUUCAUGUAGGUUAGUUUCCGAUAAUAAACUUUCUAUUUCAUUAAUUGCUGAUGAAAAAACCAAGUAAGAACAGUUUUGUUGCUCGUCAUUUUUGUAUAUUUUGGUAAACUGUAAUUUUAAAUUCUCAACGAUCUUCCCUUUGUAGGUAAGAAGAUGGUCCACUCACUUGAUAUUUAUGAUUGUAGAUCAGGUUUCUAUUGGUUUGCCUUUAUCAUUUAGAACCCAUGUUUGAUAUUAACAGAGAUCACGUCAAUAAUAUCCUAUUUGGGUAGAUGUGGGUGAGGAUUUAAAAUCAAAUUUGAAAUUGAGGGGAAAGAAGAGAAAAGGAACCACAAUAAUUAAACAAAAUAAUAGGAACUAUUCUGAUGAGUUUUAAUCUCGAGAGGAACAAUUUUCAAAUGCACUGCUAGAGAAAUUGUAGCUUUUUGUCAUUAGUUAAAAGGAAAAAGAAUAAGAACUAUCCGGCCCUUUCCUUCAUGAAUGUGUGUUGAGGUUGCUGUAUUAUUUAGUCAGUAUUUGUAAUUUUCUUCCCUGCAGUGCUCUCUGCCUCCUGAAUUUGCUUCCUAUUGCUGUUACAGGUGCAAAUCUGGGCAAGCAAUAAGAUACACCAGGAGGAAAGGUCAUCAAUGGGAAAAUGGGAUGUCCAAUCCCUCAUCACAUCUUCUUCAGAUUUGUAUGGUCCAGAAAAGUCUGCUAGUGUUGAAAAAUUACCUAGGCAUGUAAAAUUUACUUUUAAGAAUCCUGUUAGGUGCCGCAUUAUUUGGAUCACAUUACGUCUUCAGAGACCUGGUUCGGCUUCAGUUAAUUUCGGGAAGGACCUCAGUCUUUUGUCUCUUGAUGAAGAUGAAAACCCCUUUGCACAAGUAGACAGACGUGCUUCAUUUGGAGGAGCAGUUGAAAAUGAACCAUGUAUUCAUGCCAAAAGAAUUCUUGUAGUCGGAAGCCCAGUAAAAAGGGAGGGGCUUACCACAUCACAGAGCUCUGAGCAGCUAAGUAUUAGAAACUGGUUGGAUAGAGCUCCACAAAU
rnacentral:lncRNA from 1 species